AGAUCAAGGCUGCGUACCGGCGUCUUGCCAGGGAAGUGCACCCUGACGCCGUCGGAGGUGGCGACGACGAGGGGUUCAUCCGGCUGCACGCCGCCUACGCCACGCUCGCCGAUCCCGACGAGCGCGCUCGCUACGACCGGAGCGUGGCCUGCCGCGCCGCAGGGAUGACGAUGCGCCGGGCGGCCUCGACGUCCUCACCGGCGUUCCGGCGGAGGACGUGGGAGACCGACCAGUGCUGGUAGGACGUACGGCGUCGCAAACACGGCUGCCCCCCAUGGCGCCCAACCGGCAGCUGCCCGGUUCUCUCAGGCACGGCGCUGGACAGAAGGUCUUCCUGACUAUCGUGCAACGUACGAUCAGGAUUGGACGGCCCAGAUUAGGUGAUGGAGACGUGGGAGCUCUGUACACAGCAAGAGGCGUUUUUAAAGAUCUCUUGUGCGUCCAGUCAGUAAAAAUGCAAAUAUGUAAACUACUUGUUAUUUGCCUACUGUAAAUUAACUGUCAAGGAAUAUAUAGCACUUCCUCAUUCACGGUUUAAAAGGCUUGCUUAAAAAUCUCUAGAACCUAUGUAGUUAUCGACAGUUAUGUAAUAGGCUGAAAAAUAACAUUAACAAUACUCAUGCGUCUAAUGAGUUAAGAAAUUAACACGACAUAUGUAUACAUGAGUAGUAUUAAUUAGUAGGAGUGAUUGCGUUGACGUCUUAAACUUUGUCUAUUAUAAAAACACACGUAAAUUCAACUAUGUCUUUUAAACCGUAACGGAGGGAGUACUCUAGGUCUCUUUGGUAAUAGGAGGAAUUAGUUAGCUUUUUCUUCUUCGCAUUUUGUCUCUUUGAUUCUGCACGAAAUUAAUGACCACAAUACAACAAUCCAUUCCAGUCACUUGUUAAGGUUGGCAUGUCAUGGUUUUGGAUAGGUAGGAAAAAGAUUGUGGGGACAAAUAGCCACAGGGCAAAGUAAGGAUAAAUGGUCAAUGUGUCAAGGCGACUACUCUCACAUGUUUUUACGUCUUCAAUUUAACUACACGGAGUAUAUGUUUUCAGGGGCGGAUGCAGGCUGACGGAAAGUCCCGGGCCGCCUUCAAGAAUUGCCUAUAUUAGGGCCUUGUAUCUUUAAUAAUUGUUACAGUUAACAAAGAAGUUGGGCCUAAGGACCUGGGCCCAGGCCUGGGGUCUUAAUUGUGUACACCCGAACCGUUGACUAGACAUGCAAGCAUGGCAUGGGACCCGCUGUCAGCGACACAAUGGCAGUGAGGCUGGGCGUGGCCAGUUUUUUGUGAAAACCACAUUUUUAUUUAUCACAAAAAUCUCCUAACAUUAUUUGCUGCGGUGGAAUCUCAUUUUAAAAAAUGAUAAGAAGAAAAGGAGUGUUCCGUGCCACGAACCAUCGACCUCUCACUAGCACAUAGACUGUCCUAGCCGCUUCACCCAUAACACAUUCAUAUGUUAAGUGGAUAAGUAAACAUAAUGUAGUUAAAAAGAUUGCCUAAAGCAAAACUAGAAAAAGAGCUCCUAAAUAAAGAGCGUCUUUGUUCAAAAUUUCAAAUAAUAGUUAUAAAUAAUAAAAAUGUUUUUAUAAUUAGAAAAUAUAUAAAUAUUCAUAAUUUAAAAUUUAAAAUCAAAAUGUUUGUAUAAUACAAUUUCAUACAUACAAAUAAAAAUAUUUCUGUAAUUACAAACAUUUCAAUAAUUAUACGCAUGGUAUAGUUCAAGAUUUGCAUAAUAAAACAUACAUAGCUUAAGUUUUAAAUGUUCAUAUGUGUAUUCAGUGAUGGAUAAUAUAUAAAUUAAAUAACAUUUUUAAAUAUGAUUAAUGAUCUAAAAUUAUACACAAGUGAAUAGUAAAUGUUUGUAUUUAUCAUUUGUAUAAUUUACAUAUAAGCUGCAAAUGUAUAGUUCUUGUAUUUAAAUAUUUAAACAUUUUUAUUUAAAAUAUAUUUUAAAUGUAUGUAUUUACUAAACAUUUUUAUAUAAUACAUGUGUGUACAUUUAUUUUUUUAAUUUACUAAUGAUUAUCCUUGUGUGUACUAUUUAUAUCCACUUGAAAAAAAUAAUUAUACGACAUAAAUAUAUGAACAUUAUUUUUAUUCCAUACGUUUUAUAAAUGUCUUUAGAAAAAACUAGUGCGCGCAAAAUGUGCGGCACUAUUUGCAACUCAUUUAAGCCUCUCAUGUGUCCAGUUUAUAGUACAUGAAGACCUCUUAACAAUAUUGUGCAGAAUAGUGUGAGUGGCGGAGUUAAUAACUGAUAACUCUCCAGUUGGUCGUGAGUUCAACUCGUUGAGGCCGUCUUAUGUUUGUUUAAUUUUUUUACUACUGACAGCUGGGCAUCAUGUCUCAUAGAAGCGGAAAAAUGUUUUUAUGAGAAAUAAAAAAAUCAAGGGGGUUUUUGCAAAAAAAAGGCCGCACGCAUUCAUUCGUUCCUUUCAGUCGUUAACAGCGAGGCCCAAAAAAAGGUCGUACACAUUCCUCCAUUCCUUUCAGCCGUUAACAGCGAGGCCCANNNNNNNNNNNNNNNNNNNNNNNNNNNNNNNNNNNNNNNNNNNNNNNNNNNNNNNNNNNNNNNNNNNNNNNNNNNNNNNNNNNNNNNNNNNNNNNNNNNNNNNNNNNNNNNNNNNNNNNUUAACAGCGAGGCCCACACAAUGCUGGCGCUCCAAGUCAUCUUUAUUUUUUUAUCAAACAUGAUUUGCAUCGUAUUUACACGUUCAAACUAAGUUGUUGCACCAGUUCAAUGUCUGUCACAAGUUCUAUCACCAAACUAACCAUUUUAGUCAAUUCUACCAAUCCUGCCCCCCCCCCCCCNNNNNNNNNNNNNNNNNNNNNNNNNNNNNNNNNNNNNNNNNNNNNNNNNNNNNNNNNNNNNNNNNNNNNNNNNNNNNNNNNNNNNNNNNNNNNNNNNNNNNNNNNNNNNNNNNNNNNNNNNNNNNNNNNNNNNNNNNNNNNNNNNNAUAUUUUCUUGGAUGGGGUCUGGGUCGUUUCUAGUUGCAAUUAAACCAGGCCAAGUCAGCCUUCACGUAAGUUGAAGUAGGCGUUGCACGUAGGUGUAGCAAAGCCCUAGAAAAUAUAUUUUAAGAUUCAUCAUCGAAUGAAUAUUUUUCGAAAACAUCUCAAAAGGGGCAUCUGAUUCCUACAAUUUAUUAAGAAUAAGAUAAUUGCCUUUUAAUUGGGGAUAAUUAGGCGAAAACACGACAAUUUGCAUGAUUAUUUAAGAAAAAAUAGUGAAAACCACAUAUACCUAUGCAUACCGCAUGAUUGAUUAAGGGACAAUAGUGUAGAAAAUCCGACCGUACGAUUGAUUAAAGGACAAUCACGCAAAACAAACGAACAUGAUUUAUUAAGCGACGAUCAUGCAAAAAAAAACCCACCACAUAAUUGAUUAAAGAACAACCAACCAAUAAAAAUGACCACACGAUUGAUUAAGAGACAAUCGGGAAAAAACAAACAUGACCGGACCAGUGAAGUCGCCACCCUCACAGCUCAAGGUCGCCACCCCAUGCUACGCAAAGUCGUGGGUCUACCUCCUAGAGCCGCCAUUGCAAGGCCGCCCGAGGCUGCUGCCUUGGCCUACAUCCAUCGUUCUGAACCGUUGCCUCGACAUCCACCCCCUGACCAGGAGGCAACCUUGCAAAACUACCGAAAACCUACUGCUCUACAUUCGUCAAAGUUUCCAAGGUGGACCUCCAAGAAGGAAACAAUAUAGGUGUCAUCGCCACCCUCUUUGACGACGUUUGGGCCUUCACUCGAAGAUCACAUGACACUUGCGUCGGUUGAGGUAGCCUGAUACGUCUCCGUCGUAUCUACUUUUCCNNNNNNNNNNNNNNNNNNNNNNNNNNNNNNNNNNNNNNNNNNNNNNNNNNNNNNNNNNNNNNNNNNNNNNNNNNNNNNNNNNNNNNNNNNNNNNNNNNNNNNNNNNNNNNNNNNNNNNNNNNNNNNNNNNNNNNNNNNNNNNNNNNNNNNNNNNNNNNNNNNNNNNNNNNNNNNNNNNNNNNNNNNNNNNNNNNNNNNNNNNNNNNNGUUUUCAGCAGAAUUGCCAUGGUGUUGUUUUUGUGCAGAAAUAGAAGUUCUCGGAACGUCCUGAAAAUUUACGAAGAUUUUUUCUGGAAUAAAAGAAAAAUACCUGCGCAAAGAUCCACCGGAAGGGGCGUGCCAGUGGGCCACAAGCCCACAUGCCGCGGCCACCCCCUAUGGCCGCGCCGUGCAGGCUUAUGGGGCCCACGUGGCACCACCACCCCCAAUCUCAGCUUUGUAUCUUCCGUUUCGCCUGGAAAAAAUCAGAGAGAAGGUUUCAUCGCGUUUUGCGAUACGGAGGCGUCGCCACAUCCUGUUCUUCAUCUGGAGGGCAAUUCUGGAGUCCGUUUCGGGCUCCGGAGAGGGGAAAUCGUCGCCAUCGUCAUCAUCAACCUUUCUCCAUCGACAAUUCCAUGAUGCUCUUCAUCGUUCGUGAGUAAUCUCAUCGUAGGCUUGCUGGACGGUGAUGAGUUGGAUGAGAUUUAUCACGUAAUCAAGUUAGUUUUAAUGGGGAUUGAUCCUNNNNNNNNNNNNNNNNNNNNNNNNNNNNNNNNNNNNNNNNNNNNNNNNNNNNNNNNNNNNNNNNNNNNNNNNNNNNNNNNNNNNNNNNNNNNNNNNNNNNAAGAAGUGCCUAUGGACAAAUCCUAUAAAUAUAACUUAAGGCAACCAUUAGUCCAUAGGAAUUGUCAUCAAUUACCAAAACCACAUAUGGAGAUAUAUGCUCUAACAGCUCCGUUUGUAUUGGUUUUUGCCCGGUUUUUCGUAAAUUAACUCGGCAAUUCUCUUCUUCUUAAUUAAACGAUGAGGCAAAACUUUUGCCUCCGUUUAGAAAAACAAUGCCUAGAGCGGGAGACCUGGCGUACAAAGACCUGAAAAGUGAGAUGCUCGACAUCAUCCGCGACGAAGGUGGAGGCGACGGAGGAGUAUAUGACUAUUAGGACCGACAUGUGAAAGACUCGGAUCCUAUCCAGUCCAAGAACUACCCGCAACAGAAGACCCACACCCAAACGGGCAUGCAACCGUCAUAUAUCUAGAGCGGUGUGGGCACACAACAACAACAAUAUUGGCAACCGAACAACAAGAGGAGGAGGAUGAGGGCGAGAAGGACAAUGAACUAGAUGGUACAACCGGCAAUCCAAAGAAGGGUAGAGGAGAAAGUUUUAACAUGCGGGAGGGCGAGUUGCCAUGGGAUGCAUGGUUGGCCACUAGCCUCGAUCUUAUACAUUCUGGAACAAAAGGGAACAACUUUUUGAAUGCGAUGGAGAAGAAGCUCAAGCUGGAAGAAAGGAUCAUGAUCAAAGAGAGGAAGGUCGCGAUUGAGGAACAGAAGUUGAAGAUCGCCGCCAAUGCGGAGGACAUCAAGAUGUUGUCCUUGAAUAUAGAGUCUCUGGAUGCCGACGCAAAAAUGAUCUUGUAAUCCGUCUACUACCAAAUAUCUCAGCGCCAAAAAUAUGCAUUGAUAGCGGGAGACAUUGAGGACGCGGCAGAGGCGGAAGCAGAGGCUGCAUACGCGGCGGCGACGACUUCUAGAUCAGCAUGAAGAUGGUUCGGGUUGCGAGUCUCGCAAUGUAGAAUAUUACAUGGACUGUCGUACUGAAGUUCACUUUUGGAUUCGGGCAUGUAAAAUCAAAGUAUAUGUGUCUGUUUUUGGUUUUGAAUGUGGCAUACGAUCUAACGCUAGUGUGAUCCAACGUGCUGUGUUGACCGGACUAAAUUUUAAUUUUAAAUUAAUAGUGUUACACGUACAUAAGUUUACACGGGUUUUACGCGCAAGUAGAUUUUGAUUGGAGAUUAAGGGGGAUGGGCCCCACCACCCUUGAAAAUCAGGGGUGAAAGGUUAGUUAGGAAGGAAGAAUCCUAGUCAGCUUGUAAUCGUGUGUAACUCUUUGUAUGUUUAGCAUUUUUUAUUUCAAAUUGCCAUUUAUAGAAAGGAAUACAUCGGAUAGAGCAUUGGAUGACGUUAGUAUCCGCACACUGGUCCCCUGUCUGUGGAUAGAUACCGGAGGAAAUUUGAGGGGUCACUGUUCAGGGUGGACACCGCCCGGGCCGGUCCGGGCCCGGUCUGAGCCGUCGUUUGGACCCGCCGGUGGCGGUCCGGUCUGGAUCGGAACGAGUAGUGCGGCGGUCCUGAUUUUAGGAACCAAACAGGUAGUGAUGAAGCUCGGCGCGGACCGGCGGUCCUGACGGUCCUGAUGGCGUACAAUCAUUGCCAUGUGGGUCCAGGGUGUCGGAGCGGUGGUCGAAGCAGCACGAAGGUGGCCCCAGCUGGAAAAGACGAACCUGAGAAGCGGCGGCGUGGUGGCCGGUAGCACGAGGCACGUGAGAGAAAGGGAGUGGCACGACCGCGCGGGUGAAAGGGCGAGCAGUUACGUGAGGGAGCGGUGGCGCGACGGCGCGAGGUAGAGGUGCGGCGACACCAGGGAGAGGAAGGCAGAGCAGGGGAGAGGAAGCAGACGGCGACACCGGGAAGAGGGAGGCACAGCAGGGAAGAGGAAGCAGCCGACGGCGCCGAGAAGAGGAAGGCAGAGCAGGGGAGAGGAAGCAGACGACGACACCGGGGAGAGGAAGGCAGAGCAGGGGACAAGAAGCAGCCGGCGGCGCCGUGGGCAUGUGAAAGUGGAUGACAGCUAGGUCACGCAUCCAGGAGGAUCUUUAUGUACACGGCUCUCGUGAUUAGUUCUGACUGGGCUGGGCUUCCGUCCUCCGAGCCGGACCGGGCUUUAACCGGACCGGACGGUCCAAAUUUCGGGCUCCUUUCCAUAGACCGAACCGGUCAAGUUAUCCAACCACACAUGUCUACCCUUACUUAAAUUUCAUGCAAAUUUAGCAAAAUUAUACCGGCCCACCAGGACCGCACGGUCCGGUCCAUAGCGGGCUGCGAGCCGGACCAAAAGCCCGCUCGUUAUGUCCACCCUGAGUCACCGUUGAAGAUGCCCUCAAAUGUAUGUCCGUGAGUUUCUCUCGUUUGUAGUCAUUUUGUCUAGCAUACACGUUCCUCCUCGGUUUAUAAGUAAGACGGUUAUGGGAUCGAGGAAUAGCCAUGAUCUCACGAGACUCAAAUCUGAAAAAACAGUCCGAAUAUCUCUAACGAAGCGAAAACAAGCAGUUGCAUGCCUGGUUCUGCUGGUGAUAGGCCUGUGAACUUUUAAGUUUCAAGCAAGAGCACGUCAUUUAUUAUUAUUAUUAUUAUUAUUGAGAAAAGAAAUACGUCUGCGUCUUGUGACGUGGAGAGUCUACCCGCAGGAGAGGGAUACAGACGGAAUUGAUUCACUANNNNNNNNNNNNNNNNNNNNNNNNNNNNNNNNNNNNNNNNNNNNNNNNNNNNNNNNNNNNNNNNNNNNNNNNNNNNNNNNNNNNNNNNNNNNNNNNNNNNNNNNNNNNNNNNNNNNNNNNNNNNNNNNNCGGAAUUGAUUCACUAGCUGGUGGGCCGAAGACGUGGUUGGCCCAGCGAGCGUUGCGGGUGCGCCCGGAAGCACGCCGCUCGAUUUAGCUCAGCGUCGAUCAUUUAGGCUAUGCUUGAUUCAGUUUUUUUUAUCAAUUUCUCUUUUGAAAAGCUAAAAAGUAAUUAAAGAAAUAAAUGUUUAAAGCAAUUUUUAAAAAUCUGUAGCUUUUUUAAUACUAAUUUUAAUGUUGGAUACCUCAACUUUUCAGUUUCCAUUUUUUUACAACAGCUUUUUUAGAAUCUAUAGCUCAACCAAACACAACCUUAAUACCAAACCGCGAGCCUGAAGACAUCUUUGCUGGUCAGAUACGCUCAUACAGAUCGGUGUGUCACCGAGGACGCACACACGAAUUGUUGUUAGUAGAUUACUCCAAGGCUAUUCGGUUUGCAGAGGUAAAAGGUCAACGUAUCGCUGUUAGUUGGUUACUUCGAGGCUAUACUCUCUUCAUACGAAUUUGUGAUUGUGAUGGUUGUAACAGUAGUAACUUAGCGGAAAUUCACACACUAGAGCGACAUAAAAUUAGUUGUACGAUUCUCACAUCUACCAAAAUUAGCUAAAUUGAAAAUGACUCACAACAUUUUGAUCACGCUUCACAUGCAUGAUCUUCACCUCUCUGNNNNNNNNNNNNNNNNNNNNNNNNNNNNNNNNNNNNNNNNNNNNNNNNNNNNNNNNNNNNNNNNNNNNNNNNNNNNNNNNNNNNNNNNNNNNNNNNNNNNNNNNNNNNNNNNNNNNNNNNNNNNNNNNNNNNNNNNNNNNNNNNNNNNNNNNNNNNNNNNNNNNNNNNNNNNNNNNNNNNNNNNNNNNNNNNNNNNNNNNNAGUUUCAAGCAAGAGCACGUCAUCCAAACAAACACGUCCAUAUCUUGUGAUGGAGAGAGUCUACCCGCAGGGGUACGGACGGAAUUGAUUCACUACUGUUGGCGUGUAUCAUAUACCUUUCGGACACGCUAGAGCGGGAAUGAUUGACGUCAGCACUACGCAAGCAGCUAAAAAAAAAACUCCUAGCAGCCGCAGUAAGCAGUCAUCAGUGCAUCAUCAGGAGAGUGGAUUUUUCGGUUUUAUUUCUAAACAUUCAAAAAAUCAACUUUUAAAGUUUCAAAAAUAUCUGAAAAGAAUACACAAGUAUUUAUAGAUGUAUACUAGAUGUGUGUGAAAUUUCAUCACAAAAUAGUUUUUAAGUGGCAUGUAACAAAAAAAAAAUCAUGUGAUUUUGUAAUGAAUAGUGCAUGUGCUAGAAAUACGUGUUUUUGGUCUUUUUUUUGUAGCUCACAUAAUAAUAUAUUUCAUCAUGAAACUUUGCAGACAUGUAAUAUACAUCAUUAUAUAUAUAUAUAUGUAUUUUUUCAAAAUAAAUAAAAAAUUAUAAUUUGGAAUUUUGUAUAUACAAGGCAUUUCUGGCUCCAUCAGUCCAUACUAUAAGGUGUGUGUGUUUUUUAAAAUUAAUAUCUGACCAAGAAUUUAACCAACAAAAUAUGAAUUAUGUGUCAAGCAUUUAUACCAUUGAAUUAGUAUUUAAAAAGGAAGUAUUCAACAAUAUGAUUUCCCAGCCGCAUGAUUUAAUUGACGGUCAAAUUUAAAUAUCAAAAAACAUGUGUGCCGUACGGAACAUAGACUUGGUUGUAGGUAUGUACUCCCUCUGUUUUUAUUCCUCCGCAUGUUUAGCUUUGUCUCAAGUCAAGCUUCAUAAAGUUUAACUAGUUUAUAAAAAAACAUUAGCAUGUACAAUACCAAAUCAAUGCCAUUACAUUCAUUGAAUACAUUUUCUAAAUCUGCGUCGGCUGGCCGUGCGCUUGUUGAUUUCACCGACGGCGAGCGGGUGGAAUUUUCCUCUCCUCCUCGUCUGGUGGGCCCUACCUUUAAAGGCCGUUUCAUGGGUGGGAAGACAGAUAAGUCAAAUACGUGUUCAUGCAUUGUGGGUAACCUACAAGUAGAGGAACGCUUUGGCUAGCUCUGGCUCCCCCUCCCCCCCCCCCGGUCGCUACCAACUCCCCUCUCAUCCACACCAGCCGUCAGCAGCCAACCCUUCUGGGUGUUUAAAUGGAUCCGGUGUGAUCUUCUCAAAUCCGGCUCGCUCAUUGCUGCAGAUUGUCAUGUUGCAACUCUCCAACUGUUUGAUCCUAUCGUUAGAUCGACCGACUUGGUCAUCGAGGGUAUGGGUCCAGGCUCUCGCUCGUUCGCUGAAGUCCUGAAGCAGGGCCUCGAGAUGGCUGACCAUAGAGGUGGCAACUCGAGUGCAGGUAUGUCAGGUCAGUCCAGGGCCGUUGUACAGAAAACCAACUCCGGAGGAGCACGAAAGCAAGCUCCAGCCCCGGUCCCUAAAGAUCCCGCCCUUGCUCCAAGGCCCACAAAAUCUAUUGCCCCAACUAUGACAUCCUCUCACGUGCAAUCCUCCUAUACCGCUGAAGUGGAAGUGGAACAAGUCCUAGAUCCCAGGUAUAAGGAUACGAUUUGCUUUAAUUGUGGUGGCCGUCGGCACUAUGUGCGUAACUGUGUGAAGCCUAAGUCUUGGUUCAUAUCUGAGCAAAACCAUAAUGUCAAUAAAUGUGCUGCUUGGUCCAAGGUUCAACCUACAAGUGUCUUUUUUGGUAGUGGUGCUAGAGGUCUUGGUUUUUACCAUGUGGAUGUUUGUGUGGCCAAUGAAUCCAAUUGGCUUAACUUUCAAAGUUGUGUUGUGGUGAACAUUCUCAAAGGUGAGGUAGAUAAAACUUUAUUGAGGAGUCUUCUGACUGAUUCCUUUUGCAAAACUAAGCACUGGCCUUGGCAGAUUAGAGACUUGUCAAGCAAAACUUUCCUUGUUAGGUUUCCACGAAGAGGGUAGACGAUCUGAUUGAGCUCCCUGGUUUUUGCCAACCUCAAGAUGUUUCUGUUAAAAUGACUGAAUGGAAAGGUGCUUGUGACUCUUCUGGGGAGUUGAUUGAAACAUGGGUCCUUAUUGAAGGGGUCCUCUUAAGUGGUGUACCUGGAAGGUGUUUGCUCAGGUUGCUUCUAUGUUUGGUGUUCCCACUGAUGUUGAUUGGAAUGGUAUGUUUAGGACCUUUUUUGAAAAUGUCAGAGUCAAGAUUGCUUGUAGGGAUCCUACCAAUCCUACAAAAAUCCUUUUACAGGGAGCUUUGGAAUCAACCAAUCAUUUUUUAAACAGUCGAUUCAAAAAGCAAUUAAUCUAGAAAUAUACCCGAGUGUAUUUUGAAAACCCACAACUGAAUUUUUGGAGACUGCACAUCUUACUGCAAAUGUGAGUGUGGAGUUUAUGAGAAUAUGUUGUUCACAACAAGAUUUGUGCAAAGCUUAUAAAAUUACCAAAUUUCUGUUUGUAAGCCAUAUUACUGCAGUGUUCCAAAUUAUCCUGCCAGGUGUCAUUUUGAUCGAUACUUUAUCAAACCUGGUUACUUUGGUCCAUGCAACAUUACAACACAACACGAUGUUACACAUGACAGAUACAAAGGAUAAUAACCUCCUGGCCUCCUUUUAUUUCUUUAUGUUACCCAGGUUUACACACAACAACUCAACAUUCAGCACCAAUGAUCUAAUCUUAUUCCCCCUUAUUAUAUUGGAUCCAAUGAGAAAAAAGGAUAACUGUGCUUGAUCAUAUGGAAAUAUCUGAAUAUAGACCAUAGCAAAAGGGGACUAGUACACUUCCAGUCAAUUUCGGCAUUGGAAACAAUCACCAAUGAUCUAUAGAAAAUUCCCAUUGUAUAUUUACAUGUGCAUGCAGUUAAAAUGACUUGAGACAAAUAUUGUGGGAGCUGAGAACACCAAUUCAGAUCCAUCUCCUUGUAGGAGCAGAGAACAAGGACAACUGCUCAAAUUUAGAAGUUUCAAUGUAGGAACAGAGUCAAAUUGGACACCUUUGUUUUAUCUCAUGCAGGAUAAGCCGAUCUCUAAUUCUAGAUACAAAAUCGAUCAACAGAGAUCGCAUCUAGGAAUGGAACUCAAGAAUUUGGAACGGAGCUGAGGGGAGGGGAAGAAAGACCUGGCCAUGGAGGGGGGAGGUGCGAUUGCUAUGGGAUCGGAGCUCCAUGGCAGAUUGGAGGUCUUGGAGCUCCAAGUCAGCCCUAGGCGUUGAUGGAAUAGAAGCGGUGGUCCCAGACGCGCUCACCAACGGUCCUGCAAGCCCGAGAAUGUACUGAUGCGCCCGGUGUCUGUGCACCCGUGGCCUGCUCACGGGUGUGACGGGGCGUCCGUGAGGGACGCAGCUUGCUGGAUGGAAACUGAAAGGAUGUGGAUGUCGCCUAGAGGGGGGGUGAAUAUGCGCUUUAAAAUAAUUACGGUUUAGGCUUGAACAAAUGCGGAAUAAAACUAACAUUUAAUUUGUCAAGCACAAAACCUACAACAACUAGGCUCACCUAUGUGCACCAACAACUUAUGCUAAGCAAGAUAAACAACUAAGUGAUAGCAAGAUAUAUGACAAUAAACAAUAUGGCUAUCACAAAGUAAAGUGUAUAAGUAAAGGGUUCGGGUAAGAGAUAACCGAGGCACGCGGAGACGAUGAUGUAUCCCGAAGUUCACACCCUUGCGGAUGCUAAUCUCCGUUGGAGCGGUGUGGAGGCACAAUGCUCCCCAAGAUGCCACUAAGGCCACCGUAAUCUCCUCACGCUCUCGCACAAUGCAAGAUGUCGUGAUUCCACUAAGGGACCCUUGAGGGCGGUCACCGAACCCGUACAAAUGGCAAACCUUGGGGGCAGUCACCGAUACCCGUACAAAUUGCUCAGGGCAAUCUCCACAACCUAAUUGGAGACCCCGACGCUUGCCCAGAGCUUUACACCACAAUGAUUGAGCUCCGAGACACCACCAAGUUUCUAGAACACCAAAGCAUCCACGAAGAACAAUAUCUAGGGUACUAAGUACCAAAGGUAAUAAGCUUCUCAAACUUCACUUCCACGUCUCACCGUGGAGAACUCAAACGAUGGAACUAAUGCAAUGGCAAGGGCACGCGGAGUGCCCAAGUCCUUCUCUCCCAAAUCCCACCAAAGCAACUAAUGCUAGGGAGGAAAAUGAGAGGAAGAACGAAGAAGAACACGAAGAACUCCAAGAUCUAGACCCAAGGGGUUUCCCUCACUUAGAGGAGAAAGUGAUUGGUGGAAAUGUGGAUCUAGAUCUCCUCUCUCUUUUCCUUCAAGAACUAGCAAGAAUCAUUGGAGGGAUUAAGAGUUAGCAAGCUUGAAGAAGGUCAACAAUGGGGGAAGAACACGAGCUAAAGAGAUAAGGUUCAAUCGGGAAAAAGACCCCCUUUUAUAGGUGGGAAAAAAUCCAACCGUUAAGCCUCACAGCCCGCAUAGCGCGGUACUACCGCUCAUGGAGCGGUACUACCGCUCGGUAGGUUCACCAACCAUGUUGAGGCCAAAAAGUAUGCAAAAAACAGCCCGACGGAGCGGUACUACCGCUUCUGGAGCGGUAGUAAAAAAUUACUACCGCUUCUGGAGCGGUAGUAAAAAAUUACUACCGCUCCGGGGGCGAUACUACCUCUCCGGGGGCAGUACUACCGCUACACGAGCGGUACUACCACUGGCACCAGGAGCGGUACUACCGCUGGAUACUGAAACUGCUGUAACUUUCGCAUACAGACUCCAAAUUCAACGAAACCAAGUUUGUUGGAAAGCUAACGACAUGGGCUAACACGAUCUUGAUAGAAAUAUCAAUAAGAAGCAAGUGAUAAAAGUCCCAUAAGAAAAUGGUGAGAACCCUUCUUCGAAUAAGACCGGUAAAAACUCCCAACAUCGAAAACAUCAUAGAAGAUGCAUAUGGACUCCGUUUUCAAUGAACUCGAGCUUGUCAUGAAGAUGAACAUCAGCUCUAAAACUCACAAAAAGAAACAUCAAACAAGAACCAAGAAGUAUGAUGCAAGGAUGCAAAUGGUUUGAGCUCUCAAUGAGCGAUACGAUCAAGCUACUCACUUGAGAGCCCCCCUUGAUAGUACGACAAUCUAUCCUAAAACAGAAAACCUAUCAAGGGCAAACCUAUACCUUGCACCUCUUCUAUUGAGCUAGAUGGCGAUGAUCUUGGCUUCCUCAAGAUGGACCACCUUUCUUGAUUGCGUUGGCUUGAUGAAGACUAGUUGAUUGCUCCCCCAUACACACUAUGGGUGAGCCGCUCUUCAGCAUAUCUUCACAAGUCCAUUGCCACCAAAUGGACGGCAAGAAUCAAGCAUGAUAUAUUCGUGUUGAUCCACUUGAACUUGCACGCUGCAAUCUUGAUGACGAUCACCACUUGACGUCAUCCUUCAUGGGUUGUAUGAGAUCUUCCUUUUGACGCAAGCCCAUGGAAGCACACCUAACCCCCACAUAGAACUCUCACAAAGACCAUGGGUUAGUACACAAACACGUAAUGGACAAUGCUUACCAUACCAUGGGAUCACUUGAUCCCUCUCGGUACAUCUUGUACGCUUUGUGUGUUGAUUAUCUUGAUUUACUCUUUGUCUGAGAUCUUUAUCAACCUUGUGUCUCUAUGACCAUUCUUUGGAUAAUACCUUGAAUACCAUCUUGGUCAUCAUAUAAACUCCUUGAACCCAACGGAUGGACUUCAAGAAGUGCCUAUGGACAAAUCCUAUAAAUAUAACUUAAGGCAACCAUUAGUCCAUAGGAAUUGUCAUCAAUUACCAAAACCAUAUAUGGAUAUAUAUGCUCUAACAAUCUCCCCCAUUUUGGUAAUUGAUGACAACCACUUCAAGAGAGUUUAUAUAAGGAAAUAAGCAUAACCAAGCGCAUACAUACAAAGCAAUAAUGCAUGCGUGCAAGAUGUAAAUGCUUACGCAAUAAAAGCAAAACCCUCUAAACAUAUCCAAAGUAAACUCUCUAAACUUCUCCCCCAUUGGCAUCGAUUGCCAAAAUGGACGAAAAGUUUAGAAAACCAAUAAAGUAGGUGGUCCUCCAAAAAGUGUGUACUUCUCAGCAAACGAGUGCAAAGAGAUACACAAAUACAAUGAUAAGUAGUUGGAGGAAAACAAACUAUAUUGAUGACCCAAAGAUUGCAAAUAAAAGGAUCGUAUGCCACAAAGACAUACAAAAAAUAGAGGCAAGCAAUCAAAAGAUACCAGAUGGAACAAACAAUCAUAUGGUCCUUCGAACCACAUGAAUAAAAGAUAUUAUGAUAAAGGAAACAGAGUGUUUUAUCAAAACUAGAAAAGCUCCCCAUGAUUUGUGCACUAAUACGAGAUUUUUGUAUUUGAUAUAAGUGCACAAAAUAGGAUCGUUGCUCCCCCAAAAUUAAUAAAAACACACAACGAGUGCAAGAAGAUAGAUGAGACAAUGAGCAUACCAAUUGCACAAAACAAAUGGUUGAAUAACAUGUAGAAGAAGCAACUUAAGAAUAGGCUCAACCAAAAUAAUGUGUGUGAGUCAUGGCAAAGCACUUGAGAAGACUAAGAUAAGGAUGAGCAUUACUCAUCAACAUAGUCUUGAUGAAAUGAGAAACAAAGUGCAAGACAUAUCAUUCCCACACACACAUACUAGAAAAUGGGUUCACAAGCUUACUAAUAAACAAAAUAAGAACCAAUGCUUGUGACAACCCAUGGUGAAGAUAGGAAAUAAGAACCUUGUCGAGAGGAGGAAUACCAAUCGAAAUGGCAAAACCCUCAUCAAGACAAGCAUGAGGAAAAAUAAUCUUCACGGCCAAAGAGUGCAUCAAGAUGUAGGAAAAUAAGAUACGCACUCAAGACAAAUCCUUUCACGAAGCCACCAAAAACUGAAAAAGGAAAUGCAACGGUGGACGUGAAAGAAAAGAGGAUAUCAAUAAGAGAUGUAACUUCUCUCAUGUGUAAAAGAUUCUAAGUAGAAGACAAUCAUGAUGAUAUAUAUCCACAAAGAAGGAUGUACACACGAAAUGGUUACAAGAAGGAACAAACUGGAUAUCCAAAAGGAAGUCAUAAAUAUAUCAAUAAGAUCUUUUGCUUUGAAGCAUAGCACAUGGCCUAAUAUUUUCUUAUUGUACAAUAUGAACUUCCAACAUACGAACAUCAAAGACAUCCCAACUACUAGUAAGACAUCAUCGUUCGGAUGCUUUGUGAAAGGAAACAAGUACUACAAGAACGAAUCAAGAGAUUCAUGCCAUGAUGCAACUUGGAAAAGAAAAGACAUGUUGGAGCCUUUGCAAGAAAAGAAUGCAUGAAGUGGAUACUUGUUACCGAGACAACAUUGGAUUGAUGUAGUAGAUAGUUGUUCUUUGAUCAUCCUAACUUGGCUCCAAUAAUCACAUGGUCUCAACACCUACCUUAUAGGUGAGCCGAGCAUCCAAUGCAUCUCCAGUUGUUCCUGGAACAGCAAAAAAACAAAAUGGUGCCCAAAUUCAUUGGGAUCAAAGAGUUAGAAAACCAACGAUACAUAGGACAAACUCCACAUACAUAUGUGCAUAUAUAUAUGAAUUUGAAUUUCAUGCACACUUUAGCCAAUUUAUGACAAGGUGGAGUUUCCCCUAUAUAUUGGGUCAAAGAAAGAAAGAAAGCAAAAGAAGCUGUAUAUAGUAGAUAUGCAUGCUCAAGACUCUCAAGAAUCAACUCAACACAAAGUUGAUAAGUCACCAAAAGACAAGGCAUCAAGUGAUAAUAAGAUCCCAAACAAAAAAAACUAUCACUUGAAGGAUAUCAAUUAAAAGAUACCUCAAGGAAUGAGAUAUCCAUUGACACAUGCCAAAUAAAAGGAAACAAGAUACCAAUUGAAGGAAAACAAACACGAGGUAUCUAAUUUCCAAAAGAGAGCUACGUUCCAACAAACCAAACCCUCAACAAAUUUUCAUGAUGGCACAAAGCAUCAUAAAGAGCAAGACUUGCCUCCCAUCAACACACACUUGAUGGGGAUCAAAAGACUUUAUGAUGGGUGAAUAAAGAGAGUGUUCUAAAGAAAAUAGGAUAGCUCCCCCAAGGGACGUGCAUUAUAUAGGAUUUGCAUUUAAAUACAAAAUGCACAAGAUGGGAUCAUCACUUUCUCUAUAUCUAUAAAAACACUAGACAUGUUAAAAAAGAUCCACAAGAGGCAAGGAAGACAAACGAAAUACAAAAUCCAAUGUAAAGACGAUUAGCAAUUCCUACCACAUGAUGGGAAUACCAAUUGUCAAGGACAAGAAGUAUUUUGGAAAUGAUACUCAUUGGUAGAUCACAAAUAUAUCCAAGAUCAUCUUUACCCAUAAAACGCAAGCAAAUGACACUUGUAGAGCUAACAUGCCACCUAGGAACAAGAUAAUUUACAAUAUCAACACUAAGUGGCAACACCUCAAAUGUACACAUUUUCUAUGUUUGUAAUAUGCACAUAGCAUAUUACUCCCCCAUAAUGUGAUACACCAACAAUAUUAACAAGUGGCAAACUAAAACAAACAAGAGAUAAUUAAUGGACCAUAUAGAAUUUGAAUUUCUCUUGAGUAAGACAUACCACAUAGAAACUAGAUAAUCUUGAAAUAUCAAUACUAAGUGGUAUUCCCUAUGUAUACACAUUUAUAGGAUUGUGAGGUGUGCAAAGCACAUUACUCCCCCACAAUGGGAUAAUCCAUUAAUCUCUCACAAGAGCCAACAAAGAUACAAACAAGAUGCAAAAAAGGCUCAAUACAAGACUCACAUGUACAUGAUAUGCAAACCAACAUACACAUACUCGAUUACUCAAGAUAAGCAAGUUGGAAGCACAACAUAUACAAACACAUGCAAGGUACAAAACCACAACAUGCAAAGGGGCAAGCAACUAACAAUGUGAACAGUUUAAGUACAAGUUACCAUAAGGAGGCACAUUGGAUAUAAGAUAGAAACUCGAUAAUCCAAAUGACUUGGCUUGAGAUAAUAUGAAUUAUGAAGACCCCUUAAUUCUUAAUUAUGUAUCCAAGUCUAUAAUGUCCUCCACAUUCACCUAUUGAUCAAGUUUGAGCUUGUUGGUCCCCAACCACGUUGGGUUCUAAGAGGUUAGUCACAAUAGGCUUGGCAACCCAAAUGGUACUUUUCUUGACACCACUUUGAGUACCAACAAACUUGGCAAACACAUUGCCAACCUUAUACUUCCCAAGAGAAUAGAUAUCAUCAAUAAUGAUUGGGUUGGAUAAAUUACCUCUCGUGCAAGAUGAAGCGAAGUGACCCUUCUCACGACAUAAGUAGCAACAUCUACCCUUCAAUUUCUUCCCUAUUAAUUUCUCAACAUGAGGAGUGUUGGCUUGGGUCUUCUUAGCAAGGGGCAUUUCUUCAAGUUGUAAUUGAGUAUGUGAUUGAACUUGUGGCCGCUUCCCUUGUUGCUUGUGACUUUGGGGCUUCUUGUUUCGUGGGCAAGAUCUAACAUGGUGCCCUUCAAUUUUGCACUUGAAGCAAAUAAUCUUGGCCGAAUUCUUGACUUGUUCUUGGCCCUUCUUCUUUAAGUUUUUGGACUUCUUUUUCUUGUUGGAGUUGAAUCCAAGCCCAUCUUUGUCAUUCAGGGAUUUUUGCCCACACAAGACAUUGUUGAGUGUGGACAUCCCUUCAUGACUCUUUUCCAAGUAUUUCUUCAAAGAAGUGACUUGAGCCUUGAGCUCUUCGAUUUCCUCUACAUGGUUAGUAUCAACACAAGUACUAGAGGAAGUAUAAGCUUCAUUGUUAGAGCAACAAGGAAAGGAAAGUAAUUCAUCACAAAAGGUAGCAACAUUAUGAGUAGAAGAAUUACGAGGACUAGCACAUGGCAAUAUAGCAUUUUAACUAGAAGUAGUGCCAUUGUCCACAUGAGGCUCACUUGAUGUUACCUUGGUAGUAAUAGCCUCAUGAGCUAAUUUUAGCGCAUUAUGGGAUGCUAGAAUAUCAUCAUGAGAUCUUGUGAGCAUUACACGGCUUUCUUCCAAUUUCCCAUAAUUGCUAGAUAGCAACUCAAGUUGAGCCCUUAGCUCAACAUUCUCCUUGAAAAUGGAUGCUUCACAAGAAGUAGAGUUAGUAGCACAAGCAUCAUCAUUAGCAAUAAGAGGAGAAGGCACCUUGGCAAGCUCUUUAGCAUAUGAAGCUUCAAGUUGAGCAUGAGACUCGGUGAGUUCGAUGAGCGAACUCUUAAUAGCCAUUCAGCUAUUUUCGAGGUGCUCAUAGUGUUGGAAUUAUGCCCUAGAGGCAAUAAUAAAUGUAUGGUUAUUAUUAUAAUUCCUGUAUCAAGAUAAUAGUUUAUUAUCCAUGCUAUAAUUGUAUUGAAUGAAGACUCAUUUACAUGUGUGGAUACAUAGACAAAACACCGUCCCUAGCAUGCCUCUAGUUGGCUAGCCAGUUGAUCGAUGAUAGUCAGUGUCUUCUGAUUAUGAACAAGGUGUUGUUGCUUGAUAACUGGAUCACGUCAUUAGGAGAAUCACGUGAUGGACUAGACCCAAACUGAUAGACAUAGCAUGUUGAUCGUGUCAUUUUGUUGCUACUGUUUUCUGCGUGUCAAGUAUUUAUUCCUAUGACCAUGAGNNNNNNNNNNNNNNNNNNNNNNNNNNNNNNNNNNNNNNNNNNNNNNNNNNNNNNNNNNNNNNNNNNNNNNNNNNNNNNNNNNNNNNNNNNNNNNNNNNNNNNNNNNNNNNNNNNNNNNNNNNNNNNNNNNNNNNNNNNNNNNNGAUCAUAUAACUCACUGACACCGGAGGAAUGCUUUGUGUGUAUCAAACGUCGCAACGUAACUGGGUGACUAUAAAGAUGCUCUACAGGUAUCUCCGAAGGUGUUAGUUGAGUUAGUAUGGAUCAAGACUGGGAUUUGUCACUCCGUGUGACGGAGAGGUAUCUCGGGGCCCACUCGGUAAUACAACAUCACACAUAAGCCUUGCAAGCAAUGUAACUUAGUGUAAGUUAUGGGAUCUUGUAUUACGGAACGAGUAAAGAGACUUGCCGGUAAACGAGGUUGAAAUAGGUAUGCGNNNNNNNNNNNNNNNNNNNNNNNNNNNNNNNNNNNNNNNNNNNNNNNNNNNNNNNNNNNNNNNNNNNNNNNNNNNNNNNNNNNNNNNNNNNNNNNNNNNNNNNNNNNNNNNNNNNNNNNNNNNNNNNNNNNNNNNNNNNNNNNNNNNNNNNNNNNNNNNNNNNNNNNNNNNNNNNNNNNNNNNNNNNNNNNNNNNNNNNNNNNNNGACAUACGGGAUUAUACGAAUCCUUGGCACUGAGGUUCAAACGAUAAGAUCUUCGUAGAAUAUGUAGGAUCCAAUAUGGGCAUCCAGGUCCCGCUGUUGGAUAUUGACCGAGGAGUCUCUCGGGUCAUGUCUACAUAGUUCUCGAACCCGCAGGGUCUGCACACUUGAGGUUCGACGUUGUUUUACGCGUAUUUGAGUUAUAUGGUUGGUUACCGAAUGUUGUUCGGAGUCCUGGAUGAGAUCACGGACGUCACGAGGGUUUCCGGAAUGGUCCGGAAACGAAGAUUGAUAUAUAGGAUGACCUCAUUUGAUUACCGGAAGGUUUUCGGAGUUACCGGGAAUGUACCGGGAAUGACGAAUGGGUUCCGGGAGUUCACCGGAGGGGGGCAACCCACUCCGGGGAAGCCCAUAGGCAUUUGGGGGGGUCACACCAGCCCUUAGUGGGCUGGUGGGACAGCCCACCAAUCCCCUAUGCGCCAAGAGAGAAAAAUCAAAGAAAAAAAAAGGAAGAAGUGGGAAGGGGGAAGGACUCCCUCCCACCAAACCAAGUAGGACUCGGUUUGGGGGGGGAGAGUCCUCCCCCCUGGCUCGGCCGACCCCUUGGGGAUCCCUUGGACCCCAAGGCAAGGUCCCCCUCCCUCCUCCUAUAUAUAUGGGGCUUUUAGGGCAGAUUUGAGACGACUUUCUCACGGCUGCCCGACCACAUACCUCCAUAGUUUUUCCUCUAGAUCGUGUUUUUGCGGAGCUCGGGCGAAGCCCUGCUGAGACAAGAUCAUCACCAACCUCCGGAGCGCCGUCAUGCUGCCGAAGAACUCUUCUACCUCNNNNNNNNNNNNNNNNNNNNNNNNNNNNNNNNNNNNNNNNNNNNNNNNNNNNNNNNNNNNNNNNNNNNNNNNNNNNNNNNNNNNNNNNNNNNNNNNNNNNNNNNNNNNNNNNNNNNNNNNNNNNNNNNNNNNNNNNNNNNNNNNNNNNNNNNNNNNNNNNNNNNNNNNNUCGUCGAGCUGUACGUGUGCUGAACGCGGAGGUGCCGUCCGUUCGGUACUAGAUCGUGGGACUGAUCGCGGGAUUGUUCGCGGGGCGGAUCGAGGGACGUGAGGACGUUCCACUACAUCAACUGCGUUCUCUAACGCUUCUGCUGUACGAUCUACAAGGGUACGUAGAUCACUCAUCCCCUCUCGUAGAUGGACAUCACCAUGAUAGGUCUUCGUGCGCGUAGGAAAUUUUUUUGUUUCCCAUGCGACGUUCCCCAACACAUAGUCCUCAAGGAGUUUAGCAUGUGCAACUCCAAGCUUAUCAUUUUUAGUUCCAAAAUCAUUAGCCACCUCGAGAGCUCUAUCAUGGGAUCCCUUUAAUCUAGAUAAUUCUAGAGCAAAGGUUUCCUCAAGAGAUUCCUGGGUGGUUUGUUCAUUUUCAAGAGCUUGAGAUAGCUCUGCGAUCUCAUUAGCGUAAUCACGCUCAUGACCUUCCAUUGUCUCAAUGGUGGCCUCAUGCUCCUCAGGAUGAUCUUCCAACUCCUCAAUGUAUUUCUUGCCCUCAGUGGCAAUAGACAUGAUUUCCAAGAAGUUGGAACAAGCAAGUUUAUUCUUAUAAAGAGAUUUAAAAUCAUUUCACCCUUAAUUUUGAAGGAUGCAGCAAUAUCACUCUUUUCAUCAUUAUUCUCAUCCUCAUUAUCAUGAACACCAUCAUCAUGAGAUACACUUGGAUUCAAAGUAGGAGAUACCUUUGAAGCCUUAGCCAUAAGGCAAAAGUGAGUAGCAAUAGAUGAUGAUGUAGGAUCCCUUGAAGCAUCAUUCAAGGCCACAUCUUGUUCCAUGGAGUGAUGAUUUUCUUCUACAUUGUUAGCACAAGAACUCGAGGAAAUAUAUACAUUUUUAUCAUGGCAACAAGAUAUAGGAAGCAUGUCAUCAUGAGAUUUAGUCAAGCAGUUUUUACAUGAUAUGCAAGGACUAUCAACACAAGUAUGUAAAACAUUUAGAGUGCUCGAAGUGUUAAUGCCCAAAGAUGAAGCAUUGCAAUAAUAUAGUGAUGAAGGAUCAUCAACAAUAAACCCACUAUCAUCAUUGCAAUCAUCACCACUACUCACCAUAUCAUUACCUUGUAGCAAUCCACAUGUAGGUGAAGUAGAUGAAGUUGAGAAGACGACACGACCGGAGGUGAAGGGAGAACAAUCAUUCCCACAAAUCUUGGACAUACCAUAUUUAUCUUGAAGCUUUGUCCACAACUCAUGAGCAUCCUGGAAUGGCAUGAGUUGAAAUAUAACUACAUUGCUCAAAGCAUCAAAAAGCACAUUAGAAGCUUGAGCAUUGAGAUAAGAGUUUUUCUCAUCCUCUAAAGAUAUAUUUUGAGAAUCCUUUGGAGGAGAAAAACACAUAUCUACAAUUCUCUCCAAAUUUGGGUCCAAGACCCGAAAGUGAUUAAGCAUGUGAAUUACCCAAACAUCAAAAUUUGUGCCAUCGAAACUAAAAGUGUGAGUGAAUCCUAAACACCUAGUCAGCAUCCUUACUCUCUAGGUGGUUAAACCUAAUAAAGAAAGACCUAGCCCCGAUACUAAUUGAAAGGACGUGGAUGUCGCCUAGAGGGGGGUGAAUAGGUGCUUUAAAAUAAUUACGGUUUAGGCUUGAACAAAUGCGGAAUAAAACUAACGUUUAAUUUGUCAAGCACAAAACCUACAACAACUAGGCUCACCUAUGUGCACCAACAACUUAUGCUAAGCAAGAUAAACAACUAAGUGAUAGCAAGAUAUAUGACAAUAAACAAUAUGGCUAUCACAAAGUAAAGUGUAUAAGUAAAGGGUUCGGGUAAGAGAUAACCGAGGCACGCGGAGACGAUGAUGUAUCCCGAAGUUCACACCCUUGCGGAUGCUAAUCUCCGUUGGAGCGGUGUGGAGGCACAAUGCUCCCCAAGAUGCCACUAAGGCCACCGUAAUCUCCUCACGCUCUCGCACAAUGCAAGAUGUCGUGAUUCCACUAAGGGACCCUUGAGGGCGGUCACCGAACCCGUACAAAUGGCAAACCUUGGGGGCGGUCGCCGAUACCCGUACAAAUUGCUCGGGGCAAUCUCCACAACCUAAUUGGAGACCCCGACGCUUGCCCGGAGCUUUACACCACAAUGAUUGAGCUCCGAGACACCACCAAGCUUCUAGAACGCCAAAGCAUCCACGAAGAACAAUAUCUAGGGUACUAAGUACCAAAGGUAAUAAGCUUCUCAAACUUCACUUCCACGUAUCACCGUGGAGAACUCAAACGAUGCAACUAAUGCAAUGGCAAGGGCAAACGGAGUGCCCAAGUCCUUCUCUCCCAAAUCCCACCAAAGCAACUAAUGCUAGGGAGGAAAAUGAGAGGAAGAACGAAGAAGAACACGAAGAACUCCAAGAUCUAGACCCAAGGGGUUUCCCUCACUUAGAGCAGAAAGUGAUUGGUGGAAAUGUGGAUCUAGAUCUCCUCUCUCUUUUCCCUCAAGAACUAGCAAGAAUCAUUGGAGGGAUUGAGAGUUAGCAAGCUUGAAGAAGGUCAACAAUGGGGGAAGAACACGAGCUAAAGAGAUAAGGUUCAAUGGGGAAGAAGACCCCCUUUUAUAGGUGGGGAAAACUCCAACCGUUAAGCCUCACAGCCCGCACAGAGCGGUACUACCGCUCAUGGAGUGGUACAACCGCUCGGUAGGUUCACCAACCAUGCUGAGGCCAAAAAGUAUGCAAAAAACAGCCUGACGGAGCGGUACUACCGCUAGGGAGUACUACCGCUCCGGGGGCGGUACUACCUCUCCGGGGGCGGUACUACCGCUCGCACCACGAGCGGUACUACCGCUGGAUACUGAAACUGCUGUAACUUUCGCAUACGGACUCCGAAUUCAACGAAACCAAGUUUGUUGGAAAGCUAACAACAUGGGCUAACACAAUCUUGAUAGAAAUAUCAAUAAAAAGCAAGUGAUAAAAGUCCCAUAAGAAAAUGGUGAGAACCCUUCUUCGAAUAAGACCGGUAAAAACUCCCAACAUCGAAAACAUCAUAGAAGAUGCAUAUGGACUCCGUUUUCGAUGAACUCGAGCUUUUCAUGAAGAUGAACAUAAGCUCUAAAACUCACAAAGAGAAACACCAAACAAGAACCAAGAAUUAUGAUGCAAGGAUGCAAAUGGUUUGAGCUCUCAAUGAACGAUACGAUCAAGCUACUCACUUCAGAGCCCCCCUUGACAGUACGACAACCUAUCCUAAAACAGAAAACCUAUCAAGGGCAAACCUAUACCUUGCACCUCGUCCUAUUGAGCUAGAUGACGAUGAUCUUGGCUUCCUCAAGAUGGACCACCUUUCUUGGUUGUGUUGGCUUUGUGAAGACUAGUGGGUCGCUCCCCCAUACACACUAUGGGUGAGCCGCUCUUCAGCAUAUCUUCACAAGUCCAUUGCCACCACAAUGGACGGCAAGCAUCAAGCAUGAUAUAUUCGUGCUGAUCCACUUGAACUUGCACACCGCAAUCUUGAUGACAAUCACCACUUGACGUCAUCCUUCAUGGGUUGUAUGAGAUCUUCCUUUUGAUGCAAGCUCAUGGAAGCACACCUAACCCCCACAUAGAACUCUCAUAAAGACCAUGGGUUAGUACACAAACACGUAAUGGACAAUGCUUUCCAUACCAUGGGAUCACUUGAUCCCUCUCGGUACAUCUUGUACGCUUUGUGUGUUGAUCAUCUUGAUUUACUCUUUGUCUGAGAUCUUUAUCAACCUUGUGUCUCUAUGACCAUUCUUUGGAUAAUACCUUGAAUACCAUCUUGGUCAUCAUAUAAACUCCUUGAACCCAACGGAUGGACUUCAAGAAGUGCCUAUGGACAAAUCCUAUAAAUAUAACUUAAGGCAACCAUUAGUCCAUAGGAAUUGUCAUCAAUUACCAAAACCACAUAUGGAUAUAUAUGCUCUAACAAACACGUCGGCAUACAUUCUUCGUGCAUAACCACCAUCCGCUGCCGCAAGCCAUGGAUGGAACAAUUGAAUUUUUUUCUCCUCCUGCUCUCCCCUCGACUAUGCCCAGGAUUUGUUGUUGGGGCGGCGAAUCGACGACCAUAUCAAGAGCUAGACGAAGGUAGGGGAAGGAGGGGGUGCCGACAAAGGUCAGGAGGGCAAGGACUAGCUGGGAUCUGGCCGGAGUUGGUCGUGGACGAUGGUGGCGGAAGGGGGAAGGGGAAAGGGGGAAACAACUGAAGAAAAGACCACAUGUUAUCUGAGGAAAAACAAAAGGGGCGUUUUGCAAAAAUGUCGUCGCGGCAUGAAUUUUGGGACGGAGGGAGUACAUAACAGUUAAAGAAAUAUGCAUCACACUUGGAGCUCCAAAUAAUGUAUGCAGUAUGAUUUGUUGGGACAUGCCUUUGACUGAUUGUUGCUCGUUAAUACAAUCCUCCGUCCGAAAAUACUUGUUAAAAAAUAAAAUAGAUGUACAAAGAACUAAAAUACAUAUAAAUACAUCCAUUUCCCCGAGAAGUAUUUUUAGACUAAGGGAGUAUGAAUGAGAAAUCAUACCCAAUCCCCAAGAAAAAAUAUGUUUCUGUAAAGAAAUUAGGCAUGAUGCGUAAAAAAAAUAAGCAUGAUGUUUUGGAGAUGACUUCAGCCAAACAUUGGCUAUGAAUAUCAUUUUAUUUAUUUUUAUUAGAUAUUUGAAAAGCAUACAAACAUGAUCCAGCCUUUUUUUAAAAGGUGGUCUAGGGUUUGCCUCCGCAGUCAUCUGCCUCUGUCGUAGAACAUCGACCUCCUCCUCAUACGUCGAUGGGGGUGUGCGGAGAGGCCGUGAUCUGUCGAUGGGAGCCAUAGCUUCUCCCUCUUGGGAUCUUGGGUAGGUCUUCGUUCGGCGGCAGCGAGACGAUGGUGCUUAUGUAAGAUGGGUCGGGAGGAGUGUGUAAGAUGGGUUGUAUCGUCGGGAGGCAUGUGUAAGAUUUGUUGUCCUUAGACCUAGUUCUUCGAGCAAGCAUUAUUUAUUUUGCAUGUUUGUGUGACUGUGCUAUCCUGUAGGAUGAACAACGUGGUUGGACGUCUUGAACCUUCGGCUCUAGUUCUAGAUGACUGAAAGGUUAGUCCUUUUCGACCUUGUUGGAGAGGGUAUCAUGUUUGUGUCCCCCGAACUCCGUUGGCCAGAAUUGGGCAUUCAACAAACCCUCUUUGUUGUUCCUUCCCCGGAACGGCAAUUUGCUAUGCAAGUCACAUGUGUCGACUUCUUGUGUUCUCUGAAUCGGUCAAGCAAAAAUUGGGGUGUUCUAUAGACCCUCUUAGAUGUUUCCUCUCUAGACCGGCUUCCCUGUCACUAUUUCUACAAGCUAUUGGGCUUAAACAAGUUUGCCACUGAAACAGAGGCCUAGAGGUGGAACGAGUUGCGCACGGCUCGUCAUCAAGUGGUUGCAGGAGGAAGAAGACUUCCACAUCCAAAGGAUUUGGAUCAUUUGUCAGUUUCUGCAAUUGUGUUUUAUAAGGUUUGUGGUACCUAAUAUUUGGCAUUCGACCUUUUUCGCAACAAUUUGUCUUGAAAAAUUAUUUGUGAAAGUGUUUAUAUAGUUAACACAAAUUAGUGGUUGCAACUUGAAGAUCUUGUUGCCAACUUUUUUAUAAAAAAUUGUCUUGAAAAGUUACUUCUGAAAUAUUUAUAUAUUAACAUAAAAUAGUGGUUGCAUCUUGAAGGUUCUUCCCGUCUAGGCCCCGUUCUUCUAGCAUCGUCGGUAGGCGUGUGGAGGUGUGUCUCCGAAGGAUCUGUCUUUGAUAGGUCUACUUAGAUCUGGUCAUCGUUUGUCUUCGGUCAUGUGUCUUUAGGUCGGAUCCUUCUGAUCUACCCUACUCUUCAUCAGCGCUGGUUGUUGUUCUUGUGUAUUGGUCCUAUGGCCCCUAGCACAACGAUUUCUCGACAACCUAUUAUUACAAGGUUUGCCCGGCUCCCACGAGGGAGGGGCGAUGACAGCGGCGCGCCUUUAGCACGCUUCCGUUCUUCUAGUCGUCGAUAGAUAGUCUAUAAAUGUAUUUUUUUAUUAUUUUUACGCGUUGUAUUUCAAACGGAGAUACCGGCAAAAGUCUAGUUUUCCGAAUGCAUUUUUCUGAGAAUCCAUCGAGUUACUCCCUCGGUUCCUAAAUAUAAGACAUUUUAAAGAUUUCACUAUAGAAUAGAUACAAAGCAAAAUGAGUGAAUCUAUAUUUUAAAAUAUGACUACAUACCUUCGUAUGUAAUUCAUAAUGAAAUCUCUAAAAGAUCUUAUAUUUAGGAAGGGGGGGAGUAUGUUACAUUUAAGUUGAGCUUUGAAAAACCGACCACGGCAAUUUUAUUUCGUUUUGGAAAACCAGGCAGAAUUUUGGCUUCUUUGACUCACAGGAUUCACAAAAUACAUUAAUGGGAAUAUCACAUGAUUAGAGCGGCAUGUGCUCUUCAAUCCUAUAGGGUUAGAAAGCCACGUACAUUUGGAGUAGAGAGGGUUUGAUAUAUAUCAGAGAAAAAUAUGUAGCAAGAGGCUUGAUGGAAUGGAAAUAAUUUUCCUUUCAAAACAGAUUGCAUAUUGCAAAAAGGAUUUCUUUAGAAAAAUUCCCAAGGAAUAGCCUGCACGACUUUGGCAAGCCUUGUAAAAACAGACCCAAAAAAGAAGAAGAGAAGAAGGAGAAGGNNNNNNNNNNNNNNNNNNNNNNNNNNNNNNNNNNNNNNNNNNNNNNNNNNNNNNNNNNNNNNNNNNNNNNNNNNNNNNNNNNNNNNNNNNNNNNNNNNNNNNNNNNNNNNNNNNNNNNNNNNNNNNNNNNNNNNNNNNNNNNNNNNNNNNNNGCAUAGAAUUGCGACAGCCUAUGUUGAUAGGACACCAACCGCAUUCGGAUCUCGUAUCAGAUCGGUGGUCUUGAUAGCACGUAGUGAACAGAGGAAAAGAAAUAGUGGUCAAGACAGGGUACGUACGAACGGACACGACCGCGGCUAGUUGUUAGUUGGCAGCUGGCACGGAGAAAGCGACCGAGACCCGGCACAAAAAAAAUGGUAACUGAGAUCAUCUUCAACCACCAUUUGAAAACUCGGGCUCUCAAAUGCCCCUGAACGCGUCUGGUUAGUGACCUAGGGCGUUUCGUAUUUGUCCGUUCGAGUAGUCACAUUUAAUAUUUCUUUCCUCAUAUGUCUGAUCACUUGUACGUGAUUGAUGAAAAUGAAUAAAGAAAAAGAAAAUAACUAUUAAAGAAAAGAAAAAUGUGGUUUGGGAUGGGGUCGCGUCCUAUGUGACAGACUGAUCGGGGCGUCCGGCUGCGUUUGCGAGCCCCUCGUAUCCUCUUCAUAUUUAAGAUGGACUAGUAAAAGUGCCCGUGCGUUGCAUCGGGUUAGAUUGUCAAUUUUUGGAUCAUGUAUUUCGUAUUUGACCCCCCCCCUCCCAUCAUGUUCUUUAUCAACAUCUACUUGCGAACUCCGCACCGCCUUUGAAUUGCAAGUAGGUAUGUAAACAUACGACAAAUGAUUAUAUAUAGUAGCGACUAAUACCUAUACAAACUCUUCAAGCAAAAAAAAAGGUACUAAUAGAAACAAUUUCCUCCAUAUGAAUGGCUGCCCAGCAGCUCCGAAGAACAGCUACUUGCAUCUGUAUCAUUAGCAAUUGAAAGUUAAGUUGUAAAUAAAGGCAGAAACUUCUCGGCAAAAACUUGAAAAUUUGAUUUUUGUAAGAGAUAUAGCAAUUUCAAUGGUCAUUAUUUUAGCAGUCUUAUUUUAUUUUUUUUCCGUAAAAUUUAAUAUCCAUAGAUCAUAAGAUGACCUGCAUGAUUAUAUAUUUUAAAUAUAUUCAAUUAAGUCCAAAUGGCCGAAAGAGUUGUUCAUAAAUAUAAUGAAUUGAACAAUGCCUAUAUUUCCUUUCUCAGAGGAUUCGUGUACUAUAAUUUGGACCUUGCUCGCAUAGUUGGGUAUUGAAACUCCUUAUUUCAUUUAGUUCAUGAACAAUUUGGACUUGGUCGAGCAAUCCAUUGUUUUGUGUUGGAGAAGGACACCGUCACGAAUUCAAUCCAAGUCAGACAUGGCAACACGAGAAGGCUCUGCCAGUGGCGAACAGAUCACAGCGGCGUGCUCUCAGCCGGCACUGGUGGACGGGUACUCACCCUGCCUCCUCGAUGCAUGCUCUCCCCCACCAGCAGCGCUUGCGGUCGCGCCGCUCCGUCCUCGCCUCUCCUCGUCCCUGCUUCCGACCACCUCGGCAGCCCUGGUCUACAGCCCCUCAUCGUCCUCUGCUCCGGCCGCACCUUCACUACUGGAAAACAGUUUUUUGCCAUCUGCCUAGUCUUUGUCGUCUGCUAGCUGACGGCAAAGACACUCUUUGCCAUCAGCUUCAGCAAAACUGACGGCAAAGAACUGGCUGAUGGCAAAGAAGGUCUUUGCCAGCAGUCAACUCUUUGCCGUCUGCCGCAGACGGCAAAGAAGGGGCCAGCAGACGGCAAAGAAGCUCAUCUGGCCGGGGGAACCUUAGGUCAAACUACUCCCUUCUUUGCCGUCUGCUGGCUGACGGGCAAAGAUGCCAGAGGCAGACGGCAAAGAGUAUAGACCCCUUUGCCGUCCGCCAGCAGACGGCAAAGNNNNNNNNNNNNNNNNNNNNNNNNNNNNNNNNNNNNNNNNNNNNNNNNNNNNNNNNNNNNNNNNNNNNNNNNNNNNNNNNNNNNNNNNNNNNNNNNNNNNGGGGAAGCCCAUAGGCAUUGAGGGUGGCGCACCAGCCCUUAGUGGGCUGGUGGGACAGCCCAAAAGAGACCUAUGCGCAUUGGAAGAAAAAUCAAAGAGAAAAGAAAAAAAAGGAGGAGGUGGGAAAGGAAAGAAGGACUCCACCCACCAAACCAAGUAGGACUCGGUUUGGGGGGCCGACCUUCCCCCCUUGGCUCGGCCGACCCCCUUGGGGCUCCUUGAGCCCCAAGGCAAGGCCCCCCCUCUCCCACCUAUAUAUANNNNNNNNNNNNNNNNNNNNNNNNNNNNNNNNNNNNNNNNNNNNNNNNNNNNNNNNNNNNNNNNNNNNNNNNNNNNNNNNNNNNNNNNNNNNNNNNNNNNNNNNNNNNNNNNNNNNNNNNNNNNNNNNNNNNNNNNNNNNNNNNNNNNNNNNNNNNNNNNNNNNNNNNNNNNNNNNNNNNNNNNNNNNNNNNNNNNNNNNNNNNNNNNNNNNNNNNNNNNNNNNNNNNNNNNNNNCGGAGCCCUGCUGAGAAAAGAUCAUCACCAACCUCCGGAGCGCCGUCACGCUGCCGGAGAACUCUUCUACCUCUCCGUCUCUCUUGCUGGAUCAAGAAGGCCGAGAUCAUCGUCGAGCUGUACGUGUGCUCAACGCGGAGGUGUCGUCCGUUCGGCACUAGAUCGUGGGACUGAUCGCGGGACGGUUCGCGGGGCGGAUCGAGGGACGUGAGUACGUUCCACUACAUCAACCGUGUUCACUAACGCUUCUGUUGUACGGUCUACAAGGGUACGUAGAUCACACAUCCCCUCUCGUAGAUGGACAUCGCCAUGAUAGGUCUUCGUGCGCGUAGGAAAAUUUUUGUUUCACAUGCGACGUUCCCCAACAGUGGCAUCAUGAGCUAGGUUCAUGCGUAGAUGUCUUCUCGAGUAGAACACAAAAUUUUUUGUGGGCGGUGAUGUGCAUUUUGCUGCCCUCCUUAGUCUUUUCUUGGUUCCGCAGUAUUGUUGGAUCGAAGCGGCUCGGACCGACAUUACUCGUACGCUUACGAGAGACUGGUUUCAUCGCUACGAGUAACUCCGUUGCUCAAAGAUGACUGGCGGGUGUCAGUUUCUCCAACUUUAGUUGAAUCGGAUUUGACCAAGGAGGUCCUUGGAUGAGGUUAAAUAGCAACUCAUAUAUCUCCGUUGUGGUGUUUGCGUAAGUAAGAUGCGAUCCUACUAGAUACCCAUGGUCACCACGAAAAACAUGCAACAACAAAAUUAGAGGAAGUGUAACUUGUUUUUGCAGGGUAUGCUUGUGAUGUGAUAUGGCCAACGAUGUGAUGUGAUAUAUUGGAUGUAUGAGAUGAUCAUGUUGUAAUAGAUAAUAUUGACUUGCACGUCGAUGGUACGGCAACCGGCAGGAGCCAUAGGGUUGUCUUUAUACUAAUGUUUGUGCUUGAAGAUGCGUUUACUAUUUUGCUAGGAUGUAGCUUUAGUAGUAAUAGCAUGAGUAGCACGACAACCCCGAUGGCGACACGUUGAUGGAGAUCAUGGUGUGGCACCGGUGACAAGAAGAUCGUGUCGGUGCUUUGGUGAUGAAGAUCAAGGAGCACGUGAUGAUGGCCAUAUCAUGUCACUUAUGAAUUGCAUGUGAUGUUAAUCCUUUUAUGCACCUUAUUUUUCUUAGAACGACGGUAGCAUUAUGAGGUGAUCUCUCACUAAAAUUUCAAGACGAAAUUGUGUUCUCCCCGACUGUGCACCGUUGCUACAGUUCGUCGUUUCAAGACACCACGUGAUGAUCGGGUGUGAUAGACUCAACGUUCACAUACAACCGGUGCAAAACAGUUGCGCACGCGGAACACUCGGGUUAAGCUUGACGAGCCUAGCAUGUGCAGACAUGGCCUCGGAACACAUGAGACCGAAAGGUCGAUCAUGAAUCAUAUAGAUGAUAUGAUUAGCAUAGGUAUGCUUACCACUGAAACUAUACUCAACUCACGUGAUGAUCGGACUUGAGCUAGUGUAAGUGGAUCAUGAACCACUCAAAUGACUAGAGAGAUGUACUUUUUGAGUGGGAGUUUAGCGAAUAAUUUGAUUAAGUUAAACUCUAAUUAUCUUGAACAUAGUCUAAGUCCACUUUGAAUAUAUUUGUGUUGUAGAUCAUGGCUCACGCGACAGUCACCGUGAAUUUUAAUACGUUCCUAGAGAAAGCUAAGUUGAAAGAUGAUGGAAGCAACUUUGUAGACUGGGCUCGUAAUCUUAAGGUAACCAUACAAGCUGGGAAGAAGGAUUAUGUCCUUAAUGAUGCGCUAGGAGAUGAACCACCCGCUACGGCUGAUCAGGAUGUUAAGAACGCUUGGUUAGCACGUAAGGAGGACUACUCAGUAGUUCAAUGUGCAGUCUUGUAUGGCUUAGAACCGGGACUUCAACGUCGCUUUGAGCGUCAUGGAGCAUUUGAGAUGUUCCAGGAGUUGAAGUUUAUCUUUCAGAAGAACGCCCGGAUUGAGAGGUAUGAGACCUCCGAUAAAUUCUAUGCUUGCAAGAUGGAGGAGAACUCGUCUGUCAGUGAACAUGUGCUCAAAAUGUCUGGGUACUCAAACCGUCUAGCUGAGCUGGGGAUUGAACUCCCGCAAGAGGCUAUCACUGACAGAAUCCUUCAAUCACUGCCGCCAAGCUAUAAAGGCUUUGUGUUGAACUACAACAUGCAAGGGAUGAACAAGUCUCCCGGCGAGUUGUUUGCGAUGCUGAAAGUCGCAGAGUAUGAACUCCGUAAAGAGCAUCAAGUGUUGAUGGUGAAUAAGACCACUAGUUUCAAGAGAAAUGGCAAAGGCAAGAAGGGUAAUUCAAAGAAGAGCGGCAAGCCUGUUGCCAAUCCGACGAAGAAACCCAAAGCUGGACCUAAGCCUGAAACAGAGUGUUACUAUUGCAAGGGUAUGGGUCACUGGAAGCGCAAUUGCCCCAAGUAUCUGGCAGAUAAGAAGGCGGCCAAAGAAAAAUCAGGUAUAUUUGAUAUACAUGAUAUUGAUGUGUACUUAACCGGCUCUCGUAGUAGUGCCUGGGUAUUCGAUACCGGUUCUGUUGCUCAUAUUUGCAACUCGAAACAGGAACUGCGGAAUAGACGAAGGCUGGCAAAAGAUGAAGUGACGAUGCGCGUAGGAAAUGGUUCCAAGGUUGAUGCAAUCGCCGUCGGCACAGUUUCACUUCAGUUACCAUCAGGAUUAGUUAUGAACUUGAAUCAUUGUUAUUUAGUGCAUGCGUUGAGCAUGAACAUUAUAUCUGGAUCUUGUUUAUUGCGAGACGGUUACUCUUUUAAGUCAGAGAAUAAUGGUUGUUCUAUUUCUAUGAGUAACAUCUUUUAUGGUCAUGCACCCAAUGUGAGAGGAUUGUUCAUAUUGAAUCUUGAUAGCGAUACACACAUACAUAACAUUGAGACCAAAAGAGUUAGAGUUAACAAUGAUAGCGCCAUAUUUUUGUGGCACUGCCGCUUAGGUCAUAUUGGUGUAAAGCGCAUGAAGAAACUCCAUGCCGAUGGACUUUUGGAGUCACUUGACUUUGAUUCACUUGACACGUGCGAACCAUGCCUCAUGGGCAAUAUGACUAAAACUCCGUUCUCCGGAACAAUGGAGCAUGCAAGUGACUUGUUGGAAAUCAUACAUACCGAUGUGUGUGGUCCGAUGAGUGUAGAGGCACGCGGAGGAUAUCGUUAUUUUCUCACCUUCACUAACGAUUUGAGUAGAUAUGGUUAUGUCUACUUAAUGAAGCACAAGUCUGAAACAUUUGAAAAGUUCAAGCAAUUUCAGAGUGAAGUUGAAAAUCAUCGUAACAAGAAAUCAAGUUCCUACGGUCUGAUCGUGGGGGUGAAUAUCUGAGUUUCGAGUUUGGUGCUCACUUAAGACAAUGUGGAAUUGUUUCACAGUUGACACCGCCUGGAACACCACAGCGUAAUGGUGUGUCUGAACGUCGUAAUCGUACUUUNNNNNNNNNNNNNNNNNNNNNNNNNNNNNNNNNNNNNNNNNNNNNNNNNNNNNNNNNNNNNNNNNNNNNNNNNNNNNNNNNNNNNNNNNNNNNNNNNNNNNNNNNNNNNNNNNNNNNNNNNNNNNNNNNNNNNNNNNNNNNNNNNNNNNNNNNNNNNNNNNNNNNNNNNNNNNNNNNNNNNNNNNNNNNNNNNNNNNNNNNNNNNNNNNGCAUUCACUUUAAAUAGGGCACCAUCAAAAUCCGUUGAGACGACACCAUAUGAACUGUGGUAUGGAAAAAGGCCAAAGUUGUCGUUUCUUAAAGUUUGGGGAUGUGAUGCUUAUGUCAAAAAGCUUCAGCCUGAAAACCUGGAACCCAAAGCGGAAAAGUGCGUCUUCAUAGGUUACCCAAAAGAGACAGUUGGGUACACCUUCUAUCUCAAAUCCGAGGGCAAAGUGUUUGUUGCUAAAAACGAAGCUUUUCUCGAGAAGGAGUUUCUCUCGAGAGAAUUGAUUGGGAGGAAGAUAGAACUUGACGAGGUUGUCGAACCUCUCAUCCCUCUGGAUGGUGGCGCAGGGCAAGGGGAAACCUCUGCCGUUGCGACGCCGGUUGAGGAGGAAGUUAAUGAUAAUGAUCAUGAAACUCCGGUUCAAGUUUCUGUUGAACCACGCAGGUCGACGAGACCACGUGCUGCUCCAGAGUGGUACGGUAAUCCCGUCUUAUCAAUCAUGUUGUUGGACAACAAUGAACCUGCAAAUUAUGAAGAAGCAAUGGUGGGCCCAGAUUCCAACAAAUGGCUAGAAGCCAUGAAGUACGAGAUAGGAUCCAUGUAUGAGAACAAAGUGUGGACUUUGGAGGUACUGCCUGAGGGCCGCAAGGCUACUCAGAACAAAUGAAUCUUUAAGAGGAAGACGGACGUUGACGGCAAUGUGACCGUUUAUAAAGCUCGACUUGUGGCAAAGGGUUUUUCACAAGUUCAAGGAGUUGACUACGAUGAGACAUUCUCACCCGUAGCGAUGCUUAAGUCCGUCAGAAUCAUGUUAGCAAUAGCUGCAUUUUUUGAUUAUGAAAUCUGGCAGAUGGAUGUCAAAACGGCGUUCCAUAACGGUUUCCUUAAGGAAGAAUUGUAUAUGAUGCAACCCGAAGGUUUUGUCGAUCCUAAGAAUGCUAACAAGGUGUGCAAGCUCCAGCGAUCCAUUUAUGGACUGGUGCAAGCAUCUCGGAGUUGGAACAAACGCUUUGAUGAGGUGAUCAAAGCAUUUGGGUUUAUACAAGUGAUUGGAGAAUCUUGUAUUUAAAAGAAAGUGAGUGGGAGCUCUGUGGCGUUUCUAAUAUUAUAUGUGGAUGACAUAUUGUUGAUUGGAAACAACGUAGAGUUUUUGGAGAGCGUAAAGGAUUACUUGAAUAAAAGUUUCUCUAUGAAGGACCUAGGAGAAGCUGCUUACAUUCUAGGCAUUAAGAUCUAUAGGGAUAGAUAAAAACGCCUGAUAGGACUUUCACAAAGCACAUACCUUGAUAAAGUUUUGAAGAGGUUCAAAAUGGAACAGUCCAAGAAGGGGUUCUUGCCAGUUUUACAAGGUACGAGAUUGAGUAAGACUCAGUGCCCAGCAACUGAUGAGGAUAGAGAGCAUAUGCGCUCCGUCCCCUAUGCUUCAGCCAUAGGUUCUAUCAUGUAUGCAAUGCUGUGCACUAGACCGGACGUUAGCCUGGCCAUAAGUAUGGCAGGUAGGUUCCAGAGUAAUCCAGGAGUGGAUCACUGGACGGCGGUCAAGAAUAUCCUGAAGUACCUGAAAAGGACGGAGAUGUUUCUCGUGUAUGGAGGUGACGAAGAGCUCGCCGUAAAAGGUUACGUCGAUGCAAGCUUUGACACAGAUCCGGACGACUCUAAGUCGCAAACCGGAUACGUAUUUAUUCUUAAUGGGGGUGCGGUAAGCUGGUGCAGUUCCAAGUGAAGCGGAGUACAUGGCUGCCUCGGAGGCGGCUAAGGAGGGUGUCUGGAUGAAGCAAUUCAUGACGGAUCUUGGAGUGGUGCCAAGCGCACUGAAUCCAAUAACCUUGUUCUGUGACAACACGGGUGCCAUUGCCUUAGCAAAGGAACCACGGUUUCACAAGAAGUCCAGACACAUCAAGCGACGCUUCAACCUCAUCCGCCUAAUUAUGGUUUGAGCACCAAAUAUGACUAUACAUGAUUCCAUCACCUUUUGCCUAGCUAAGGGCGUUAAGCAAUAGCGCUUGUUGGGAGGCAACCCAACGAAUCUAUCGUUUUUCUUUCUGUUUUGUGUUUUCCACACUUCCAUAAUUCUGUUAUGAUUGUGUUUUUUGUGUUUCUUUUUGCGUUUGUGCCAAGCAAAACCUUUAUGAUUAGUCUUGGGGAUGAUCGUUUGGUCAUGCUGGAAAAGACAGAAACUUUCUGCUCACGAAAAGAAUUUUCAUUUUUAUCUGUAAGAGCUUUUGAGUUGAUUCUUUUUGCUGCUGAUUGCUAUGCAAAUUCUUCAGACUGUCGUAAUGUUUCAGAAUUGUUGAAGUACCAGAAGUAUACAAAGUAUACAGAUUGCUACAGACUGGUCUGCUGUUAACAGAUUCUGUUUUUGUUGUGUUGGUUGCUUAUUUUGAUGAAACUAUGGAUAGUAUCGGGGGGUAUUAGCCACGGAAGAUUGAAAAUACAGUAACCCAACAUCAACAUAAGUAGAAUUUAAGUUUGCUAUAGUACCUAAGGAAGUGAUGGUUUGCUUUCUUAUACUAAUGUUAUCACGAGUUUCUGUUUACGUUUCGUGUUGUGAAGUUUUCAAGUUUUGGGUGAAGUUCUUAUGGACAAAAAGAUAAAGAGUGGCAAGAGCUCAAGCUUGGGGAUUCCCAAGGCACCCCAAGAUGAUUCAAGGAUGCCGUAAAAGCCUAAGCUUGGGGAUGCCCCGGGAAGGCAUCCCCUCUUUCGUCUUCAAUCCAUCGGUAACGUUACUUGGGGCUAUAUUUUUAUUCACCACAUGUUAUGUGUUUUGCUUGGAGCAUCUUGUAUUGUAGGAGUCUUUUAUUUUUGUUGUGUCAUGACUGGCACUCUCUGGCAAUAGCUAGACGAAUGCUGAUUCUGUGACAACAAACCUUCCCCUGCAACGGCACCAGAAGAAUGCUGCUAGCACUCCCCGGGAACGAAAGUAAAAGAAUGUUGUUGAUGGCCCACCAGCGCGUGGGUUCGCAGCAAUUUUCGAGGGUAGAGUAUUCGACCCAAAUUUGUUGGUACGCCAGACAGGAGGUGAGAGAAUACUCUCGAGUAUUAGCAGCUGAAUUUGUCUAAUUCAACCACACCUGAAAGAUUAGUAUCUGCAAGCAAAGUAGUAACAGCAAAGUAGUAUGAUAACAACGGUGUCAGAAACAAUCUGUUGACACGGCAGACUAUUUCUAACGAUUGUAUCAAUGGCGCCAAGUUGCCUCAUGGACAGAAAUUGUCAGUUCCCGUCAACAACGAGCGAUCAAGAUUGUAGCAAGUAGCAGCAGUGUAACGAGUAAUAGCAAUGGCAAGGAACAACAGUAGUGACAGCAGUAUCAAGUAGCAACAGUAGGACAAACUCGUAGGCAAUGGGUCGGUGAUUUGUUUGGAUGAUAUUCAUCAUGCAACAGUUAUAACACGGAGAGAUAUGUGGCUAGCUCCCGUUCGUCAAUGUNNNNNNNNNNNNNNNNNNNNNNNNNNNNNNNNNNNNNNNNNNNNNNNNNNNNNNNNNNNNNNNNNNNNNNNNNNNNNNNNNNNNNNNNNNNNNNNNNNNNNNNNNNNNNNNNNNNNNNNNNNNNNNNNNNNNNNNNNNNNNNNNNNNNNNNNNNNNNNNNNNNNNNNNNNNNNNNNNNNNNNNNNNNNNNNNNNNNUAUUGUCCAUCCCUCCUGUGGCAGCGGGGUCCAAAAGGAAACUACGGGAUAUUAAGGUUCUCCUUUUAAUAAAGAACCAGACCAACGCAUUAGCACUUGGUGAACACAUGAACUCCUCAAACUAUGGUCAUCACCGGGAGUGGUUCCGGUUAUUGUCACUCCGGGGUUGCCGGAUCAUAACACAUAGUAGGUAACUACAACUUGCAAGAUCGGAUCUAAAACACACAUAUAUUGGUGACAACAUAAUAAUUUCAGAUCUGAAAUCAUGGCACUCGGGCCCUAGUGACAAGCAUUAAGCAUGGCAAAGUAGUAGCAACAUCAAUCUCAGAACAUAGUGGAUACUAGGGAUCAAUCCCCAUCAAAACUAACUCGAUUAAAUGAUAGGUCUCAUCCUACUCAUCACCGCCCAGCGAGCCUACGAAUAGAUUACUCACGAACGAUGAAGAGCUUCAUGGAAUUGGAGAGGGAAGAAGGUUGAUGAUGAUGAUGGCGACGAUUUCCCCUCUCUGGAGCCCAAAACGGACUCCAGGUCUGCCCUCCAGAUGAAGAAUGGGUUGUGGUGGUGCCUCUAUAUAGCAAGCGCGACGAAAUCUUCUCUUUUUAUUUUUUCUGGGAUGAAAGUGAACUUAUAGAGCUGAGAUUGGGGGCGGCAGAGCCGUGUGGGCCCCACAAGCUUGCCCACCGCCACCAGGGGGGUGGCGGAGGCAGGUCUUGUGGCCCACUGGCCCACCCCCUCAGGUGGGUCUUUGCGCAGGUAUUUUUCAUAUUUUCCAUAAAUGUUCCCCAUAAAUUUUCAAGACGUUUGGAGAACUUUGAUUUCUGCACAAAAAUAACACCAAGGCAAUUCUCCUGAAAACAACGUGAGUCCAGGUUAGUUCCAUUCAAAUCAUGCAAAUUAGAGUCCAAAACAAGGGCAAAAGAGUUUGGAAAAGUAGAUACGAUGGAGACGUAUCAACUCCCCCAAGCUUAAAACCUUGCUUGUCCUCAAGCAACUCAGUUGACAAACUGAGAGAGAGAAAGAAAUACUUUGACAAACUCUAUUUGAUCUUGUUGUUGCAACUAUGUCUAACCCAUAACCAGAAUUUCAGCAAGAUCACAAGUUAACCACAUAAGCAAGUGAUACAAAGGUCUCACGGUAAACUAAUAUCCAUGGCAUAAUCAGCUAACGAGCAAAUAAUAAUGAGUUUCAAAUACAAAUACAAACACUACAACCAAAACAAGCAUGAAGCAAUAUGAAUAGGUGGUAUCUCGCUAGCUCUUUCUGAGACCGCAAAACAUAAAUGCAGAGCACUUUCAAAGAUCAAGGGCUGACUAAACAUUGUAAUUCAUAGCAACGAAGAUCCAGUCAUAGUCAUACUCAAUAUCAAUCAAAAGCAAAGCAUAAAAAUGACAGAGGUGCUCUCUAAUUGGUGCUUAUAGAAGAGGAGGAUGACUCAACAGGAAAAUAAAUAGACAGGCCCUUCGCAGAGGGAAGCAUUGAUUUGCAGAGGUGCCAGAGCUCAAGCUUUGAAAACAGAGAUAAUAAUUUUGGGUGGCAUGCUUUCAUUGUCAACGCAAUGACCAAGAGUUCUCAAUAUCUUCCAUGCUACUCAUGCUAUAGGCGGUUCCCAAACAGAAAAGUAAUGUUUUAACUCCCCACCACCAAUCAAUCACACUCCACGGCUAGCUGAAUCCUCGGGUACCGUCCAUACUAACAUCAAUCCAGGGGGAGUCUUGUUUUACAGUUAUUUUUUUGAUUUAAGCGUGGAACUGGGCAUUCCAAUUACCGGCCCCUUUCUCGUGAAUGACAGUGAAUAAACACAUGUCGAGGAUAACACUCCUAGCAUGGAAGAUACCAAUAGCCCUCUGUCACCAUAUGAGCGGUUCGGGCAUGCAAAACAGAUUAUUUCUUGAAGAUUUAGAGAAUGGCACAUGCAAAUUUACUUGGAACGGCAGGUAGAUACCGCAAAUAGGUAGGUAUGGUGGACUCUCAUGGAAAAACUUUUGGGUUUAUGGAAGUGGAUGCACAAACAGUAUUCCACUUAGUACAAGUGAAGGCUAGCGAAAGACUGGGAAGCGACCAACUAGAGAGCGACCAACAGCCAUCAAGAUGCAAUGAGUUUGACUAACAUUGAAUGCAAGCAUGAACAGGAUAUAAAUCACCAUGAACACGAACAUCAUAGAGGCUAUGUUGAUUUUGUUUCAACUACAUGCAUGAACAUGCGCCAAGUCAAGCCACUUGAAAUAUUCAAAGGAGAAUACCAUCCUAUCAUACUACAUCAUAGUAAUCUCAAAAUCUAUGUUGGCAAUCAAGACAAACCUGUCACGCCCAAGAUGCGACCCUAUCCUCAGUUUGGCACGAAGGCCUCGUCAGGGAUAGAAGCGCAUCUCGUCGUGUCGCAAGAAUGGAUAUCGUUACAAGUACAUGUAUGGAAAAGAAGAGAUAUAUAUUCAGAGUUGGCUUACACUCGCCACAAGCUACAUCAGAGUCACUUCAGUACAUUACAUAAUCAUUAAGAAUAAGAGCAGGGUCCGACUACGGACGAAAACAAACGACAAAAGAAGAACGACGUCCAUCCUUGCUAUCCCAGGCUGCUGGCCUGGAACCCAUCCUAGAUCGAUGAAGAAGAAGAAGAAGAAGAAGCAACUCCAAAUGAACAAUCAACGCGCUCGCGUCGAGUAACCUUUACCUGUACCUGCAACUGGUGUUGUAGUAAUCUGUGAGCCACAGGGGACUCAGCAAUCUCAUUUCCAAAGGUAUCAAGACUAGCAAAGCUUAAUGGGUGAGGUAUGGUUAAGUGGUGAGGUUGUAGCAGCGGCUAAGCACAUAUGAGGUGGCUAAACUUACGAGUAUAAGAAGUAAGAGGGGGAAGAUCUACGCAUAACGGACGUGAACUACUGUUGAUCAAAUGAAUGAUCCUGAACACCCACCUACGUCAGACAUAACCCCGUCGUGUCCUCGAUCGGAGCAGGAGCUCACGAAAGAGACAGUCACGGUUACGCACCCAGUUGGCAAGUUUUAAUUAAGUUAACUUCAAGUUAUCCAGAACCAGUGUUAAACAAAGCUUCCACGUUGCCACAUAACCGCGGGCACGGCUUUCCGAAAAGAUUUAACCCUGCACGGGUGCUCCAACUAGUCCAUCACAAAUUACCACAAGCCGCAUAGAAAUCCUCAAUCAUGAAGCUCGCGAUCUCGUCGAAUUCCCUAGUGGAAAACCUCAACUCUGAGAUUACCCAAAGCAUCACCGGAAUCCCGAUGCACAAGAUAUCUCGUCAAAGGUAAAACUAAUCCAGCAAGGCCGCCCGACGUGUCGACGAUCCCGAUAGGAGUCGCGUAGCUCGUUCUCAGGACACGACGGAUGAGCGAUGGUUACCACGCCAAACGCCGAGUUGCCUCGGAUAGCGUUAAUAAGCUGCUCUGUUUUGGACCAACACUCAUGAGGAGCACUGGCCCGGGGGGGUUGAUUAAAUUAUCCUCGGGGUCCGGAAAGACCCUAUGCAAUUUUAUUAGGUGAUUAGGCAAAUGUAGUACCAAUGUUGGGCCUUGCCAGACCAGCUUUAAUCUAAAACGAAUUAUCAAGGGGGUCCCAUAACAACCCCGAUCGUGUUAGGAGCGCUCAUUUAUGGAACAUAACACCAGUAAUCGGAAACUAAGGGGGCAAAGGUGGAACAAAACACCAGGCUAGAUAAGGUCGAGCCUUCCACCCUUUACCAAUUAUAUUGGUGCAUUAAAUUAAAUAGCAUUUAAAUAUGGUGAUAUAACAAGGAACCCAUGUUUUCACAUGGAAGCAACUGCACCUGCAACUAGCAACACUAUCAACAGGAUUAAGCAAGCGGUAACAUAGCCAAUCAGUGGUUUGUUAGGUCGAACAGGUUGAAGGUAAUCAUGGCAUUGUUGAGAGGCUGAUAUUUAACAGGUGGUAGGCAACGAGACAUAAACGAUAGAAGCGAUAAACUAGCAUGGCAAUGAUAGUAAUGGUAUCUGGGGAAAUGAUCAUCUUGCUUGAGAUCCCGCUUGGAAGAAGAAUGCCUCCGUGAAGCAGACGAACCGACGUAGUCGAACGGGUCCUUACAAUCCGGCACGCUGCGGAACUCUAUCGAGACGAAGCAAACCGGAAACACAAAUCAACACACGAAAUUCACCACACGAUGCACAACACAUAUGAUGAAUGAGCAGCUGAAUAUAUGCAAGUCACGGCAUGACAAUUCACACAAUCAAACACUACACAUUAAGUGAAGUUCAAUAUGCAACGAGUUGCAUAUUGAUGAAACUCCACGUUAAUUUAUUUAGUUCUAUCCCGAUUAGGUACUCGGCAAUACUAAAUAUGGUUAAACAUGGCAAGAGGUGGAGCAUAAUUAAACUACAUAUCUAGGCAUUUUAAAUGAGGUCGAAAAUGACAUAUAGCAUCUCCGAGACGACCUCAUAUGUUAAUUUACAAUUCUGUCCAGAUCUGAACUAAUGCAUUUAAUUAGUUGUUAAACAGCAAAACAAAUAGGUUCACGUGAUUCUACGCGUCAUUUCAAGCAAUCUACACAUAAAGAACAUCUCCAACGGAGCUACGGUUCAAAAGAUACAAGCACCGCAAGAUAUGAUGGCAUGAAUGCAAUAUGUGUGCAGCGACGGUCACGAGCACUUCAAAACACUCAACCAGCAAGAGAAAAUGAAACUAUACGAGAUUCUAAGCAAGUUUCAUGUAGGACACGAUCAAAUCGGAGCUACGGUUCAACAACUACGAGCAAAACAAGAACUGACUACAAUUUGCCAAAAUCAGCCACAUAGCAUUUUCUACACCCCACAACUACGGGCUCCACAACUCCGAUAAACUUAAGCAAGGCAUGACACGAAAGAGGGCAACAAGCACUACCACAUAUAACUAACAACAACUAGCAUGGCAUCAAGGAGCACUAGGAAAAGAAGACAUAAAAUGGCAUCUCACACACUAUUUCAGACUUAGUGAAAAUUACACCUCAUGAAAGUGCAGUUUUCGAUCUGAAGCCAUAUUGGCAGCAGAAAAACCUAUAGCUACAGGACUCCAAAUGGCAUGAAAAUUUACAGCAUGCUAGAGAAACACAAGGGGUACAAAUAACUCCAUUGGACCAACCUCAAAAGAGCUACAGAUCACAAGAUACAAGCAAGACAAGACAGCAACAAAAUAUAACAGAUUCCAGACUUAGAAAUAUUCCAGCUCCUCCAAAUCAGCACUAUUUCUAGCAACUUGAGAGCUAGCAAACAAAACCUAAACAUGCAUUUCUAUUGCCACCAAAAUUACCAGGGGCUAUACUAAACACCCAAGAACAACUNNNNNNNNNNNNNNNNNNNNNNNNNNNNNNNNNNNNNNNNNNNNNNNNNNNNNNNNNNNNNNNNNNNNNNNNNNNNNNNNNNNNNNNNNNNNNNNNNNNNGGAGUCUGUAUGCGAAAGUUACAGCAGUUUCAGUAUCCAGCGGUAGUACCGCUCCUCGUGUCAGCGGUAGUACCGCCCCCGGAGAGGUAGUACCGCCCCGGAGCGGUAGUAAUUUUUUACUACCGCUCCCUAGCGCUAGUACCGCUCCAGGAGCGGUAGUACCGCUCCGUCGGACUGUUUUUUGCAUCCUUUUUGGCCUCAGCAUGGUUGGUAAACCUACCGAGCAGUAGUACCGUUCCAUGAGCGGUAGUACCGCUCUCUAUGGGUUGUGAGGCUUAAUGGUUGGAUUUUUCCCCACCUAUAAAAGGGGGUCUUCUUUCCCAUUGAACAUUAUCUCUUUAGCUCGUGUUCUUCCCCAUUGUUGACCUUCUUCGAGCUUGCUAACUCUCAAUCCCUCCAAUGAUUCUUGCUAGUUCUUGAGGGAAAAGAGAGAGGAGAUCUAGAUGCACAUUUCCAUCAAUCACUUUCUCCUCUAAGUGAGGGGAACCCCUUGGGUCUAGAUCUCGGAGUUCUUCGUGUUCUUCUUCUUUCUUCCUCUCAUUUUCCUCCCUAGCAUUAGUUGCUUUGGUGGGAUUUGGGAGAGAAGGACUUGGGCACUCCGUGUGCCCUUGCCAUUGCAUUAGUUGCAUCGUUUGAGUUCUCCACGGUGAUACGUGGAAGCGAGGUUUGAGAAGCUUAUUACCUUUGGUACUUAGUACCCUAUAUAUUGUUCUUCGUGGAUGAUUUGGCGUCCUAGAAGCUUGGUGGUGUCUCGGAGCUCAAUCAUUGUGGUGUAAAGCUCCGGGCAAGCAUCGGGGUCUCCAAUUAGGUUGUGGAGAUUGCCCCGAGCAAUUUGUACGGGUAUCGGUGACCGCCCCCAAGGUUUUCCAUUUGUACGGGUUCGGUGACUGCCCUCAAGGGUCCCUUAGUGGAAUCACGGCAUCUUGCAUUGUGCGAGAGCGUGAGGAGAUUACGGUGGCCUUAGUGGCAUCUUGUGGAGCAUUGUGCCUCCACACCGCUCCAAUGGAGAUUAGCAUCCGCAAGGGUGUGAACUUUGGGAUACAUCAUCGUCUCCGCGUGCCUCGGUUAUCUCUUACCCGAACCCUUUACUUAUACACUUUACUUUGUGAUAGCCAUAUUGUUUAUUGUCAUAUAUCUUGCUAUCACUUAGUUGUUUAUCUUNNNNNNNNNNNNNNNNNNNNNNNNNNNNNNNNNNNNNNNNNNNNNNNNNNNNNNNNNNNNNNNNNNNNNNNNNNNNNNNNNNNNNNNNNNNNNNNNNNNNGGCAUAAUUCCAACAGAGACGAGGUCUCCCGGCAGGGCUUCGCCAAGCACCGACAGAGAGGCGGAGGGAGAGGAGCGGGGUUGCGCCGAGAGAGAGGAAAAACCGUGUGUCUCAAUGACCAAAAGUGCCCGAUAUAUAUAGGGGGAGGGGAGAGGGGGUGCCACCCCUAGGGUUCCCACCCUAGGGGGUGCGGCAGACCCCCAGAUGGGAGGUGCGGCGGCCAGAAGGGGGAGGAGCGGGUGGCGCACCAUCUGGUGGGCCUUAGGCCCACCUGGCCUAGGGUUUGCCACCGCUUUUCUCUCCCUUGGCUAUAGGCUGAGUGGGGAGGCGCACCAGCCCACCUAGGGGCUGGUUCCCACCCCCAUUUGGCCCACCUUAUCUCCCGGGGUCGUUGCCCCCCUUCGGUGGUCCCCCGGGGCCACCUCUGGUGGUCCCGGUGGUCCCGGUACGUUACCGGUGAUGCCCGAAACACUUCCGGUAUCCGAAACCAUCCGUCCUAUAUAUCAAUCUUUACCUCCGGACCAUUCUGGAGCUCCUCGUGACGUCCGGGAUCUCAUCCGGGACUCCGAACAACUUUCGGUAACCUCGUACAACAAUUCCCUAUAACCCUAGCGUCAUCGAACCUUAAGUGUGUAGAACCUACGGGUUCGGGAGACAGGCAGACAUGACCGAGACACCUCUCUGGCCAAUAACCAUCAGCGGGGUCUGGAUACCCAUGGUGGCUCCCACUUGCUCCACGAUGAUCUCAUCGGAUGAACCACGAUGUCAAGGAUUCAAUCAAUCCCGUAUACGAUUCCCUUUGUCUGUCGGUAUAGAACUUGCCCGAGAUUCGAUCGUCGGUAUACCUAUACCUUGUUCAAUCUCGUUACCGGUAAGUCUCUUUACUCGUUAAGUAGCACGUCAUCGUGUGACUAACUCCUUAGUCACAUUGAGCUCAUGAUGAUGUUCUACCGAGUGGGCCCAGAGAUACCUCUCCGUCACACGGAGUGACAAAUUCCGAUCUCGAUUCGUACCAACCCAACAGACACUUUCGGAGGUACCCGUAGUGCACCUUUAUAGUCACCCAGUUACGUUGUGAUGUUUGAUACACCCAAAGCACUCCUACGGUAUCCGGGAGUUGCACAAUCUCACGGUCGAAGGAAAAGAUACUUGACAUUAGAAAAGCAUUAGCAUACGAACAAUACGACCUAGUGCUAGGCUUAGGAUUGGGUCUUGUCCAUCACAUCAUUCUUCCAAUGAUGUGAUCCCGUUAUCAAUGACAUCUAAUGCCCAUGAUCAGGAAAUCAUGAUCAUCUAUUGACUAACGAGCUAGCCAACUAGAGGCUUGCUAGGGACACAUUGUGAUCUAUUUAUUUACACAUGUAUUACUGUUUCCUGUUAAUACAAUUAUAGCAUGAACAAUAGACGAUUAUCAUGAACAAGGAAAUAUGAUAAUAACCAUUUUAUUAUUGCCUCUAGGGCAUAUUUCCAACANNNNNNNNNNNNNNNNNNNNNNNNNNNNNNNNNNNNNNNNNNNNNNNNNNNNNNNNNNNNNNNNNNNNNNNNNNNNNNNNNNNNNNNNNNNNNNNNNNNNNNNNNNNNNNNNNNNNNNNNNNNNNNNNNNNNNNNNNNNNNNNNNNNNNNNNNNNNNNNNNNNNNNNNNNNNNNNNNNNNNNNNNNNNNNNNNNNNNNNNNNNNNNNNNNNNNNNNNNNNCCUGCCACUGCUACGGUGCUGCAACCCGUGUUGCCCUCGGCCCGCGUCGCCUAGCCCCAGACCCGGCCGCACCGUUAGAACACAGAUCUGUCCCGACCGCCAUUGACCUUGGAGAGCAGGCAUGCCCCAACACCUUGUCGCCCAUUGCGGGGGAGCAGAGGCACCGGAGCUCCGCCUCUGNNNNNNCCACACCACCGUGUCGCCCGAGAUAGCUCCAUGCUCGGACCCGAGCUGUCGGUCCGCGCCAACACGCCCGACUAGGAGAACCACGAGGCCCCGCCGCCGACGACGACGGUCGUGCUUCGUCGAGCCGCGCCAUNNNNNNNNNNNNNNNNNNNNNNNNNNNNNNNNNNNNNNNNNNNNNNNNNNNNNNNNNNNNNNNNNNNNNNNNNNNNNNNNNNNNNNNNNNNNNNNNNNNNGGGAAGCCCAUAGGCCUUGGGGGUGGCACACCAGCCCUUAGUGGGCUGGUGGGACAGCCCAAUAAGGCCCUAUGCGCCAUAGGAAGAAAAUCAAAGAGAAAAAAAAAGGAGGAGGUGGGAAAGGGAAGAAGGACUCCACCUUCCAAACCAAGUUGGAUUCGGUUUGGAAUGGGAGACCUUCCCCCCUUAGCUCGGCCGAAACCCUUAGGGGUCCUUGGACCCCAAGGCAAGGAUCCCCCUCUUCCCCCUAUAUAUACGGAGGUUUUAGGGCUAAUUUGAGACGACUUUUCCACGGCAGCCCGACCACAUACCUCCACGGUUUUUCCUCUAGAUCGCGUUUCUGCGGAGCUCGGGCGGAGCCCUGCUGAGACAAGAUCAUCACCAACCUCCGGAGCGCCGUCACGCUGCCGGAGAACUCUUCUACCUCUCCGUCUCCCUUGCUGGAUCAAGAAGGCCGAGAUCAUCGUCGAGCUGUACGUGUGCUGAACGCGGAGGUGCCGUCCGUUCGGCACUAGAUCGUGGGACUGAUCGCGGGACGGUUCGCGGGGCGGAUCGAGGGACGUGAGGACGUUCCACUACAUCAACCGCGUUCACUAACGCUUCUGUUGUACGGUCUACAAGGGUACGUAGAUCACACAUCCCCUCUCGUAGAUGGACAUCACCAUGAUAGGUCUUCGUGCGCGUAGGAAAAUUUUUGUUUCCCAUGCGACGUUCCCCAACAGGAGAAGGAGAAGAGGAGAAGAGGAGGAGGAGGAGAAGAAGAAUAAGAAGAAGAGGAGGAGGAGGAGAAGACAAAAAUAAGAAGGAGAAGAAGAAAAGAAGAAGUGAUGAAGAAGAGAAGAAGUGAAGAAGAAUACCUUCUCCUCCUUCUCCUUCUUCUCCUCCUUCUUCUCCUCCUCCUCCUUCUCCUUCUUAUUGAUUUCUUCUUCUUCUUCUCCUCCUCCUCUUUCUUCUCCUCUAUCUUAUUCUCCUUACCUUAUUUUCUCCAACAAUGAGAUAAUUAGCCCAUUUAGCUAAAAAAAUGGCCAUUCUUCUCCUCUUUCANNNNNNNNNNNNNNNNNNNNNNNNNNNNNNNNNNNNNNNNNNNNNNNNNNNNNNNNNNNNNNNNNNNNNNNNNNNNNNNNNNNNNNNNNNNNNNNNNNNNCUAUGAACCAGCCUUUUUUUUUUUCUUCAGAGAGCUUUAUUAAGUAAAAGCAUUCGCUGGACAGUCAGUCAGGAGACUGCUUACCAGGAAGCUAGGGGUUGAGUCCAGCCAGCUUUCGAUCACAUUAAGCGUACAAGCAUGCUUAGUACACACGUGUGCAGGACUGUUAGAGGCUCUUAUUACAUGAGAAAUGUGAAAGUACAAAAAGCUGACAGAGAGCUCUCUAAUUUGAUGAUUGGUGCUACUACCGUACGAUCGGUGUAGCUAGAGUUCCAGAGGUUAACUGCCUCAAGACAGUCAUAUUCCAGUCGCACAUGCGUGUAGCCUCGAAGCUUGGUGAAGAUGACACCCUCAUGCAAGGAGAGCACUUCAACAAUGAAAGGAUCCGUGACCCCCAGAUGGGGUUUGCACCAUGCGCCGAGGAAAGCCGAGGAAGAGNNNNNNNNNNNNNNNNNNNNNNNNNNNNNNNNNNNNNNNNNNNNNNNNNNNNNNNNNNNNNNNNNNNNNNNNNNNNNNNNNNNNNNNNNNNNNNNNNNNNNNNNNNNNNNNNNNNNNNNNNNNNNNNAGAGCGGCUACUCCUCCCCACGCCAACGACAUCGACAUCGAGAUGGAUUGCAGCAUUAGUAUUGAUCUUUACAAGAUUACCUUUAGGGGCCCGCCAACCAUGACCCGGCACAGGUAUGAAGCUAUGUCGUGGAAUGUCCAGCAACGCCAGGUCUUCAUGGAUGUGUCGAACCGAGGUAGCUGGAUCAAUGAUCUCCUGAUCGUGUGUCCUUCUGUUGUGAGACAUCCAGACGACCCACGCGACCGUGAUGAUUGUGGGGCGAUCCUUGUCUGUGAAUUGCAUGUCACAAAGGAUAUCACGUGCCCAAGAGCUGGGGUGGAGCCGUGGCAAAUUGAUCUCGAAGAGCAUUCUCGCCUCCUCCCAAAAGCACCUUGCAUGAGAGCAAUGAACAAGAGCAUGCGUCAAGUCCUCGCUAUGAACCAGCCUUNNNNNNNNNNNNNNNNNNNNNNNNNNNNNNNNNNNNNNNNNNNNNNNNNNNNNNNNNNNNNNNNNNNNNNNNNNNNNNNNNNNNNNNNNNNNNNNNNNNNGAACUCUUUUGCCCUUGUUUUGGACUCUAAUUUGCAUGUUUUGAAUGGAACAAAUCCGGACUCACGCUGUUUUCAGCAGAAUUGCCAUGGUGUUGUUUUUGUGCAGAAAUAGAAGUUCUCGGAACGUCCUGAAAAUUUACGAAGAUUUUUUCUGGAAUAAAAGAAAAAUACCUGCGCAAAGAUCCACCGGAAGGGGCGUGCCAGUGGGCCACAAGCCCACAUGCCGCGGCCACCCCCUAUGGCCGCGCCGUGCAGGCUUAUGGGGCCCACGUGGCACCACCACCCCCAAUCUCAGCUUUGUAUCUUCCGUUUCGCCUGGAAAAAAUCAGAGAGAAGGUUUCAUCGCGUUUUGCGAUACGGAGGCGUCGCCACAUCCUGUUCUUCAUCUGGAGGGCAAUUCUGGAGUCCGUUUCGGGCUCCGGAGAGGGGAAAUCGUCGCCAUCGUCAUCAUCAACCUUUCUCCAUCGACAAUUCCAUGAUGCUCUUCAUCGNNNNNNNNNNNNNNNNNNNNNNNNNNNNNNNNNNNNNNNNNNNNNNNNNNNNNNNNNNNNNNNNNNNNNNNNNNNNNNNNNNNNNNNNNNNNNNNNNNNNNNNNNNNNNNNNNNNNNNNNNNNNNNNNNNNNNNNNNNNNNNNNNNNNNNNNNNNNNNNNNNUUAUCACGUAAUCAAGUUAGUUUUAAUGGGGAUUGAUCCCUAGUAUCCACUACGUUCUAGAUUGAUGUUGCUACCACUUGGCUAUGCUUAAUGCUUGUCACUAGGGCCCGAGUGCCAUGAUCUCAGAUCUGAACCUAUUAUGUUGUCGCCAAUAUAUGUGUGUUUUAGAUCCUAUCUUGCAAGUUGUAGUCACCUACUAUGUGUUANNNNNNNNNNNNNNNNNNNNNNNNNNNNNNNNNNNNNNNNNNNNNNNNNNNNNNNNNNNNNNNNNNNNNNNNNNNNNNNNNNNNNNNNNNNNNNNNNNNNNNNNNNNNNNNNNNNNNNNNNNNNNNNNNNNNNNNNNNNNNNNNNNNNNNNNNNNNNNNNNNNNNNNNNNNNNNNNNNNNNNNNNNNNNNNNNNNNNNNUGUUGGUCCGAUUCUUUAUUAAAAGGAGAACCUUAAUAUCCCAUAGUUUCCAUUAGGACCCCGCUGCCACGGGAGGGAUGGACAAUAGAUGNNNNNNNNNNNNNNNNNNNNNNNNNNNNNNNNNNNNNNNNNNNNNNNNNNNNNNNNNNNNNNNNNNNNNNNNNNNNNNNNNNNNNNNNNNNNNNNNNNNNNNNNNNNNNNNNNNNNNNNNNNNNNNNNNNNNNNNNNNNNNNNNNNNNNNNNNNNNNNNNNNNNNNNNNNNNNNNNNNNNNNNNGAAUGGGAUCUAGUUACAUAUCUCCCCGUGUUAUAGUUGUUACAUGAUGAAUCACAUCCGUAAUACUCAUCCAUCNNNNNNNNNNCGUUGGUCCGGUUCUUUAUUAAAAGGAGAACCAUAAUAUCCCGUANNNNNNNNNNNNNNNNNNNNNNNNNNNNNNNNNNNNNNNNNNNNNNNNNNNNNNNNNNNNNNNNNNNNNNNNNNNNNNNNNNNNNNNNNNNNNNNNNNNNCGAGGCACGCAGAGACGAUGAUGUAUCCCGAAGUUCACACCCUUGCGGAUGCUAAUCUCCGUUGGAGCGGUGUGGAGGCACAAUGCUCCCCAAGAUGCCACUAAGGCCACCGUAAUCUCCUCACGCUCUCGCACAAUGCAAGAUGCCGUGAUUCCACUAAGGGACCCUUGAGGGCAGUCACCGAACCCGUACAAAUGGAAAACCUUGGGGGCGGUCACCGAUACCCGUACAAAUUGCUCGGGGCAAUCUCCACAACCUAAUUGGAGACCCCGAUGCUUGCCCGGAGCUNNNNNNNNNNUCGUGAUUCCACUAAAGGACCCUUAAGGGCGGUCACCGAACCAGUACAAAUGGCAAACCUUGGGGGCGGUCACUGAUACCCGUACAAAUUGCUCCGGGCAAUCUCCACAACCUAAUUGGAGACCCCGAUGCUUGCCCGGAGCUUUACACCACAAUGAUUGAGCUCCGAGACACCACCAAGCUUCUAGGACGCCAAAUCAUCCACGAAGAACAAUAUAUAGGGUACUAAGUACCAAAGGUAAUAAGCUUCUCAAACCUCGCUUCCACGUAUCACCGUGGAGAACUCAAACGAUGCAACUAAUGCAAUGGCAAGGGCACACGGAGUGCCCAAGUCCUUCUCUCCCAAAUCCCACCAAAGCAACUAAUGCUAGGGAGGAAAAUGAGAGGAAGAACGAAGAAGAACACGAAGAACUCCAAGAUCUAGACCCAAGGGGUUCCCCUCACUUAGAGGAGAAAGUGAUUGGUGGAAAUGUGGAUCUAGAUCUCCUCUCUCUUUUCCCUCAAGAACUAGCAAGAAUCAUUGGAGGGAUUAAGAGUUAGCAAGCUCGAAGAAGGUCAACAAUGAGGGAAGAACACGAGCUAAAGAGAUAAUAUUCAAUGGGGAAGAAGACCCCCUUUUAUAGGUGGGGAAAAAUCCAACCAUUAAGCCUCACACCCGCACAGAGCGGUACUACCGCUCAUGGAGCGGUACUACCGCUCGGUAGGUUCACCAACCAUGCUGAGGCCAAAAAGGAUGCACAAAAUAGUCCCACGGAGCGGUACUACCGCUAGGGAGCGGUAGUAAGAAAAUGACUACCGCUCCGGGGGCGGUACUACUUCUCCGGGGGCGGUACUACCGCUGACACCACGAGCGGUACUACCGCUGGAUACUGAAACUGCUGUAACUUUUGCAUACAGACUCCGAAUUCAACGAAACCAAGUUUGUUGGAAAGCUAACGACAUGGGCUAACACAAUAUUGAUAGAAAUAUAAAUAAGAAGCAAGUGAGAAAAUUCCCAUAAGAAAAUGGUGAGAACCCUUCUUUAAAUAAGACCGGUAAAAACUCCCAACAUCGAAAAUAUCAUAGAAGAUGCAUAUGGACUCCGUUUUCGAUGAACUCGAGCGUGUCAUGAAGAUGACCAUACGCUCUAAAAAUCACAAAGAGAAAUACCAAACAAGAACCAAGAAGUAUGAUGCAAGGAUGCAAAUGGUUUGAGCUCUCAACGAACGAUACGAUCAAGUUACUCACUUGAGAGCCCCCCCUUGACAGUACGACAAUCUAUCCUAAAACAGAAAACCUAUCAAGGGCAAACCUAUACCUUGCGCCUCGUCCUCUUGAGCUAGAUGACGAUGAUCUUGGCUUCCUCAAGAUGGACCACCUUUCUUGCUUGUGUUGGCUUGAUGAAGACUAGUUUAUUGCUCCCCCAUACACACUAUGGGUGAGCCGCUCUUCAGCAUAUCUUCACGAGUCCAUUGCCACCAUCCUCCAUCACUUGACGUCAUCCUCCAUGGGUUGUAUGAGAUAUUCCUCUUGACGCAUGCCCAUGUAAACACACCUAACCCCACAUAGAACUCUCAAGAAGACCAUGGGUUAGUACACAAAUACGUACUGGACAAUGCUUACAAUACCAUGGGAUCACUUGAUCCCUCUCGGUACAUCUUGUACACUUUGUGUGUUGAUCAUCUUGAUUUACUCUUUGUCUCACGAUCUUGAUCAACCUUGUGUCUCUAUGACCAUUCUUUGGAUAAUACCUUGAAUACCACCUUGGUCAUCAUAUAAACUCCUUGAACCCAACGGAUGGACUUCAAGAAGUGCCUAUGGAUAAAUCCUAUAAAUAUAACUUAAGGCAACCAUUAGUCCAUAGGAAUUGUCAUCAAUUACCAAAAUCACGUAUGAAGAUAUAUGCUCUAACAAUCUCCCCCAUUUUGGUAAUUGAUGACAACCACUUCAAGAGAGUUUGUAUAAGGAAAUAAGCAUAACCAAGCGCACACAUACGAAGCAAUAAUGCAUGCGUGCAAGAUGUAAAUGCUUACGCAAUAAAAGCAAAACCCUUUAAACAUAUCCAAAGUAAACUCUCUCAACUUCUCCCCCAUUGGCAUCGAUUGCCAAAAUGGACGAAAAGGUUAGAAAGUCAAUAUAGUAGGUGGUCCUCCAAAAAGUGUGUACUUCUAAGCAAAUGAGUGCAAAGAAAUACACAAUUACAAUGAUAAAUAGUUGGAGGAAACAAACUAUAUUGAGGACCCAAAGAUUGCAAAAAGAAGGAUCGUAUGGCACAAAGACAUACAAAAUAGAAGCAAGCAAUCAAAAGAUACCAUAUGGAACAAACAAUCACAUGGUCCUUCGAACCACAUGAAUAAAAGAUACUAUGAUAAAGGCAAAGGAGUGUUUUAUCAAAACUAGAGAAGCUCCCCAUGAUUUGUGCACUAAUAAGAGAUUUUUGUAUUUGAUACAAAUGCACAAAAUAGGAUCGUUGCUCCCCCAAAAUUAAUAAAAACACACAACGAGUGCAAGAAGAUAGAUGAGGCAAUAAGCAUAUCACUUGCACAAAACAAAUGGUUGAGCAACAUGUAAAAGAAGCAACUUAAGAACAGGCUCAACCAAAAUAAUGUGUGUGAGUCAUGGCAAAGCACUUGAGAAGACUAAGAUAAGGAUGAGCAUUACUCAUCAACAUAGUCUUGAUGAAAUGAGAAACAAAGUGCAAGACAUAUCAUUCCCACACACACAUACUAGAAAAUGGGUUCACAAGCUUACUAAUAAACAAAAUAAGAACCAAUGCUUGUGACAACCCAUGGUGAAGAUAGGAAAUAAGAACCUUGUCGAGAGGAGGAAUACCAAUCGAAAUGGCAAAACCCUCAUCAAGACAAGCAUGAGGAAAAAUAAUCUUCACGGCCAAAGAGUGCAUCAAGAUGUAGGAAAAUAAGAUACGCACUCAAGACAAAUCCUUUCACGAAGCCACCAAAACUAAAAAAGGAAAUGCAACGCUGGACGUGAAAGAAAAGAGGGUAUCAAUUAGAGAUGUAACUUCUCUCAUGUGAAAAACAUUCUAAGUAGAAGACAAUCAUGAUGAUAUAUAUCCACAAAGAAGGUUGUACACACGAAAUGGUUACAAGAAGGAACAAACAAGAUAUCCAAGAGGAAGUCACAAAUGUAUCAAUAAGAUCUUUGCUUGGAAGCAUAGCACAUGGCCUAAUAUUUUCUUAUUAUACAAUAUGAAAUUCCAACAUACGAACAUCAAAGACAUCCCAACUAGCAAUAAGACAUCAUCGUUUGGAUGCUUUGAGAAAGGAAACAAGUACUACAAGAACGAAUCAAGAGAUUCAUGCCAUGAUGCAACCUGGAAAAGAAAAGACAGGUUUGGGCCUUUGCAAGAAGUGAAUGCAUGAAGUAGAUACUUGUUACCGAGACAACAAUGGAUUGAUGUAGUAGAUAGUUGUUCGUUGAUCAUCCUAACUUGGCUUCAAUAAUCACAUGGUCUCAACACCUUCCUUGUAGGUGAGCCGAGCAUCCAACGCAUCUUCAAUUGUUCCUGGAACAACAAAACAAACAAAACGGUGCCCAAGCUCAUUGGGACCAAAGAGUUAGAAAACCAACAAUACAUAGGACAAACUCCACAUACAUAUGUGCACAAGGAUAUGAAUUUGAAUUUCAUGCACACUUUAUACAAUUUAUGACAAGGUGGAGUUUCCCCUAUAUAUUGGGUCAAAGAAAGAAAGCAAGCAAAAGAAGCUAUUAAAGUAAAUAUGCAUGCUCAAGGCUUUCAAGAAUCAACUGAACACAAAGUUGAUAAUACACCAAAAGACAAGGUAUCAAGUGAUAAUAAGAUACCAAACGAAAACCUAUCACUUGAAGGAUAUCAAUUAAAAGAUACCUCAAGGAAUGAGAUAUCCAUUGACACAUGCCAAAUAAAAGGAAACAAGAUACCAAUUGAAGGAAAACAAACACGAGGUAUCUAGUUUCCAAAAGAGAGCUAGGUUCCAAUAGACCAAACCCUCGACAAAUUUUCAUGAUGGCACAAAGCAUCAUAAAGAGCAAUACUUGCCUCCCAUCAACACACACUUGAUGGGGAUCAAAAGAUUUUAUGAUGGGCGAAUAAAGAGAGUGUUCUAAAGAAAAUAGGAUAGCUCCCCAAGGGAUGUGCAUUAUAUAGAAUUUGCAUUUAAAUACAAAAUGCACAAGGUGGGAUCAUCACUUUUUCUAUAUCUAUAAAGACACUAGACAUGUUAAAAUAGAUCCACAAGAGGCAAGGAAGAUAAACGAAACACAAAAUCCAAUGUAAAGACGAUUAGCAAUUCCUACCACAUGAUGGGAAUACCAAUUGUCAAGGAUAAGAAGUAUUUUGGAAAUGAUACUCAUUGGUAGAUCGCAAAUAUAUCCAAGAUCAUCUUUACCCAUAACACGCAAGCAAAUGACACUUGUAGAGCAAACAUGCCACCUAGGAACAAGAUAAUUUACAAUAUCAACACUAAGUGGCAAUACCUCAAAUGUACACAUUCUCUAGGCUUGUAAUAUGCACAUAGCAUAUUACUCCCCCAUAAUGUGAUAACCCAACAAUAUUAAUCAAGUGGAAAAUUAAAACCAACAAGAGAUAAUUAAUGGACCAUAUAGAAUUUGAAUUUCUCAUGAGUAAGACAUACCACAUAGAAACUAGAUAAUAUUGAAAUAUCAAUCCUAAAUGGUAUUCCCCAUGUAUACACAUUUAUAGGAUUGUGAGGUGUGUAAAGCACAUCACUCCCCCAUAAUGGGAUAAUCCAUUAAUAUCUCACAAGAGCCAACAAAGAUAGAAACAAGAUGCAAAAAGGCUCAAUACAAGACUCACAUGUACAUGAUAUGCAAACCAACAUACACAUACUCGCCUACUCAACAUAAUCAAGUUGGAAGCGCAACAUGUACAAACACAUGCAAGGUACAAAACCACAACAUGCAAAGGGGCAAGCAACUAACAAUGUAAACAGUUUAAGUACAAGUUACCGUAAGGUGGCACAUUGGAUAUAAGAUAGAAACUCGAUAAUCCAAAUGACUUGGCUUGAGAAAAUAUGAAUGGUGAAGACCCCUUAAUUCUUCAUUAUGUAUCCAAGUCUCUAAUGUCCUCCACAAACACCAAUUGAUCAAUUUUCAGCUUGUUGGUCCCCAACCACGUUGGGUCCUAAGAGGUUAGUCACAAUAGGCUUGGCAACCCAAAUGGUACUUUUCUUGACACCACUUUGAGUACCAACAAACUUGGCAAACACAUUUCCAACCUUAUCCUUCCCAAGUGAAUAGAUAUCAUCAAUAAUGAUUAGGUUGGAUAAAUUACCUCUCGUGCAAGAAGAAACGAAGUGACCCUUCUGACGACAUAAGUAGCAACAUCUACCCUUUAAUUUCUUCCCUAUUGAUUUCUCAACAUGAGGAGUGUUGGCUUGGGUCUUCUUGGGAAGGGGCCUUUCUUCAACUUUUAGUUGAGUAUGUGAUUGAACUUGUGGCCGUUUUCCUUGUUGCUUGUGACUUUGGGGCUUCUUCUUUAGUGGGCAAGAUCUAACAUGGUGCCCUUUAAUUUUGCACUUGAAGCAAAUAAUCUUGGCCGAAUUCUUGACUUGUUCUUGGCCCUUCUUCUUGAAGCUUUUGGACUUAUUCUUCUUGUUGGGGUUGAAUCCAAGUCUAUCUUUGUCAUUUGGGGAUUUUUGCCCACACAAGACAUUGUUGAGUGUGGACAUUCCUUCAUGACCUUUUUCCAAGUCUUUCUUCAAGGAAGUGACUUGGGCCUUGAGCUCUUUGAUUUCCACUACAUGGUUAGUAUCAACACAAGUACUAGAGAAAGUAUAAGCUUCAUUGUUAGAGCAACAAGGUAUGGAGAGUAAUUCAUCACAAGAUGUAGCAGCAUUAUGAGUAGAUGAAUUACGAGGACUAGCACAUGGCAAUAUAGCAUUUUGACUAGAAGUAGUGCUAAUGCCCACAUGAGGCUCACUCGAUGUUACCUUGACACUACUAGCCUCAUGAGCUAAUUUUAGCACAUUAUGGGAUACUAGAAGAUCAUCAUGAGAGCUUGUGAGCAUUACAUGACUUUCUUCCAAUUUCCCAUAAUUGCUAGAUAGCAACUCAAGUUGAGCCCUUAGCUCAACAUUCUCCUUUAAAAUGGAUGCUUCACAAGAAGUAGAGUUAGUAGCACAAGCGUCAUUAUUAACAAUAAGAGGAGAAGGCAACUUGGCAAGCUCUUUAGCAUAUGAAGCUUCAAGUUGAGCAUGAGACUCGGUGAGUUCGAUGAGUGAACUCUUAAUAGCCCUUGAGCCAUUUUCGAGGUGCUUAUAGUCCUCGACGAGUUUAGCAUGUGCAACUUCAAGCUUAUCGCUUUUAGUUCUAAAAUAAUUAGCCACCUCGAGAGCUCUAUCAUGAGAUUCUUUUAAUCUAGAUAAUUCUAUAGCAAAGGUUUCCUCAAGAGAUUCCUUGGUGGUUUGUUUAUUUUCAAGAGCUUGAGAUAGCUCUGCGAUCUCGUUAGCGUAAUCACGCUCAUGACCUUCCAUUGUCUCAAUGGUGGCCUCAUGCUCCUCGAGAUGAGCUUCCAACUCCUCAAUGUAUUUCUUGCCCUCAGUGGCAAUAAACAUGAUUUCCAAGAAGUUGGAACAAGCAAGUUUAUUCUUAUAAAGAGAUUUAAAAAUCAUUUCACCCUUAAUUUUUAAGGAUGAAAUAAUAUCAUUCUCUUCAUCAUUAUUCUCAUCCUCAUUAUCAUUAACAUCAUCAACAUGAGUUACAUUGGGAUUCAAAGUAGGAGAUACCUUUGAAGCCUUAGCCAUAAGGCAAAAGUGAGUAACAAUAGAUGAUGAUGUAGGAUCCCUUAAAGCUUCAUUCAAGGCCACAUAUUGUUCCAUGGAGUGAUGAAUUUCCUCUACAUUGUUAGCACAACAACUCGAGGAAAUAUAUAUAUUUUUAUCAUGGCAACAAGAUAUAGGAAGCAUAUCAUCAUGAGAUUUAGUCAAGCAGUUUUUACAUGAUAUGCAAGGACUAUCAACACAAGCAUGUAAAACAUUUAGAGUGCUCGAAGUGUUAAUGCCCAAAGAUGAAGCAUUGCAAUAAUAUAGUGAUGAAGGAUCAUCAACAAUAAACCCACUAUCAUCAUUGCAAUCAUCACCACUACUCACCAUAUCAUUACCUUGUAGCAAUCCACAUGUAGGUGAAGUAGAUGAAGUUGAGAAGACGACACGACCGGAGGUGAAGGGAGAACAAUCAUUCCCACAAAUCUUGGACAUACCAUAUUUAUCUUGAAGCUUUGUCCACAACUCACGAGCAUCCCGGAAUGGCAUGAGUUGAAAUAUAACUACAUUGCUCAAAGCAUCAAAAAGCACAUUAGAAGCUUGAGCAUUGAGAUAAGAGUUUUUCUCAUCCUCUAAAGAUAUAUUUUUAGAAUCCUUUGGAGGAGAAAAAUACAUAUCUACAUUUCGCUCCAAGUUUGGGUCCAUGACCCUAAAGUGAUUAAGCAUGCGAAUUACCCCUAACAUCAAAAUUUGUGUCAUCGAAACUAAGAGUGUCAGAGAAUCCUAAACCCCUAGUUGGCAUCCUUACUCUCUAGAUGGUUAAACCUGAUAAAGAGAGACCUAGCUCUGAUACCAAUUGAAAGGACGUGGAUGUCGCCUAGAGGGGGGUGAAUAGGCGCUUUAAAAUAAUUACGGUUUAGGCUUGAACAAAUACGGAAUAAAACUAACGCUUAAUUUGUCAAGCACAAAACCUACAACAACUAGGCUCACCUAUGUGCACCAACAACUUAUGCUAAGCNNNNNNNNNNNNNNNNNNNNNNNNNNNNNNNNNNNNNNNNNNNNNNNNNNNNNNNNNNNNNNNNNNNNNNNNNNNNNNNNNNNNNNNNNNNNNNNNNNNNGAUGAGUUGGAUGAGAUUUAUCACGUAAUCAAGUUAGUUUUAAUGGGGAUUGAUCCCUAGUAUCCACUACGUUCUAGAUUGAUGUUGCUACCACUUGGCUAUGCUUAAUGCUUGUCACUAGGGCCCGAGUGCCAUGAUCUCAGAUCUGAACCUAUUAUGUUGUCGCCAAUAUAUGUGUGUUUUAGAUCCUAUCUUGCAAGUUGUAGUCACCUACUAUGUGUUAUGACCCGGCAACCCUGGAGUGACAAUAGCCGGACCCACUCUCGGAGAUGACCAUAGUAUGAGGAGUUCAUGUAUUCACCGCGUGUUAAUGUGUUGGUCCGAUUCUUUAUUAAAAGGAGAACCUUAAUAUCCCAUAGUUUCCAUUAGGACCNNNNNNNNNNNNNNNNNNNNNNNNNNNNNNNNNNNNNNNNNNNNNNNNNNNNNNNNNNNNNNNNNNNNNNNNNNNNNNNNNNNNNNNNNNNNNNNNNNNNNNNNNNNNNNNNNNNNNNNNNGUUUCCAUUAGGACCCCGCUGCCACGGGAGGGAUGGACAAUAGAUGUCAUGCAAGUUCUUUUCCCUAAGCACGUAUGACUACAUACGGAAUACAUGCCUACAUUAGAUCGACGAAUGGGAUCUAGUUACAUAUCUCCCCGUGUUAUAGUUGUUACAUGAUGAAUCACAUCCGUAAUACUCAUCCAUCACCGAUCCACUGCCUACGAGUCUUUUACUACUGGUUGUCGUUACGUUACUUUGCCUAGGCUUGUCCCUUGCUACCAAAGGGAUUGGGCCACUUUGCUGCUGCUGUCACUACUGUUGGUACUUGUUACUUUGCUGCUGCUGCUACUGCGGUUCCUUACUACUCCGCUGUUACUUGUUGCAAGACUUUGUUGGAGCCGUAGUCGGGGAAGCAUUCUUCUCAAGAAUAAUCCCCCGUCAAUGUGCUGGUGCCAUUGAUACAACAGUUAGGAAUAGUUUGCCGUGUCAACAGAUUGUUUCUGGCACCGUUGCUAUCAUACUACCUUGCUACUAAUACUUUGCUUGCAGACACUAAUCUUUCAGGCGUGGUUGAAUCUGACACAUUCAACUGCUAAUACUUGAGUAUAUUCUUUCGCCUCCCGUCUUUGUGAAUCAAUAAAUUUGGGCUGAAUACUCUACCCUCGAAAACUGUUGCGAUCCCAUACGCUUGUGGGACAUCAAGGCUUUUUCUGGCGCCGUUGCCGGGGAGGCACAACUAUAUUCUCUGCACUUGAUCCGAAAGAUCCAAGAUGUCCGAAAGAUCCAAGGCGCCGUUGUUGAUCACUAUGAGGAAUUCGAAAGAUCCAAGAACUAAAAUCCUACCUUCCACUACGAGGAGAGGUAAGGAACUGCCAUCUAGCUCUGCACUUGAUUCAUCUCCAAUUCUGAGUAAGUUUGCGACUUCGCGUCCUGCUAGAAAUCUUGGUAUGUCGCCUGUGCUUGAUGAUGCUACUUCUGCUGCCCAUGAUGCUUAUGAUGCUAUGCUUGAUACUAUGCCUGAUGAUGCUAUGCUUGAUACUAUGCCUAAUGAUGCUAUGCUUGAUACUGCUUUGCCACUUGGUGCAUUCCUUGAUGCACAUAUUGCUAGAGUUGCUGCUAGAUGUGAUGAUGCUUCUGAAACUGCUGAUACUAUUGAAGUAGAACCUGCUACUAUGCCUGAAUUGCCUGUUAUGCCUGAUACUCGGUAUGUUAUGGAGGGAGAGAUAGCUGAGGACUCUCUUGCAUGUAAGGAUAGCUAUGACAUUGAGAAACUUCUGCGCAAGUGGAAAGAAAAAUCUUUGAAUGCUAGGAUGAAAUACGACCCGAAGUUUGCUACUUCGCCUAUCUUUGUGACCGAUAAGGAUUAUGAAUUCUCUGUCGACCCUGAGUUAAUCACUCUGGUCGAAUCUGAUCCUUUUCACGGUUAUGAGUCUGAAACGGUUUUAGCCCAUCUUACCAAACUGCACGAUAUAGCCACCCUAUUCACUAGUGAGGAAAAGAUCCACCACUACUAUAUGCUCAAGUUGUUUCCUUUCUCGCUAAAGGAUGAUGCUAAGACCUGGUUCACUUCUCUUGCUCCUGGAUGUGUGCGUAGCCCCCAGGAUAUGGUCUACUACUUCUCUGAAAAAUAUUUUCCUGCCCAUAAGAAGCAAGCUGCCUUGCAGGAAAUAUACAACUUUGCUCAAGCUGAAGAAGAGAGUCUCCCACAAGCUUGGGGGAGGCUUAUCCAGCUACUGAAUGCUUUGCCUGAUCACCCUCUUGAGAAGAAUGAGAUACUUGAUAUCUUCUAUAAUGGACUUACCGAUGCUUCCAAAGACCAUCUAGAUAGUUGUGUCGGUAGUAUUUUUAGGGAACAAACUGUAGAACAAGCUAAGAUUCUACUGAAUAAUAUCUUGUACAAUGAGAAUGCUUGGACUAUUCCCGAACCACCUCCUAAGCCAACUCCGAAGAAAAGAGGUAUUCUAUUCCCCAGUCCCGAAGAUAUGGAAGAAGCCAAUAAAUCUAUGCGAGAGAAAGGCAUUAAAUCUGAAGAUGUCAAAAAUCUACCACCUAUCGAAGAGAUCCAUGGUCUCGAUAACCCGAUACAGGUAGUAGAAGUAAAUUCUCUACGUAGGUACGGUUUGAUGAGAGUGAUAUUCCUUUUGAUAAACCUGCUAGCUUAUGCAUGGAUGAAUUUGAUAACUUUGUUGCCAAACAACAGAGUUUCAAUGAUUAUGUUAGCAGACAAUUGGAACAGAAUGCUCGUACGCUUAGUCAUUUAAGUGCUUGUGUGGACAGAAAUGUCAAUGAUCUUAAGCUUCUGAGUAAACAUGCCUCUAUGGUUACUACUCAGGUAGAACAAGUACUUAAAGCUCAAAAUGACUUGCUCAAUGAGUUGAACGACAAUUCUGUCAGAGUCGUUACUAGAGGUGGUAGAAUGACCCAGGAACCUCUGUAUCCUCAGGGUCAUCAGAAGAGAGUUGAACAAGAAUCUUAAGGAGUUAGCACUGAUGCACCUAGUCAUCAUAGAAAGAAGAAGAAAUAUGAUAGGAACCUGCAUGUUGCUGCUACCCCUGAGAGUCCAAACGAUGCCUCUAUCUUUGAUGCUGAAACACAAUCUGGUGAUGAACAUGAACGUAAUGAUAAUAUCAAUAGUGAUGUUCAUGAAGAUGGUCAACCUAGCAAUAAAAGGAUGUGGAGAUUGAAUCUAGUGUUGAUCUUGAUAGCCCACAGCCUAAAAAUAAGAGAUACGAUAAGAAUGACUUCGCUGCUAGGAAGCAUGGUAAAGAAAGGGAGCCAUGGGUUCAGAAACCUAUGCCUUUUACUCCCAAACCAUCCAAGAAAAAGGAUGAUGAGGAUUUUGAGCGCUUCGUUGAGAUGAUCAGACCUGUCUUUCUGCAAAUGCGUUUGACGGAUAUACUCAAGAUGUCUCCAUAAGCUAAGUACGUGAAAGAUAUUGUGACUAAUAAGAGGAGGAUCAAAGUUGUCAGAAUCGUGACUCAAGUCUUAGAAUCUUAUGAUCUUACAAUCCAAACUAGCCUCUCCGGUUCUACGAUUUUGCUCAUAGAAUCUAAGUUUCUAUGAUCCUGAUAGUUAAGAUUCUACGAUUCACAAUCCUAGCAACGGAGCUCCGGUCCGAUUCAGAAUCGCGAUUCUGACAACUUGGAGGAGGAUACCUGAUCUUGAGAUCUCCGCCAUGCUUGCCAAUUACACUUUCAAGGGUGGAACUCCUAAGAAACUAGGUGAUCCCGGUGUGCCCACUAUACCUUGCUCCAUUAAAGGCAACUACGUUAGAACUGCGUUAUGCGACCUUGGAGCCGGUGUUAGUGUUAUGCCUCUCUCUCUUUAUCCUAGACUUGAACUGGAUAAGUUGACACCCACUGAAAUCUCUCUGCAAAUGGCUGACAAAUCAACUGCUUUCCCUAUCGGCAUUUGCGAGGAUGUGCCUCUUGUGGUUGCUAACACCNNNNNNNNNNNNNNNNNNNNNNNNNNNNNNNNNNNNNNNNNNNNNNNNNNNNNNNNNNNNNNNNNNNNNNNNNNNNNNNNNNNNNNNNNNNNNNNNNNNNNNNNNNNNNNNNNNNNNNNNNNNNNNNNNNNNNNNNNNNNNNNNNNNNNNNNNNNNNNNNNNNNNNNNNNNNNNNNNNNNNNNNNNNNNNNNNNNNNNGACCCUUUUUAAACACUACAGGGGUUGUUAUAGAUUGCAACAAAGGCAAUGUCACUUUCCAUGUCAACGGUAAUGAGCAUACGGUGCACAUUCCGAACAAACAAUAUCGAGUACGUUGCAUCAAUGCUAUCGAAAAAACUUCAUCGAUUCUUAUCGGGAGCUUUGAAUGCCUUAUUCCUCGUGUCAAGAUGAAGUAUGAUUUUCUUGUUGGGGAGAUACAUAUCCCCAUGGAGGUGACCUAGUGACUAUUCGAAAAUUCUCCGUUCUCUUUUGCGAUUCGAGAAAGUUUUGUCGAGGGGAUUUGAUCAACCCCAUUGACGGAUUUCUUUCGAUGACCAUGAGAUGGAUGAAUCGAGGAGUCACAAACCUCUGUUCCAAGCUUUCACUUUAGGUUGCUUAGAAGAAAAAUGAUAGAUUUAAUUUAGUUUUCCCUGUUUUCUGUUUUAGCGUCCGGUGGAAAAAUACCCCGAAACUAAAAGUUCUCCGAACGCUGUGAAAAUCUAGUAUGAUUUUUUCUAGAAUAUUUGAAAAAUACUGGGACAAAGAGUGUGUAUGGGGGCCACACCAGUGGGCCACAAGCCCUAGGGGCGCGGGCACCCCCCUGGCCGCGUCACCCAGGCUUGUGGGGCCCACAGGCACCCCCUCCACACAUUCUUGCUCUCAUCCGCUUCUCCUACCUCCAGAAAAAAUCGUUUCGCAGCUCAAACCCGUGUUCUUGCUCCUCUUGCUGGGAUUUUCGAUCUCUUUGCUCAAAUCACCGUUCUCCGAACUGUUUUGGGGAAAUUACUCCUUGGUAAGUGACUCCUCCAUUGGUCCAAUUAGUUUUUGCUCUAGUGCCUUAUACUCCGCGUAUUUUUGCUACCUUGUUGACCAUGUUCUUGAGCUUUGUAUGCUGAUUCUAGCUGGUCCCAAGUAGUUUUGAUGCGUAAUAUGGUCUCUAGGCACUUGUGGGAGUAGUUGCUACGAGUUUCGUUGAGCUUUAUUCACUUUUCCUUAGAAUCACUAAAAUUUUCAGAAAUUUUCAGAGAUAGAAAAGGGAAAAGAUGAGGAGGUUCUUGAGAGGCUCGUCAAGCCGUGACCCCAAGGAUGAUGGGAGUGAGAAGAAGCCCAAGUAUCCGGUCCCUCGGGUCGCGGAAGUUCGAGCGUGCGAGUGGCCAAGCGACGUGUUCUUACGCGCCGCUGGAAUUUAUGAGGACUUUUAUCACUUGGUGGAAAACGCAGGCCUUACCGCCUUCGUUGAAGGUAAGUGUUCGCAAUACCUCCUCCUCACUAAUAUCUUCAUACAAAGCUUUAACUUCUAUCCGAGGAAGAAUCCUCCUAUGGUUGAGUUUAAACUUUAUGAUGUCCCCCGGCGCAUGUCACUCCAGGAUUUUUGCAAUGUUUGCAAAUUACCUUAUGUUGGGGAUAUUCAUGAACCUCGUCCACGGGACUUGGAGGCUUUUAUCGGUACAACUGCUGUAGGAGAGGAGAGAGGAGUGUCUUGCGCUAGAGCUGCUAGCAUUCAUUUUCCCGUGCUUCGGUACUUCUCACUAUUUGUGGGAAAAUGUUUGAUUGGCCGUGGGAAAGCUAGGUCACUUAGUUCCCCAGAUCUUGCGGUAUUGCGCGAAGCCCUUUAUAACGAUAAAACUUAUAGCUUGGGCACUAUAGUAGCUCAACGGUUGAACCUUAACCGUUCUAAAGGUGUUGUCUAUGGAGGUAUCUAUGCUACCCGUCUUGCCAAACACUUUGAGAUACCCAUUAGACUGGAGGAAGAAAAAGAGAUUCUUCUUCCCGAGAGAUAUCUAGAUUACGAUAGCAUGGUUCGCCAUGACUUUCUUGAUAGAGAUAUAGGUGGAAGGAUGAUUUAUAACCUGGUAUUUAGUCAGGGUACUCAUGAGACUAUUACUUUGCCUGCUUCUUAUUUGUUCAAUCUUCAUGCAGGCAGGUACACUAUUAUGCCCUCGGACAUCUACGCAUAUUGGGGCUUGGCCCAACCACAGGUGCCCGUGCCCGAGCCGCCAGUCGAGUACCAGAUGCCAGUUUAUCAGUGGGAGCCGGAGAAGCUCACACAGCAGUGGCAUCCUCAGUCCACUCCGGAGUACCCCGGAGCUGGUUAUUUCCCUCCUUGGGAGUAGACCAAGUUAGGCGAAAAGCCUAAGCUUGGGGGAGUAUGUGUUUGCACCAACUUUACAUUCAUGCUUAUGCUUUCACUUUGUUAGCCGGUGUUCACACUUUGCCAAUGUAUCAUCCAUGCUAAUUUAUUUCUUUUUCUCGUUUUCUUUUCGUAUGUCUGUCUAGUUUGAGAAAAACCAAAAUUAUUUCCUUUUUCUUCUUUUGCUUGUUGGGAGCUUUCCCGUGUAAAUAUUUUCUUUUUCUUUGGGUCAAGGUAGAAGAUAUUGGUUACAAUGUUUAGUGGCUCUUGCAUGCAUACCUGUUUAGCUUUCAAAGAGCCAUAUUACUUUGUCUUCUUCUUUGCUUUUGCCUGCAUAUUCCAGCGUAGUCCAAUGCACGAGCACUCUUAUUAUUGUUCACAACGUUCGGUCGUGCAAGUGAAAGGCAAUAAUGACGAUAUAUGAUGAAGUGACUGAGCCUGAAAAAGCUGGUAUGAACUCGGUCUAUUUUGUUUUUGUAAAUAUGACUAGCUCACUGUGCCUGAUUCAGCUUUGUUGUGAGAGAAACAUGUUUGCAAUGACAAUUUAGAGAUCAUAGUUGCUUAUGCCAUGGUUAUUUAGCUAAGGGCUUAUAAUGGUUUGUCUUGGUUGCCAACAUGAAUGUUGAGAUGAUUAUGAUGUAGUAUGAUAGGAUGCUAUCCUCCUUUGAAUGUUUCAAGUGGCUUGACUUGGCGCAUGUUCACGCAUGUAGUUGAAACAAAAUCAACAUAGCCUCUAUGAUGUUCAUGUUCAUGGUGAUUUAUGUCCUACUCAUGCUUGCACUCAAUGCUAGUUAAUCUCAAUGCAUUUUGAUGACUGUUGUCGCUCUCUAGUUGGUCGCUUCCCAGUCUUUUGCUAGCCGUCACUUGUACUAAGCGGGAAUACUGCUUGUGCACCCACUUCCAUAAACCCAAAGUUGUGCCAUAUGAGUCCACCAUACCUACCUAUGUGCGGUAUCUACCUGCCGUUCCAAGUAAAUUUGCAUNNNNNNNNNNNNNNNNNNNNNNNNNNNNNNNNNNNNNNNNNNNNNNNNNNNNNNNNNNNNNNNNNNNNNNNNNNNNNNNNNNNNNNNNNNNNNNNNNNNNNNNNNNNNNNNNNNNNNNNNNNNNNNNNNNNNNNNNNNNNNNNNNNNNNNNNNNNNNCUUCAAGAAAUAAUCUGUUUUGCAUGCCCGAACCGCUCAUGUGGUGACAGGGGGCUAUUGGUAUCUUCCAUUAUAGGCGUGUUAUCCUCGAUAUGUGUUUAUUCACUAUCAUUCACGAGAAAGGGGCCGGUAAUUGGAAUUCCCAGUUCCAUGCUCAAAUCGAAAAGAUAAUUGCAAACAAAACUCCCCCAGGAUUGAUGUUGGUUUGGACGGUACCCGAGGAUUCGGCUAGCCGUGGAGUGUGAUUGAUUGGUGGUGGGGGAGUCAAAACUUUACUUUUCUGUUUGGGAACCGCCUAUAGCAUGUGUAGCGUGGAAGAUGUUGAGAACUCUUAGUCAUUGCGUUGACAAUGAAAGCAUGCCACCCAAAAUUAUUAUCUCUGUUUUAAAAGCUUGAGCUCUGGCACCUCUGCAAAUCAAUGCUUCCCUCUGCGAAGGGCCUGUCUAUUUAUGUUCGUGUUGAGUCAUCCUUCUCUUACAAAAGCACCAAUUAGAGAGCACCUCUGUCAUUUUUAUGCUUUGCUUUUAACUGUGUUGAGUAUGACUAUGACUGGAUCUUCAUUGCCAUGAAUUACAAUGUUUAGUCAGCCCUUGGUCUUUUAAGGUGCUCUGCAUUUAUGUUUUGCAGUCUCAGAAAGAGCUAGCGAGAUACCAUCUAUUUGUACUGCUUCAUGUUGUUUUGAUUGAAGUAUUGACACUUGAGGCUUAUUAUUAUUUGCUCGCUAGUUGAUUAUGCCAUUGAUAUGAGUUUUCCGUGAGACCUAGAUGUCAUUUGCUUAUGUGGUUUGAGUGUGAUCUUGCUCAAAUUCUGGUUGUGAGUUAGACAUAGUUGCAACAUCAAGAUCAAACAGAGUUCGUCAAAGUUUUUCUUUUAUCUCUCUCAGUUUGUCAACUGAGUUGCUUGAGGACAAGCAAGGAUUUAAGCUUGGGGGAGUUGAUACGUCUCCGUCGUAUCUACUUUUCUGAACUCUUUUGCCCUUGUUUUGGACUCUAAUUUGCAUGUUUUGAAUGGAACUAACCCGGACUGACAUGGUGUUUUUUUGUGCAGAAAUAAAAGUUCUCGGAACGUCCUCAAAAUUUACGAAGAUUUUUUCUGGAAUAAAAGAAAAAUACAUGUGCAAAGAUCCACUAGAGGGGGCGUGCCAGUGGGCCACAAGCCCACAGGCCGCAGCCACCCCCUAUGGCCGUGCCGUGCAGGCUUGUGGGGCCCACGUGGCACCACCGCCCCCAAUCUCAGCUCUAUAUCUUCCGUUUCGCCUGGAAAAAAAAUCAGAGAGAAGGUUUCAUCCCGUUUUGUGAUACGGAGGCGCCGCCACAUCCUGUUCUUCAUCUGGAGGGUAGAUCUGGAGUCCGUUUCGGGCUCUGGAGAGGGGAAAUCAUCGCCAUUGUCAUCAUCAACCUUUCUCCAUCGACAAUUCCAUGAUGCUCUUCAUCGUUCGUGAGUAAUCUCAUCGUAGGCUUGCUGGACGGUGAUGAGUUGGAUGAGAUCUAUCAUGUAAUCGAGUUAGUUCUUGACGGGGAUUGAUCCCUAGUAUCCACUAUGUUCUAGAUUGAUGUUGCUACUACUUGGCUAUGCUUAAUGCUUGUCACUAGGGCCCGAGUGCCAUGAUUUCAGAUCUGAACCUAUUAUGUAGUCGCUAAUAUAUCUGUGUUUUAGAUCCUAUNNNNNNNNNNNNNNNNNNNNNNNNNNNNNNNNNNNNNNNNNNNNNNNNNNNNNNNNNNNNNNNNNNNNNNNNNNNNNNNNNNNNNNNNNNNNNNNNNNNNNNNNNNNNNNNNNNNNNNNNNNNNNNNNNNNNNNNNNNNNNNNNNNNNNNNNNNNNNNNNNNNNNNNUAUGACCCGGCAACCCCGGAGUGACAAUAGCCGGAACCACUCACGGAGAUGACCAUAGUAUGAGGAGUUCAUGUAUUCACCGCGUGUUAAUGCGUUGGUCCGGUUCUUUAUUAAAAGGAGAACCAUAAUAUCCCGUAGUUUCNNNNNNNNNNNNNNNNNNNNNNNNNNNNNNNNNNNNNNNNNNNNNNNNNNNNNNNNNNNNNNNNNNNNNNNNNNNNNNNNNNNNNNNNNNNNNNNNNNNNNNNNNNNNNNNNNNNNNNNNNNNNNNNGUUUCCAUUAGGACCCCACUGCCACGGGAAGGAUGGACAAUAUAUGUCAUGCAAGUUCUUUUCCCUAAGCACGUAUGACUACAUACGGAAUACAUGCCUACAUUAGAUCGACAAACGGGAGCUAGUUACAUAUCUCUCUGUGUUAUAGUUGUUACAUGAUGAAUCACAUCCGUAAUACUCAUCCAUCACCGAUCCACUGCCUACGAGUCUUUUACUACUGGUUCUCGUUAUGUUACUUUGCCUAGGCUUGUCCCUUGCUACCAAAGGGAUUGGGCCACUUUGCUGCUGCUGUCACUACUGUUGUUACUUGUUACUUUGCUGCUGCUGCUACUGUUGUUCCUUACUACUCCACUUUUACUUGUUGCAAGACUUUGUUGGAGCCGUAGUCAGGGAAGCAUUCUUCUCAAGAAUAAUCCCUCGUCAACGUGCUGGCACCAUUGAUACAACAGUUAGGAAUAGUCUGCUGUGUCAACAGAUUGUUUCUGGCACCGUUUCUAUCAUACUACCUUGCUACUCAUACUUUGCUUGCAGACACUAAUCUUUCAGGUGUGGUUGAACCUGACACAUUCAGCUACUAAUACUUGAGAAUAUUCUUUCGCCUCAAUAAAUUUGGGUUGAAUACUCUACCCUCGAAAACUGCUGCGAUCCCAUAUGCUUGUGGGACAUCAUAGCCCCUCAAUGAAGCCUUGUGGAAGGAGUGUGAUGCGUGAGGGCACCGCCGUCAUAGGGACCAACCAAGAAAUUGAAAGACAUUCACCCAAAGAACCUAGAGCACCGCCGAUCCACAUACAGAGCCCGAUGUGCAGCAAUGUAAUGGAUGCAGUCCUAUCCUUAUUUUGGCGCGAGGGCCUCGACAGGGAUAGAAACGCAUCCCGUCGUUUCGCAAGAAUGGAUAUCGUUACAAGUACAAGUACUUAAAAGAAGAGUAUAAAGAGUUGGCUUACACUCGCCACAACCUACAUCAGAGUCACAUCAGUACAAUACAUACAUUCAUCAUGAAGAAGAGUAGGGUCCGACUACGAACGAAAACAAACGAUAAAAGAACGACGUCCAUCCUUGCUAUCCCAGGCUGCCCGCCUGGAACCCAUCCUAGAUCGAUGAAGAGGAAGAAGAAGAAACUCCAAAUAGCACAAUCAGCGCGCUCACAUCAAAGUAACCCUUUACAUGUACUUGCAACUGGUGUUGUAGUAAUCUGUGAGCCACAGGGGACUCAACAAUCUCAUUUCCAAAGGUAUAAAGACUAGCAAAGCUUAAUGGGUGAGGUAUGGUUAAGUGGUGAGGCUGCUGCGAGCGACUAAGCGUUUAUUUAGUGGCUAACUUACGAGUACAAGAGUAAAGAGGGGGAUGAUCUACGCAUAGCGGACGUGAGCUACUGAUGAUCAAAUGAAUGAUCCUGAACACCUACUUACGUCAGACAUAAUCCCACCGUUUCCUCGAUCGGAGAAGGAGCUCACGAAAGAGAUAGUGACGGUUACGCACUCAGUUGGUAUGUUUUAAUUAAGUUUACUUCAGGUCGUCUAGAACCGUAUGUUAAACAAAGUUGCCACGUUGCCACAUAACCACGGGCACAGCUUUCCGAAAGAUUUAACCCUGCAGGGGGUGCUCCAACUGCUCCAUCACAAAUUAUCACAAGCCGCAUAGAAAUCCUCGAUCACAAAACUCGCGAUCUCGUCGGACUCCUUAGUGGAAAACCUCAACUCUGAGAUUACCCAAAAUCUCACCGGAAUCCCGACGCACAAGAUAUUUCAUCAAAGGUAAAACUAAUCCAUCAAGGCCGCCCGACUGUCGACGAUCCCGAUAGGAGCCGCGUAUCUCGUUCUGAGGACACGACGGAUGGGUCACACUGGGAGUAAAACCAAAGCUCGGGUUGCCCCGUGGUGGCCCCGUAGUCUGCUAGUUUGGACCAACACUCAUGCGGAGCACUCGCCCGGGGGUUGAUUAGUUAACCACGGGUCCGGAAAGUCCCUAUGCAAAUUUAGUAAGUUAUUAGGCAAAUGUAGUACUAAAGUUGGGCCUUGCCAGACCAGUCUUAAUCUAAAAUGAAUUAUCAAGGGGGUCCCCAUAACAACUCCGAUCGUGUUAGGAGUGCUCAAUUAUGGAAUAUAACACUGGUAGCCAAAACUAAGGUGACAAAGGUGGAACAAAUCACCAGGCUAGAAAGGUCGAGCCUUCCACCUUUUGCCAAGUAUAUAUAUAGGUAAACUAAAUUAAAUAGCAUUAAUAUGGUGAUGUAACAAGGAACCCAUGUUAUCACAUGGAAGCAACUGCACCUGCAACUAGCAAUGCUAAUACAUGGUUAAGCAAGUGGUAACAUAGCCAAUUAGUGGUUUUCUAGGUUGUGACCAGGUUGAAGGUUUUCAUGGCAAUGUUGAAAGGCUGACGUUUAAGUGGUAGGCAACAAGACAUAACGAUGGAAACGAAACAACUAGCAUGGCAAUGAUAGUAAUGGUAUCUAGGGAAAUGAUCAUCUUGCCUGAGAUCCAGCUUGAAAGAAGAACGAUUCCGUGAAGCAGACAAACCAACUAAUCGAACGGAUCCUUACAUUCCGACACGCUUGCGGAACUCUAUCGAGACGAAGCAAACCAAAAACAAACAUCAACACACAAUAUUCACCACGUCACAUGCACACUACGAUGCAACACAUAUUAUGCAUGUCCAUUUCAAAUAUGCAAGGCAUGGCAUGGCAAUUCACAUCACGCAAACACUACACAUUAAAUGAAGCUAUAUAUGCAAUAGGUUGCAUAUUGACGAAACUCCACAGCCAAGGAAGGAGUCCCUAGCCCCCGAGGGUGCUUUGCCGCCACGCCGCCUCAUGAGCACAACCGAGCACCACCACCAACGGAUCAUGGAGACACAUCUGCGGUGGUUAGCCACAAAACUUCCCCAGCUUAACUCAGACCGAAGAGAGGGAAAGGAGCCCCCGGCAGGCCCAGGGCCGCCACCGUGGAUUGCCUGCACCAAAAUGGCACUCCCACGCAGACCGAGGAGCAACAAGCAGCGGGAGAGCGUCCACGUCCAUCAUAUACACCGUCAUCCAUGCAACCUCCUGAUACGUCCCAAAUGUAUCCAUAAUUUUUGCUUGUGUCAUGCUUGUUUUACAUCAUUGUCUCAUGUUUUUAUUAGUUUUAUAUCUUUUUAAGAAUUUAUUUGGACUAACCUAUUAAUGGUUGCAAAAGUGCAAAAUGUUCUUAUUUUAUACUUUGGUGUGUAGGAAUUACUUGGAAAUUGACUAAAAUGCAAAAGGAGUCGUAUUGGAGUAGGACUCUGACUUUUCUGAAAACUGUCCCCCCCCUGCAGAUUUUAGAGAUCGUAUGUUUCCUCCCCGAAGAUGACGACAAAUGGAACAAUAAUAGAUACAAAAGUUUUGGGGAAUUUCGAGAGGAACGUUCUGGACUAAAUUAUUCGUCCAAAACGGAGUCCGUACGUGGCCUGUAGCCCCGUUUUACUGAAGGACAAAAUCUGAUUACGGGAAUCCAAAAUAUUGUGACGUGAUUGACUUCAACACUUUUCAUACUUGGAGGAUUCGGCCAAGCCAUGACUUUGGGGCCUCAUUAGGGCUGAGAAUACUCCCAAGGAAGGUUCGAGAGGUGCCCAAGAGCCCUUGGAUCAAAGGGGCAUCCAUCAGAGGGCCAAGGAUGAUCGUCCCAGCUCAUAUAAGGAGAGGAAAACCCUGAUUUUCGGAGAGCCACCAAGAGCCACGAAAUUUCCUCCUCCGAGACAGCCGCCUUGGGGUGGAGAACCACCUCCAUACCAGAACCAUCUCCAAGGAAGAAUGGGGGGCCAAGGGCCGCCGCCCCCAAGGGUCGUGGCCGCCGUCGGCCGUCGUCUCCUCUCCGGGCUGCACCUCUCCAUCAACCUCUUGCUCACCAUGUCCAUGUAUGAGUAGUAUCCCUCGGGGCUGAGGGUUCUACGUGUAGCUAUGUGGUUAUAUCUCUCUUCCAUGAUGUGAUUUUGAUUGUGAUCAUAGGAUAUGUUAAUUUAGGGUGAUCCCAUGAUGUUUCCCCUUCUUCUAUGUAUUGGAUUGGUGUACUCACUUGAUCUUAUCUAUUAUAAUCUCCGAGACCAUGGUGACAGCGCUCUAUUCGCCAUGGAUUAGAAGAAUAUUUUCAUGAGUGAUUUUCUCUUUUGUGAAUUGAUUGAAGAUUGAGAGUCUUUGGUGCUUGUCUUUGACUAUCCUUGAGAUAUGUUGUGGUGAUUGUGGUACUCUCUUUGGAUGGGCGCGGUGACAUUGGAAAAUCCAUAGAUGAGAACUACGAACUCUGAGGUGUGCUUUUGUAGCCCUACAUAAUUCUCGUCCUCUCUUGAUCACAAAGGAAUGACCUCCGAGUACGUCUCCAUUGCAUGUUUUAGUGAAAAUAUCAUGUGAUUAGACUAUGUUAAUGUUAUUUGGAGUAACCACUAGUGAAAGUAUGAAGCCUAGGCCUUGUUUUCCACCAUUGAACGCAGUUUACUUUCAGUUUUGUUUCAUGUUUGCUUGUUGCCAUUUUUAUUUCAGAUUUACAAUACCUUUUUUACCAUCCAUGUCACUUAUCUUUUAACAUCUCUUCGCCGAACUUGUGCACCUAUACAACUGAUAAUUGUAUUAGGUGUGUUGGGGACACAAGAGACUUCUUGUAUCUUAAUUGCAGGGUUGUUUGAGAGAGACCAUCUUCAACCUCUACUUCCCCGAGUUCGAUAAACCUUAGGUCAUCCACUUGAGGAAAAUUGUUGCUGUCCUAAAAACCUCUACGCUUGAAGGCCCAACAUAGUCUACAAGAAUAGAAGCGUGCGUAGACAUCACCUCCCCGUCGCAUGCACAGAUGAGAUAGAGUGCCGCCGAUCCGGAACUCAAGACCCACGUGCAUCCAUCACCAUGCUUGCCAGUCAUCACCACUGCAACCCAUGAUGCCAUCCGCAACACCGAAGGGCACAACGCAAGAUGCACUGGGCCAGGCACAGUCCACCGUCGGCCGCCACGAGUUCCCCAUCUCGCAAGCCAAGCCCCCCGGGAUUUUCACGUUAGGGGCUGCCGACGACGGGAGAGGGGUAGGAAGGAGGGGAGUUGUGGUUGGUAAGAGUUGACAGCACAACCCAUGUCACCAUCGGGAAGGAGCGAUGCAUUUGUCGGGUCCUAUCACUCGUCUGAAUGGAUCUUCUAAACAUACUUUUGUGGUUUAUUUUACAUGUGCUUCUAAACAUAUUUUUUAUUAGUGUAUUUUACAUGUUUUGUAGUGAAAUUGAAGAUGUAAAAAACUAUGACUGACUUAUAUUCCCAUCUGGAGGGAGUAAUAACACUAGCUUCGACGUAUUUUAUUAUUGGAGUCAUUUUAAUUUUUGGGUUCUCUGAUAUAUGCCUUUGCUUGAGAGGCACCAAUAUCAUUCGACAUCAGCCAUACAUUGUAGAUCCACCCGAGGGGGAAAUCAUUUCUUAUGGGAGUACCGAAAAUAAAACAAUUAUGUUGUUAACAUGAUGAAGCAAGAAUCCAAAUUGGUUUCAUUAGAUUUACUAUAAAACAUAUUGUCGUGCCAUAUAUAGUAGAUGUUUUCAAUAUCACCUUGUUUUUCUUUAGACGCGAUCAAAAUAGUAUGACUUAGUAUAAUGCUAAAUUUUUGAUUUAAGUAAUCAAUAAUUUCCUCCACAAAGAAAUUACAAGACUAAGAAUAGAGAAUUAGGAAAACAAUCUACGGAGAUAAUUCUUUGUUUUACUCCUCUCGUACUACAGGGGUUCAUUUGCUCUGCAAUUAGGCGAGAUUUGUUUGAUACGAAGAACCAUGGCCUGGAUCAAUGCUCUCGUUUACAUGUGCACUUGAGUUAUUAUUUAAUAGAACACCGGAUGUUCAAUUUGGCUCUAGAGAGCACCUUCUCCUGCAUGUCAAAAAUGAUUUUACAAAUUUAAAAAAAAAACUGGAAAACAAUAGAUGUGUCCGUUGUCACUCCCAAAUGGUACAUGCAAAUUUGAAGGUGAAAAACUUAAGCAUCACUUGACCUUAUGGUUGUACUGCUCAUCCUCAAUCACCCCAAACUUUCCCUAUCUUCUUCCAAUGGAAAUUGCUUUUAGGGUUGCAUUGUUGUUGUAGGCUCACAUUGCAAUAUGAGAUUCCUGUACCCACUGCCACGAGCUGGUCCUCCAAGCGAUCGGACCUAGGGUUGGCCCCAAUAUAGGGCAAUAAGGCCACCUCCCCACCCCUUGUUUGUAGGAUUCCAAAAAUUAGCAUGCUCGUGCAUUAGCAUGAUAUACAAUUUUCAAAUUAGCAGGCGAAUCUUCAAAUCGUAUCAAACUGAGUUGGUUCAAGUGAAUUUAAGAGAGGCUAAGUCAAUAUAAUCUUGUAUCAGUACGAUGUUUAGGCAAAUAAAACAAAUUUUGUAAAAAAAUCCAUGUAAGAAAGUAAAUGAUGAAUAUUACAACUUAUGUAAGUUUGUAUCUGUAGUACUCAAUUACUCAUGCAUACUAGACAUUGUGUGAGCUCUAGAUUUAUCUAUUUAGUCAGAUUGAAACUCGUUAGUAUCGAUUUCAAGAAUAUCUACCAAGUUAAUCUAUUCAUAAACCAUAAAGCAAUCCGCCAAAUUAUAUAGAUAUUUAACUAUGCAUUGGAAAACUUAAAGAUAAAUGCAAAUGCACUAGCAUAAAAUAAAUUGUGCAUUAUGAUAAUAAUAGCGGUUUGCAUAGAUCAAUGGUGAAAUCUAUUGUAACAAAUAGUUUAUUAAAUAUCCAAAUUAAAUAAUAUUUUUUUGCCAAAAACCUGCAAGUCACAUAGCACUUGAAAAGUAAUAUUAUUUAAUAUCAAAAUCGUAUGGAAUUUUAUAAUAAAAUAUGUGAGCAUGUUUAUAUACUUAAUUUCGCUAGUUAUACUUAGAGAAUAUUGUUAAUAUAGUAUAUCAAUAUAUUUUGUCAAAGAGAAACAUAAUUUAGUAAGAAGAUAUUAUUGUUGAGUAAAAAAGUUCAGUAUAAAUAGGGGAGAAUACCUCAUCAUAACGGAUGUGCCGAAAACACAAAAAGAGUAGCGUCGAUGGCUUCCACGAGCUCGCGCCCGCGGCCGGUGGUGGCGGAUUGAUCUCCUUCCUCCGGCCUCCAUUUAAGCCGCCGAGACCAGAACCGGGUUGUACUUCGCGUCCUCUCUCAUCUGCACUCCUUCUCCCCUCCAGGGCUUCACAGUGCUGCUGAUGGCCCUCGCGUCCAUGCCAUCAUCUUUGACUCCGCCGACUGCCUUGAAUGUCGCCACCGUGCUGGCCGUUGUUGCUCUUGCCUCCCGCAUGGCCGCCCCGACAGCUGGUGGCCGCUUGUCCCAUGCCGGAUCCCGUUGAGGUCGGAUGUGGCAGCAUCAAAGGCAGCGCAGUCGGGCAUGCACUUCAUCCCGAGCCCCUGGCCUCCGCCGACCGGUGUCACCACGUUAUCCGCCCUGGACGCAGCCCGUUCUGCUCUAGCUCGUCCCGUGGCCUGGUGAAUGGAGGGCUUAGGUCGUUGUUGUUGGAAAUAUGCCCUAGAGGCAAUAAUAAAAUAGUUAUGAUUAUAUUUCCUAUUUCAAGAUAAUCGUUUUUUAUCCAUGCUAUAGUUGUAUUGAAUGGAAACAUAAAUGCAUGUGUGGAUAUAUAGACAAAACAAUGUCCCUGGUGAGCCUCUAGUUGACUAGCUUGUUGAUCAAUUAUUGUUAAGGUUCCCUAGCUAUAGACAAGUGUUGUCACUUGAUGACGGGAUCACAUCAUUAGAAGAAUGAUGUGAUGGACAAGACCCAAACUAUAAACAUAGCAUAUGAUCGUGUCAUUUUGUUGCCAUUGUUUUCAGCAUGUCAAGUAUACAUUCCUAUGACCAUGAGAUCAUGUAACUCACUGACACCGGAGGAAUGUCUUGUGUGUAUCAAACAUUGCAAUGUUACUGGAUGGCUAUAAAGGUGCUCUACACGUAUCUUUGAAGGUGUCCGUUGAGUUAGCAUUGAUCAAGAUUGGGAUUUGUGACUCCGUGUGACGGAGAGGUAUCUCGGGGCCCACUCGGUAAUACAACAUCACAAACAAGCCUUGCAAGCAAUGUGACUAAAGAUUUGGCCGCGGGAUCUUGUAUUACGGAAUGAGUAAAGAGACUUGCCGGUAACGAGAUUGAAAUAGGUAUGUCGAUACCGACGAUCGAAUCUCGGGCAAGUAACAUACCGAAGGACAAAGGGAAUGAUAUACGGGAUUAACUGAAUCCUUGACAUAGAGAUUCAACCGAUAAAGAUCUUCGUAGAAUAUGUAGGAGCCAAUAUGGGCAUCCAGGUCCCUCUAUUGGUUGUUGACCGUAGAUGUGUCUCGGUCAUGUCUGCAUAGUUCUCGAACCCGCAGGGUCUGCACACUUAAGGUUCAGUGACGUUUCAGUAUAGUUGAGUUAUAGGUGUUGGUAACCGAAAGUUAUUCGGAGUACCGGAUGAGAUCCUGGACGUCACGAGGAGCUCCGGAAUGGUCCGGAGGUAAAGACUGUUAUAUAUGAAGUCCUGUUUUGGUCACCGAAAAAGUUUCGGGCUCAUCGAUAGUGUACCGGGAGUGCCGGGAGGGUACCGGGGACCAUCGGGAGGGGUGUCACGCUCCGAGGGGCCUUAUGGGCUGUGGGAGGAUACAAACCAGCCCCUAGUGGGCUGACAUAAGGUCCCACUAAGGCCCAUGAGGUUUGAGAGGCAAAAAACCCAAAGGUGGAAAAGGUGGAAAGGAUUUCCAAGUGGAAAGGAGGAAUCCUACUCCUAGUAGGAUUGGAGUAGGACUCCUCCACCUCCAAUUUCGGCCAAACCUUGAGGGUUUUAGGAUGCCUCCUCCCCUCUCUCUCUCCUAUAUAUAGUAGAGGUAUUGAGGGUUUUUGAGACAUAGAAAAACAACCACGUGAUGUCCUCUCUCUCUAGAUAUGUUUCUCCUCUAGUCUAGUUUCAGCGGUGCUUAGGUGAAGCCCUGCUGGAAUAGCUCCACCACCACCAUCAUGCCGCCGUGCUGGAGAACUCAUCUACCUAUCCGCCCCUCUUGCUGGAUUAAGGAGGCGGGGAUCGUCAUCGAGCUGUACGUGUGAUGAACACGGAGGUGCCGACCGUUCGGCGCUAGAGCGGGAUGGAUCGUGAUGGGAUCGCGGGACGGAUCGUGAUGAGAUCGCGGGACAGGCUGCGAAUUGAAUCGCGAAGAUGUUCCACUACAUCAACCGCGUUAUAUACGCUUCCGCUUAGCGAUCUACAAGGCUAUGUAGAUUCACUCUCCCCUCUCGUAGAUGAUCAUCACACAGGAUAGGUAUUGCAUGUGCGUAGGAAAUUUUUUGUUUCCCGUGCAACGUUCCCCAACAGCUACAUCAUCCACAACUCCAACUGAAGCUCCGGGGUCACAACCGGCCAUCGCUGCUGAAGCGUCGUCCUCGACUCCAACGGGCUUUGCUACAUCGUCGACGACUUCUGCUGGUUCCGCUACGUCGUCCUCGACUCCUAUGGAAAUGGCAUUGUCCUCGACUCCUAUGGACACUAUGCCCGGUCUAGACACGGUGCGGCCUAUUUCGUGGAGCUCCCUUACCAAAUAUGAGGAAGACAAUGUGCUGGCCCAGCAGCCGCCGCCGCCGGCUACCAAAUCCUCAUUUCCGGCGGCUCGGCCGGGCACGGCCUGUGAUGCUGAUGCGUGCGGAGGUUGGCAGAAGGUGUUGUCAAAGCGCAACAUGCAACCCCCGGCAUCACUAGCCCCUACACUGGCUCCCCAUCCUUUCCACGCUUGGCUUCAUGGCAGAUGUUAUAGAUACCUCCUUCCUGAAUAGCGUGCAGCGAUGUGUCAAUAUCUUUUUAGGUGUUCUCAGUGUCUUGACAAUGGUCAUUGAUACGUCUUCAACGUAUCUAUUAUUUUUGCCUGUUUCAUGCUAUGAUAUUAUUAUUCUUGGAUGUUUUUUUAUCAUUUUAUACCUUUGUAUAUUAUUUUUGGGUACUAACCUAUUAACUUAGUGUCGGGUACCAGUUCAUGUUUUCUACCCUGUUUUUGUUCCGUAAGAAAUCAAUAUUAGAUAAGAUCAAAUCGUCCCAAAAACUUUUGAGGAUUUUUUAUUGAAGACAAGGAUCACCUGGAACUUGGAGGCCAAGGAAGAUCUUGCCGGGGGGGCCCACACAACACCAGGGCAUGCCCUAAUGUUAUGUGGGCCCCUCCACGCUCCAUUUGCCCUACCUCCUCCACUAUAAAUUCAGCAAUAUUCCAAAACCCUCAAGGGAGUCCAUGAAAUACUUUGUCUGCCGCCGCAAGCCUCUGUUCUCGCCAGAUCCCAUCUAGAGGCCUUCUCCGGUACUCCGCCAAAGGGGGAACUCAUCAUGGAGGGGCUCUACAUCAACCUUGCCUCCUCCGCGAUGAUGCGUGAGUAGUUUACCACAGACCUACGGGUCCGUAGGUUGUAGCUAGAUGGCUCUCUUUCUCUCUCUUUGUAUCUCAAUACAACGGUCACCAUGAUCUUUAUGGAGAUCCAUUCGAUGUAAUGACUUUGUGUGGUGUGUUUGUUGGGAUCCAUUGAAUUGUGAGUUUAUGAUCAGAUCUAUCCUUGUUUUAUUUGAGUUCUUUGCUGAUCUCUUUUAUGCAUGAUUUAGUAUAGCCUUGUAUUACUUCUCCAAAGUUUUGGUUUGGUUUGGCCAACUAGAUCAGAUCUUCUUGCAAUGGGAAGAGGUGCUCAGUAAUGGGUUCGAUCUUGCGGUGUUCAGUCCUAGUGCCAGAAGGGGAGUUGAUACACAUGUGUUGUUGCCAUUAAGGAUAACAAGUUGGGGUGAAUUCUUAUAUGCUUUUGUGUUGACUACGUCAUGUCAUCGUUCUUAAUGCAUUACUUCGUUCUUAUGAACUUAAUACACUAGAUGCAUGUUGGAUAGCGGUCGAUGUGUGAAGUAAUAGUAGUAGAUGCAGGCAGAAGUUGGUCUACUUGAUUUGGAUGUGAUGCUUAUAUCAUGAUCAUUGCCUUGGAUAGCGUCAUAAUUAUUUGCUUUUCUAUCAAUUGUUCAACAGUAAUUUGUUUACCCACCGUAUGCUAUUUUCUUGAGAGAGAUGCCACUAGUGAAUCCUACGGCCCCCAGGUCUACUUUUAUUAUAAGAUCAAUCUCGUUUACUUAUACAAAAAUACAAAAUACUUGCUGCACUUUUUUAUAUUUUAUUUAUUUAUCAAUCUAUCAUAUAUCAUUUAAUCUCGCUUCUUGACCGCCGAGAGAUUGACAACCUCUCGUCUGCGUUGGAUGCGAAGGUUUGCAUUGUGUGUGCAGGUGACGGUGUUGCUUGGUUCUCCUACUGGAUUGAUAACCUUGGUUUCUUAACUGAGGAAAAUACUUACUCUACUAUGGUGCAUCAUCCUCUCCUCUUCGCGAUAAAAAUCCAACACAGUUCACAAGUAGCAGUCCUCGAGCACGCGAGUGCCACAAUGCCUGGCGUCCCCUCAGCUUCUUGGGAAGCUCUACUAUGACGUCGUUGUCAUACCUUCCUAUCAGGCACCAACAAGCUCUAGCUCCUCGCAAGGUCGAGAAAGAAGCCUCACCCCUCAUGAAGACGUUUGGUCGUGGUUCUUGGGCAUCCAUCAUUGCUGCUCUGCUGGCUCUGGGACCUCCGUAGAUAUUCCUGUGCGGACCGCCUUGGAGAGCCAGACCGAUUUGUUGCGCUCUGAGCUCCUUGGUAUGGCUUCCUUCCGACUUGAGGAGGCAGUCCAGCCUCUGCGUGAUGUCGUUGACUCCAUGCAAGGUUGUACGUUGCGGAUGAAGAGCUUUAUAGAGCGAGCUGAGGCCGCACUAUGCGGGCUCUCUCAGGCGCCGCUUGUGUUGCGCACUUUGGUUGUGCCUGAAGACAACUUCGAGGUUGAGAGCGGAGCCGGGCUUCAUGGUUAUUUCUCCCCUCAUUCUAGAACUAGCUCGUCGUUGUGAGUCUCUGAGUGACUAAACAAUGAUGUGGUUGUGACUCCGGUGUUGCAGAUGAUGCCUGAGCUUCAGGACCUGUGUGGGGAUCCGCUUCAUCCUCUGUUUGUUGAACAACUGAAGGUAGUCCCCCCAGAGAUCUCGAUUGGAGCUUUACCACCAGCAUCACCCUAGAAGUCUAGUCAGACACUUGAUGCCGAGGAGUCUAGUGGUUUGGACGUUGUAAUCUCUCACUCACCUAAGUCCAUUUGGGCUUUAGAUGUUGCUAGCUGCCCUUCGCUCAUCUGCGCCAAUCAAGCGGGUGAUGCAUGUGAGUGGCAUGAACAAUGAACAAAGUGUGUUGGCACCUACUCCAAAUCCAGAUGCUCUAUUCGCGACGGAACUUUGUGACUUGCUCGCCGGUGUGGAGGUUGUUGGACCUGGUUUGGGUAGGUCGAUUGAUUUCCUCUUAACGGAGACGCCAAUAAGGGGCAAAUAAAAGAAGAUGGGCAAAGGAAAGAGNNNNNNNNNNNNNNNNNNNNNNNNNNNNNNNNNNNNNNNNNNNNNNNNNNNNNNNNNNNNNNNNNNNNNNNNNNNNNNNNNNNNNNNNNNNNNNNNNNNNNNNNNNNNNNNNNNNNNNNNNNNNNNNNNNNNNCUUCACAUCCAAGGCGUCCGUGGUUGCUUGAUGGAUGGCCUUCGUUCUCACGGCCCUUCCUCUUGGAUUGGACGGUCGUUGUGGGUUGGGAGGUGUUUGAUGUCUUGUCUCGAGGUGUUCUUGUCAGGGUCUUCUUGCAUAGUAGCAAUGUGAGAACAGUUUGUGGAUUUUGUAUGCCGAGGGAGUGGAGGGGGUCGCUUGUGGGGUUCUGAGGUUUUUUUUUUCAUUCGAGUAGUUAGUCCAUACUCCGUUUGUAUUGAUUUUCGCCCGGUUUUCUAUAAAUUAACUGGGAAAUUCUCUUCUUCUUAACUAGCAGAGUGAGCCACGCAUUUGCGCGGCUACAUUAUAUACAUGUCCCACACGCACAGUCAUCUCAAAUUUCAACAAUUUUGACAUGCUUUUGGAUGCACAAUUUGGCUCAUUAUUUGUGUAUGAAUAUAACUGUUUUUACCCACCAAUAAUAAUGCUUGAGAUAAUGUAUAGUCGUAAAUUAGACAUCUAAUGACCAUGCAUGCAUUUAUUUAGGAGAAAUGUGUUGCUUUCCUUUUUAUUGCAUGAAAAGAAUUAUAUGUAUAAAUUUAUGUAUUAUGGAUCCGCGUAAUAAUUACUAUUAUUCAUAGUUUAUUCAAAAUUUGGUAUUGAGGUUUGGAGAUGGUAUUUACAAAAGUCAAAUCGUUAACGUUAUAGUUAAGGCUUUAAAGUUCAUAUAUAAAUAGAGUUACAUUUGUCAAAUUAGAGAACUAUUUUCUGAGCAGGUGCAAAGUUUUACAACUCCUGUAUUCCUGAAUAUGUUUGGAUAAAAAUAUAGAUUAUAGUAUUUCACAAAACCAAAUGUGGGGUCUAUAAUUAUAUAAUUUAUAACUGUGUUUUUUUAUAAUUUCUAUAUUUUUUGCUAAUAUUAUAUGGGUUCGGGUAUGUAAAUUCUUUUCAAUCAAGGCAUUUUUUUUGUGGAUAUCACCCGCAAACUAAAAUGCAAUUCUUUGGUGAUAGGUAGUCAGACAACAAUAAAACGGUGGUACGUUGCCUAGUAAAUUUUCUUCAAAAUUUUCAACUUAUAUUUGGAUAAUAACCUUUUCUUCUAUGUUGACUAAUUACUAACAUCCGCAACCAAUACACCUGUUCAUGUAUGUAAUUGUGAUAUGCAAUUUACAGAUUCAAAUACUAAAUUUCUCCACAAAAAAAGAUUCAAAUACUAAAUAUAUCUUCCCGGUAAAAAAACUAAAUAUAUGUUUUUCUUUCUCUAGUUCUAUUUUUCAAACUUAAUUUUUUUGGAUGCGUUCAAAUUCCGUCCAUUAUAAUUAGUGCAUACCGAAAUACUGGGGCAGUACACUAUUUUUAUUCAUGCCAGGAUAAAACAAACCUCUCCCUAGUAAUAAAGCAAAUAGUGCUUCUGUCGUCCGUCAUAAAAAUUACCCUCAAAGUUGACCUAAAUUACCCACUAUUCCACCGGUAAGUGAGGAAAACGAUUUGAUUUUAUUUCCUGUCAAAGUCGCUGUUCCGCACGGUUCUUAAAGCACGGGACUCUCAUCUAUCAUUACCAUGUUUGAGGCGUAGUGGUUCGAGCUCCUCUCUUCCACCAAGGAGAACUAGGUUUGAUCCCUGACACUUUUUUCUCCCUCUUUUCUUUUUUAGGAACAUUUUCUCUCUUUAUUAGCAGCAAGCAUGCACCUCUUUUUUCAUGUUACAUAAUCCCACCUCGCUCUUUUAUACAGAUUUCGAUCAAUUUAUAUAGGAUCACAUGUUACCCGAAAUAUCAACAAGAGGCCUAAAUAACUACCGCGGGAAGGUGCAUUUAAAGGAUAAACAGGAAAUUAUCCCCUAUGCCUCGAUGGGAUCGAAGGAAAAGGAAUUGUAAAGCAAGUAGUAGCGGCAAGGAAAACAACCAGCAGCACGAGGUUCCUGCAUGUUACUGUUGGAAUCACCAUUAAAGGGAUGGAAGCAGCGAUAAUGGAGCUAGGGAACUACCUAGGAUCAAGAACGCACCAGAGAAACGAGGUGGUCCACAGUACCAUUCUGCCGACAUGGACGUUGAUCAAUGCCAAUGGCUGGCGGACCAGGAGACAGUCAGUGGCAAAAGGAGUCAACAUCCCUUCCUCCUAUACUCUUCCAUAAGCUUCUGGGGAUUAUACUAAUAUAUUAGUUGACACAGGGAGUAUAAGUAGUAUUAUAAUAUCAGGAAAAGUUAUAUUUAAAUCGCUAAAAUAUUGUUGUGUCUAAAAUGAAAAUUCCAAACAAAACAUAGUCACGGUUUGUAUUUGUGAUUAAUAACUGAAGUUUCAAUUGGCAAACUUAAACUAAGGUUUGUAAAAUACAUCGUGCUCUCUAGGCUAGCCGCAUGUAAUUCAUCAACUAAAUAUAUUAUAUUCUUAUACGUGCAACCAGGGUUCAAAUUUAUUUGAUUUUGAAUUAACAAAGUUGACUAUACAUUAUGUGUUCUCAAUACCUUGAUUUGACCAUCGUAGAAUUGUUAAUCUGUUGAAGCGCAUGGGCACUUUCUUACUCUAGAUGGGGAGCCACCAACCAUGCCUCGAUGAUCCGUGGUGUGUAGAUGUGUAGACAGUAUGAUGAGGAUGUUCCAACGGACGAGGAGGAGCUCACUAUUUCCUAGGACGAGGAGGAGCUUGCGAUUUCUAGACUCCUCCUUUCCGACAUGCCGACACACUAGGAGUACUAGGAUCCGAUGUUUUAUUUUUACAUGCUUCCGGUACAACGCACAUGCUAUUUUGUUAGUACAUCCUAUAAACGUAUGACUUAUUCACGUGAUAAGUAGCUAGACCGGACUGCUCAAAAAAAGUAGCUAGCACGGGAUUGGUUUCUUUUUUGGCAAUCUGUAGAAGGGGUUGUCCUGUAUUGAAAUAUAACUCUUAUUUGACAGUUUUUUUUCUGUACACAUGACAUGUACAAUGCAAGCUGGCCUAUCUAACGUGUGCAAAAAUAGGCAUUGUAUGUGUGAUGUGACAUAUUUGCCUGGCUAGGCAGUCAAAGCCGGUAUGACAUCCAUCGUUUUUUAAGUAGAAAAAGAUAGGCAAGCGCUAGGCAUCAGACUACAGGUGUUUAGCAUCCAUCAGACUCCCUAUGCGCCGUUGGAUGCGGGUGAUGGGAUCCAUGAGAUUAGAUUAGAUUACUGCUUCCUGAGGCUUUUAAUACCUGUAAUUAAGCGGCUGGGUGUACGUAAUUAGUGGCCCUGAACGCACGCCCUGGAAGCACGCUGCCUCCCGCGGGAGAACACUUCCUCUCCCCUGUGUCUUCUCCAGUCAGAUUUGUGGCGCGAGUGCUUCCAGCGAGAUACAAGUGGCUGCAAAAAUGGCGCACCUACGUCAAGGUAUUGAGUAUGGAGGGAUUUCGGAUGCAUUCUGGCGGCAUGGAUCGGUCAGUACGACAGGUUCGACAGGCGUCUGGGGUGCUGCUGCUUCGAGUAAUCAGACGAACCUGAAUCCUCCAGUGGUGAAUAUUGGGGAUUAUGAGGUAAAACGAACACCUUGAUACAUGUUCGCAGUACUUAGCUUUCUUUUUUCUUAUUUUGGUUGUAGUUUUGAUGUGUACUGGUAGUAUGAUGCGUCAUUUGCUUGGUCUUUUACACAGCAUGGGGGAUUGAUGAUGAAUCUUUAGGAUGAGUGUGAGAGAACGUAGUUAGAAGCAUUGUUUGUUUCCAUUGGAUGCAUUAUAAUUUGCUGCUGGAAGCUUAGUUUUCAAUGUCAGUGGCUAUGUUCGGACUAUGGCGUGAUUUGUUUAGCACCGUGUAUGUCCAGAUGCAUGAGGAUAUGGUCUGUGUUCAGAUAUAUACAAAUUUUGCUUAAUGAUUUGGCUCUACGAUUUCGUGUUUGCAAUUAUGGUGCUAAAAAAUAUGCUUCAUUGUAGGAUGAAACCAUGGAGGACAUUGAAGGGGGGACAUAUAUUCCAUUUGCUGAUGCUGCAACAACUACUCGACCAGAUGCGCCAUAUGUUGGAUUCGUCUUCGACACCAUCGAGGAAGCACAAAUGGUGUAUAAUAGCUAUGCUAAGAAGCUGGGUUUUGGUAGUAGGAUAUGUUACACUAAGAGGAGUCAGAAGAAGGGGUGUAAUCACAUAAUCAGGAGAGAGUUCGAGUGUGUUCAUGCAGGAGGGAAAGCGCCCAAGAUGGAGGAAAACAAGUUGUGUGUGAUCCUGAGUGGUAUGAAGCAUUAGAAGAAAAUGUCUGUGCAUCAAGGAAGGAACCAGAUUUUGGCAAUAAAAAACUUGUAGCACAGCGAAAGAGAAACAGGGUGAAUAGGCAUGGAUGCAGAGCACGCAUGGCAGUGGUGUUCAGGGAUGGAAAAUGGGAAGUAACUGUUUUUGAGGAGCAACAUACGCACCCAAUGAUGAGUAGGGGGGAAUGGACAAGGUUUUACAGAUCUCAUAGAAAGGUACCGUAUGAGGACUACAUGUUUCUGAAGACAUUGCAUAAUCGGAACAUACCAACAGCGUUGAUCAUGGCAACGCUAGGAGACUUGCAUGGGGAACUUGGCAACCUUCCGUACACUGCCAGAGAUGUUGCAAACAUUAGAACUAAGUUGAGAAAUGAGGUGUCUUUGAAUGAUAUGGCGAAAACGAUGGAGUAUUUUGAGAAGCUGCAUGCAGAGAGUCCACGCUUCUUUUAUGCGAAGCUGGAAGAUGAGAAUAAAGCAGUGAGGGCACUAUUCUGGGUUGAUGGAAGGACCCGGGAGGCAUACAAAAAAUUCAAAGAUUCUGUGUUCUUUGACACUACGUUUUGUACGAACAGGUAUGAUAUGCCGUUUGCACCAAUCGUUGGAAUAAACAACCACAUGCAAACCAUAAUGUUUGGAUGUGCGUUGAUUCCAGAUGAAAAAAUUGAGACAUUCAAGUGGGUUUUUGAGAAGUGGAUGGAUGCAAUGGGGCAUGACCCACCAGGAUGUAUAAUGACAGAUCAAGACCAAGCGAUGUCAAAAGCUAUUAGCAUGGUUUUCCCUGGAAUAGUACACAGAUGCUGUAAGUGGCACGUGCUGAAGAUAGCGAAGGAAAAACUGGGUAUGUUGUUCAGCGAAGGAAGAAUUCUAUUACUGUGUGAAUGGGACCGACAGUGCAUUAGAAUUUGAGGAAGCAUGGCAGCGGAUGGUGCUGAAGCAUGAGCUUGGUGAGCACCCACAUCUGAGUAACAUGUGGGAAUGUAGGCACACCUGGGCACCGGCGUACUUCAAAAGACACUUCUUUCCCUUCACAGGCACGACUGGCAGGUCAGAAGGAUUGAACUCGUUCUUCAAGAAGCUUGUGCACCCUCAUGACUCGGUGUGGCAGUUUGUGAAGCACUACGAGUACAUACAGGAAACUAGGCUUGACCGGGAGGACAAUGCUGGUUUUCUUGGCGAGGCUACUGUUGCGCCGUUGUGGUCAAGGUAUGAAACGUACAAUUAGAGUAAAUGUGAAAAAAAAUGUUGACAUAAUCUGCAACAUGUGGAGCUAAAGUUUGCUUCAUAUAUGUUGUUAUCAUGCUUCUGUAUUCCUACUGAGAACGGAUGUAUUUUUUUCCACUAGGUACAAGAUAGAGGAGCAAGCAUCAAAGUUUUAUACCAGGACUGCCUUUGGAAAGUUUAAGGAAAUGAUGGAGGAGACAACGGCAUUGAUGAUUAAUCCUGUUGAAGGUAAUUGGUUUAAGUUUGAGCUACGACGUUGCGAUUCUGAUUCAAGUAAAAUACGUGUGGUUGUUACCGACCCAGUUGACAGGUCGUAUGAGUGCUCGUGCAACAGAUUCCACAUGAAUGGGAUCUUGUGUCAUCACAUCCUAAAGGUAAUGGUGCAUACUAAUGUGCAAGAAAUACCUGAGCAAUACAUGAUGCAUAGAUGGUCUGAGGAAGCAACAAUUAGACCUGCGAGAAGCAGAAAUGUUGGUUCAGAGGUUCCGGAAACAAAUACUCUCAGGUACAAUGACUUGUGCAGCCAGAUGUGUACACUUGCUUCGGAUGCAUGUUUUGGUCCGGAGACGUACAAGAUUGUUGCUGGUGGAGUGGUUGAGCUAAGCAAGCUGGUCUGGAAGUGGAGGUUGUCAGGUAGUUUGCCAGACCAAGACCCACCAGUAGGUGUUGAUGUUGAAGUAGUAGGAAGCAGAAAUGUGAAUAAUCCGCCAAAAUCUACCAAAAAAGGUAGACCAAAAGAUAAAGAGAAAAGAAGGAAACCACUAGUGGAGCUGAGGCAGGAGAAGGCACAGCAAAAAGCAAAGAAGAAGGGUGUGUGUUCUUAUUGUAAGGAGGAUUGGCACGACAAGAGGAAUUGCCCGUAUCUCGCGCUUGAGAGACAGAGACAGAAGGUUGAAGCUGAAAAACUUAGGCAUGAGACGGAGUUGACACUGUAAAUAGUUUUUCUACGAAGGUUACCGCGUACUGUGAUGUGGUGUACUAAGUUGAUGAACUAGAAUUUACUUUGGCAAUUCAGAAAAUAAUAUGUAGACUUCUGCUUCACUAUUUCAGUGAAUAUAGGUAUGAUUUAUGUAGUUGUGAAAAAAUGUUAACGACACGCUGGAAGCACACCGAUUUCAUGAAGCAGACUUCAUGUAGGGUGGCGCCAGAAUUCUUGGGAAUAUAUAUGUUUUAGGUGAGUGAAGUUUGGAAGAAGCAAGCGUAUUCAUGUUUAUGUACUGGGGUUUUGAUUCAGGAUAAAUCAAGGUUUUUUUUUGGUGAAAACUAUGAUCAAUGUGAAUUUUUGUUUGAGAAUGCAAAGUAAUAUGUAGCAUUCUGCUUCACAAAUUUUGUGUAGAUUGUUCUUGUAAUUCAUGCAAGAAUGUAUGUUUCAGGUGAGUAAUGUUUGCAAGAAGCAAGCACAGGUUGAAGUGGAAACAAAAAAUGUAUUAUUCGUGCGUAGUGAAAAGUAACGUACACUUUGUUUUCAAUGUUGGUAGUACGUAGACGACAAAACAGCGACAUGAGGCAAAAAAACAAUGCUCUGUUGCUUCCAGCUUGAAAACUCAUGAUUGAGUACAAAAUAGUACCAGAUAGUGGACACAAAAAUAUGGGAACCUGUUGGUAACGAAGUUGAAUUGUGUAAUAAAACAACUAACUAGAAGUAAAAAAAGUUGGCCAUGAUCUUCCCAUCCCAUUGCUUUAUGAAGAGCAUUGUGAAUAUUCCGCAAUCGUAGCUGGCAAAAAUAUAGAAGAUAGCAUCAUACGUAGUGCAAAGUAACGUACACUUUGUUUUCAAUGUUGGUAGUACAUAGAAGACAAACAGCAUCAUGAAGCGAAAAAACAAUGCUCUGUUACUUCCAGCUUGAAAACUCAUGAUUGAGUACAAAAUAGUACCAGAUAGAGGACACAAAAAUAUGGGAACCUGUUGGUAACGAAGUUGAAUUGUGUAAUAAAACAACUAGCUAGAAGUAAAAAAUAAACUUGGAAGCACAUAGUUCGCAGAAGCGCGAUCGUUUAUUCUGUUGAAUGCUCGUCGGCGUGAUUAUCUACGAGGAAUAUUAUUUGUUUGAUCGCGACUAAGACGGUUCCUCAGUUUUUCUUCAGUACCCAGGUAGGGUCUUGGUUGUUGAGCUGCGAAGUUAUGAUUAGUUCGGUGAUAAUCGCCCGAUGGCCGUAUGUAUCCUGCGGUAGAAGUCGGGACGGUGGUUAGAACAAUGUAGAAUGCACAUUUGUAGUUGGGUGCACUGAAUAAAUUUGAAGAGUUGGUUACAUGCCAAAAACCAAUAUGAUUGAUAGAAGCAUUGAAUUAACACAUGAGCAGCUGUUUGGUUUAGGAGGGUAAUACCUUGGAAAAGUUGGCCAUGAUCUUCCCAUCCCAUUGCUUCAUGAAGAGCAUUGUGAAUAUUCCGCAAUCGUAGCUGGCAAAAACAUAGAAGAGAGCAUCAUACGUAGUGUGAAUUUUCUUCUUCACCGACUUUAGUUGAAAAAAAGAUUGUAUAAACUUACUGCGUUUUCUGUUGGGGGCAAUCGGGGGGUUGAAGCACGUGAACUUCAUGAAAUCCAACUUUGUGAAUGCUUUGGCAUGCGUGGCCAGUGUCGUAAAGUUGGUAACCUAAAAAUAAAGGGAUGCAAAAUGUAAUCAACGCAUCACCAGAAAAACAUCGCACAAUAAUUAGUUACUGUUAGUUUAGGAGAGUGCUCACCAGAUUGUUUGACAACUCGUACACUUCAUCAUUUUUCAGCUUCUUGUCUGAAUCGAAUAUGUUGAUCUGUUUGUAAAGAAGGUUGAUGCAACAUAGUAUCCAAUGUUGUCUGUGGGGAAUUGCGAAGUAAAGCUGCAAAAGUAUUAUGGGUAUGAAGGGUAUGAAUUUGUUUUCAGGUGGUUAUAGAUUGUAAAUUUUGACGAUGUAUUGUGCGUCAGUACAUGGUACGGUGCAAAUUGGAAGUUUGGAAAAAUUGAUAUGAAGUGAUGAGCACAGUGUUUAAUGGCGUGAGAAGUGUACCAUAUCCUUUGACUUGAGCGAGCCAUCUUGGUAGGCAUUGUUGAAUUCACGAAGGCAGUUGGUUGCAACGAAUUUUUCCUCGAGCACGCUUAGUUUUGCCUGAUGAAAGUUAUGAAAUACAAUGUAAAGAAUUUUAAAAUAAGUGAUGGUGGAAAACCAAAGAGAUGUGUUGCGAAGGUUGUUACCGUCAAGGACUGUGAGAAGGCGUAUUUGGUAGGAAGGGCAGAGCUACAUGCUUCCAUUGUUUGUUGAAGGUUGAACUGGCGAAUGUAGAGCUCCAAUGUAUGGGUGUCAACCCAUCCGCGUGGCUUGAGUGCGUCACGGAAGUGUUCAUAUGAUAUAUGGUACCCACCGUAAUCGAUGAAAGGUGGCCUAAUACAAGGGUGAUUGCGAACAAACGUUAACAGAUGAAGCAUUUUAUGUAAGUAUGAACACAUUACUAGGGAACCAAGGAAGCAUGAGUUGCUUGCAGGUGAAUCAUAAACUUAAUAAAAGGUGCGAGUGCACGGAUGUGGUUUAAUGAAAAGGUUGUGACAUGUAACCUUUUAUCAGUUUUUUUGGGAGGCCUUAAACAUCUGGCGGUGAUGUACUUGUUGUACAGUUCUAUCGAAGAGCUUGUAACCUUGAUUUUCUUCAGCCUUGUGUCCUCAGUUUUCCGAAGACAAGCUCUCUUCUUCCUAUUCUUCUUCUCCUGAGUUUGUGUGCCAAUGGUGUGAAGGACAUCUUCGGUGGAGGGUUGACCCCCCUGGAUGGAUGAUAGGUUGUACAAAUAAUUUAACGGUAAUGGUGUAGACUGAAUUUUGUACUUGGAGUGUGAGUGAGUUGGAAAAGGGUGGAACGGUACCUCAUUGACAUUAUGGCUCAUGUUUGGUCCUUCGGAUGUGUUAUCCUAAGUAGACGCAUGUAAAGUGUUGGACACGUGUCUUCGCGUUUAAAUGGAAGCUGCGAAAGGGGUUAGAGGAUGCAUUUUUGAUAAAGUGUUAGAAUGUGCACCUGUGUGAGCUGUGUGGGGGAUGUUGGUGUUGGUGCAUGUAUUGGGGAUGAUUGAGGACUAAUGUGUGCCAGGUUUGCUUCAACUGUUGCCAUGGUUGUAGGUCCUGCACGAGCAUAUAUACGUGCAAGUGAUUUUAUUGAAAAAAAAUAAUUGAAACCGAAAUGAGAUUGUAAUAUGGUUUGUGAUGCACGUACCUGCAGAUGUGGUUUGUACUACAGCUGUAGAAGCGUCCACAAAUUCACCUUCAUGUGUUGAUGGAGGUGGUUCGGCGAAAGCUUGGGUCCAAGUCUGACCGGGGGGGUAGAAGACUGAAACUCGGAUCUUCGUAAGAAUCAAGGACCCUCUGCAAUGUUUCUUCACUGCUGGUGGAAUGCUUCGUGACAGGAGGGGUUGUAAUAGCGUCGGCCGGUUGGUCUUGAUGUGAUGAGGGACGUGGUUCGGUGCAAACUUGGUUCGCAGCAGGAGCGGAUGUUGAAGCUACAUCCUGGUUAUUCUGAGGUUUUUUAGUAACACUUUUCUCCACCUCAUCGGCAUAUGCAGUUGCUUCCUUCCAAAACCUGGUGUCAGGAGUUUCUUUUGGACCAUGUGGCUGUGGUUGUUCGGUAUGUGUGUCCUGGAGUACCCAAUGAGGUGAAGAAUAAUUUGUUGGAUCUGGAGCAUUAUCUUUUGUGGCCGCUAAAACAUCUUGUGCAAACUCUUCCAUGCGCUUGGCGUGAAGUUUAGAAAGUCUCGAUGUAGCUUUUGAUAUAUCAUGUGCCCAUUUUGAUUUGUGUGUUUCAAUAAUUUGUAGUAUGUAGGCCGGUAGUUCCUGCACGAAAGCAUGUAGCAUGUGAAAUGGUGAAUGAUUUGAGGAAAUGAUUGUGCGUGUUAAACAAUUCUGGAAGCUUUUAUAGUACAUCAGGAAGACAUUUGUAUUAAGGUGGAAGCAUGGGUUUGAUGUACAUAAAUUAAUUUGGAAGAAUGUGUAGUACAGCAUGAGUAACUUUACUCUGGAAGAUAUUACUCUGGAAGCAUUUAUAUGAAAGCAUGAAAACAAUUUGUACUAUGGUGGAAGCAUGGGUUUGAUGUAUGGAAUUGACUCUAGUAGCAAGUAUAUUACAACAGGUAGACGUUUACUCUGGUGGUUGUUACUCUGGAAGCAUGCAUAAUACAAUACAUCAUGAAGACAUUAUUUUAUUGUAGAGGAAGCAUGGGUUUUGAGGAAUAGAAUUUACUAUGGAAGCAAGUAUAUGACAGCAUGAAGACAUUUAUCUCUGGAAGCAUGUGUAUUAUAACAUGAAGACAUUUUAUUAUUAUGGUGGAAGCAUGGGUUUUGUGUAUAGAAUUUAUUUGUCAUGUUUAUGUUUCUUCAAGUUAGAGGGAAGCAUGUAAGUAACAGAAUGGAAACCUUCAGAAAAGAUGGUAGAAACAUGCAUUGGAGUAUAGAACUAGUGGAUUUUCAGAAGUAAUUUGAUAUCGUUGUACCUCCGGAAGCUUGAUAGGAAAUCUAGGGGCCUCGUGAUGCAUGUCCUGAUUUUCUUCGGUCUAUAAAAAAAUUUAGAAUACCAGAUGAGUAGAAGCUGUACGUAAAAGCUCUGUUAGAAAUAAGCACAAUAGAAGUGGGUACCUGUGGUGGAUGGUUGGUACAAUUGUUUUCUGUUUGUUGUAUAUAUGGGUGUGUAGCAGGUUGGUCAUCGUAGUUUGACCGUUGGAUGGCAUAUGGUGUGCUUUCGGGUGCACGGAACUACAAAAAAAUGCAGCAUUUUAGCACACUUGAAGAUUAGAAAUUCUUAUAUGGAGAUGUACAUGCAUAAACGGGGAGCGUCAUAUUAGAAAAGAUUGGCAUCUAUCUUAAUGAAUUAGUAUCGCAUUGUAAUAUAAGGCAAGAAAAUAUUGUAUGGCCUUACCGGUCGCGCACCAUAAAUAUGUGCGUUGAGGGUCAAUCUGCUUUUAUCAUGUAGCAUGACAAAUUUGAAGUCCUCAUCUGUUACGUGGGAUGCUCUAGGGAGUGAGUAAUUUAUGUGAUGCGUCGAAAUAGAUGAUUCAGGAAAGUCGAGAUGGUCCAUGUAUAUAAUCUGAAAAUAAAAAGGUAGGAUCAAAAAAUGUGGAUAAAAUAAAUAAUAACUACAUAAAAGAUGAGGUAUAAAAAGUGCAUAGACUAUGUGUAUACCGCAACCAAGGGUAGGCAGCUGCCAACCCAAAUUUUUUUGAAAGCUCCAUCUAAUAUUGCUUUCUUCUUCUUCUUUUGGAAUGUAUCGAUCUCAGUCAUGACAUCUUUGAGAAUUUGAUCUCCCCAUGCAUACUCGCAAACCUCGGAUGCAACUUCAAGGCUGCCUAAAUACUCCAAAGGGACCAUGUUUCCAGUUCCUGGUGUCAAAUGAGUAGCCAAUGCUACUAGGAAGAAGGUCCUAAAAAAGGUCUCGUCAUCUAGAUCAACAUCUUUUUCUAGAAUAGUUGCAGCAUAGUGAAUGGGCGCCCGUCUACCAUGAUCAUAAUCUGUCUUGUAGAAUUCUCGGUGAGGGGAUUCUUCAUGCUUGCUUAUGACAACAACAGGCCUAGUCCCAUGAGGAAGUCCGAGGACCUUUUCAACCAUUUCUGGAGUGAAUAGAAUGCUGGUAUUGUUUCGUGGGUUCCGAAAUUCACCAAGCUUCGGGUCAAUCAUGUCAAUGAUCCAUUCUAGGAGUCCCUCGGGGGUUGAGAAUUUGCUAACAUCCAGGAGAUUGCCCCAUUUUUUGGUACGAAUGAGGUUUUUCCUUGCGGGGGCGAGACCUAACACGAUAUCAUGUAACCGGCCCGCUGCAUAUCGACUCUGGAGCAUGAUCGACUCUUUAUCUUUUUUAGUCAUUGUUGAUUGUCACCUGAGAAAAAGAGUGAUGUGAUGGGUUAGCAUAUUUGUAUGCUGUAUUAGGCACGGCAGCAAAAUGCAGUACAAAAAACUAAAAGCAUUGUUUAUGGUCAGGAGCAAAAAAAUGAGCACACGAUGAAUACGGCGCAUGACACAGGCAUUAGUAAGUUGCUUCCAUUGAGUGUAUGUUUUCCAUGAUGGCAAUGUUUUGGAAGCAGUUUUUAAUACAAUCGAAUCAGAGAGUGGCCACUGCAGAAGCAUCUGUGUUUGAUGCAUUUUAAGGUGCAACAUGGUUCAAUUUUUCUGUACAAUGGAAGCAAGGAAUUUUUAAAAAGGGAAUAGAUAACAAAUUUGCCGCCAAGUGUUCGUCUACAUGUGACACAGGAAGCUUAUUGGGAUGUAUUUUAGAACAUUUGCAUAGAUAGGAAGCGCGGGUGCGACAUAUGAAAAUAUUCAAAAACAAAUGCUAGUCAACUAAUGAACAUAUGAAACAUUUAGUCUACAGGAUGAAUUAGACAUCAGAUUUCAUUUGAAAAAAAUGAGAAAGAAAUCCCAAAUCUGGAACAACACACAAACAGUAGAGUUUACCUACGACCUGGGAUUGGGAGCUCCAGCAAGUGGCGGCCGAUGCAAUGCGACAGCUUCAAAUCGACGGGAUGUACGCCCUGGCGAUGUUGCGGAUGGGAUGACUGAUCCGCUCGCCGCCGGCGGGGUCUUAGAUCCGAUGUGGGGUGAGCUGGUGGUGCGUGGCGGGUCGAGCACUAGGGGUGUGGGCUGGAUGUGAUAGUAGGCUUCCGUGGAGAGUGAGGGUCGCGUCGACGGCCGGUGGGGGAAGCGGGGUCGGUGGGCUGUAGGGGCAACGGCGGUGUCUGGUGGCGGUGGAGGAGAUGCCGCUGCAUGCGACGAAGGUGGGGUGGCAAACAGAGGAGGGGGCAGUGCACGGGUGCGAGGUUGUGCCUGCGAGGUCGAUCCGGCGGACGGUCCGGUGGAAUGGGAGGGCGGCGUUCGUGGCCGGUGGGGGGACGGGGGUCAGCGGCUUGGUUGGUGGCGGAGAACGGGAUGGCGCUGGAGUCGGCAAUGGUGAGUUGGGGAAACAGGGGAGUGGGCAGACACGGGCGGUUGUGGGCGUUGAUUGGAGAAGAUUACGCGCGGGAUUUAGGGGAUACGGUUUCCUUUAGUAUCUAAAUCACAGACGAAUCUGGAGCUUCGGGAUUCUGCUGGAUCGACGGGAGAAGAUGGGUCUGACGAUUGGAAUCGUUCCAGACUAUGGAUACUAAGUGUUUUCCAAAAAGAUAAUGGCCUACGGAUGUCAAUAUGAUGUCCGGUGAACUCGUACUUGGGCAUAAUUCCGAUUCUUUUUCUCGUUGUCAAGGUUUCCUCUUUUUUUCCAGGGAAGCGGGGUAAAUCUAGUCCGUUCAUAUUUCUUAACUUUUGAACGAUAAAUCUUUGUCGUUCCUUUUCUAUUGUUUUAAGUGUAUAAUAGAAGAUUAAUCGAUGAGGCAAAUUGUUUUAGAAAACGUUUAAAAACAUCCGACUGAUUUACUCGAUAUAUAAGCCGUCUGUGCUGCUUGCCACGCGUCCUCGUCAGGUCCACAUACAACUUUUCUUAUUUUCUUCCCUCAUCUCUCACGGGGAACCACAGCCACACACAUCUUUCUCUUACCCCACGUCGUCUCCUACCUUUGUUCUUGCACAUCCCGAUCCCCAUGGUUUUCUCUCCGCUCUAGCUACUUGUUCCCCACAAGCGGUGCGUUGAUGCUCGAGCUGAUCGUUCCCCACGGCGGUGCGCUGAUGCAGGCUGGUGGUAGGGUUGCAAUUCCACAUCUACCCAGGCACGCAACAGUACUACGCUAUGAUGGGGAUCGUGCAGGUCGUAGAAGCUCGGCAUGUGCUUCAAGUGACAAGAGAAUGCUGCAAUUGGGGGUUCACCGGGGUUUUGCAGCACUUCCUCUGCUGCGAUGGCAUCGCCAUGUUGUGAUGAAGCUUCGUUGGGUCCUUGUUGUUUGCCAUGGAGCAUAGCCGGGGAGGCCACCGGUGCUACGAUGGACCAUCGCCGGGGGGUUGCAGUGCAGCAAUGGAGCAGCUGCCUUGCUGCUAUGGAGCAUCACCGGGUCCUAUUGCUGCCAUGGAGCAUCGCCCACAGCCGUCGGGGACACGCCGUGUUGUGAUGGAGCAUAGUUGUUGUUGCAUUGGAGCAUCGCUAGGUCACACGUUGUUGCGUUGGAGCCUGGCUGGACAGGGUGCCGUUCCAGCAACAAGGGCAGCGCUGCAAUGUCGAGGGUCAUCGAUGCGCUCUCACCAUUGCAAGUUGGGCAAGGUGUUGCAAGCGUUGAUGGGCUGCAAGCUCUUGCCGGGAGGGUACCGCGACGGGAGGCAUGCGUGAGAAGGCAUCAGUGUGCUGCGAGAGAGGCAAGGGCGCUCCAAUGCGGGAAGGAUCCGAUGGUUCGCGACAGACAGAUCAGACGAUGGGCAAGGCGACUUAUUUUUCUGUCAAAUCAGUCGGCUGAUUUGUAGUACUAGUACAAAUGCCCGUGCGUUGCACCGCGCAAACAAAGACAUAACCUGCUUUACAUAUCAUUAUGCAUCAUUUUUUAUAUCCAAUUCUAAUAGACGUCAAUAAUAAGUUUAAACAUGGAAAAGUCAUUAUUUGAAAUAAGAGCAUAUGUUUUCAUAUAAAUUGGAACACUUUUCAAGAAUAGUUAAUGUUUAUGAAAAUUGGAACAUUACUCUCAAAAAGAACAUUUUUGAACAUAUAUUUUUGUUGAAAAGAAUGUUUUUGUUUUUUUGUUGUACAUUUCUAAAUUGAUAUUCUUAGUAAAAAAUGAAACUUUUUUGGGAAUGCUGAAGUUCUUCUAAAAAGUGCGAACAUAUUUUUUGAAACAAAAAAAGGAGAGCGGACGUUUGGAGCUCGGCCUCCAUGGAGGCCGAAAUUUUUGAAUAAUUCAAAAUUCAAACUUUUCGGUUUCAAAAAAAUCUGAAAAAAAAUAUGGAAGUAAAGAAGGAUGUUAUGCGUAUGUGUGCAAAAAUUUAGGAUGAAAUACCUUAAAAUACGAUCUACACAAAAAAGAUAAAUUCAUGACAUGAAAUGAUGAAUAGUGUCAUGUGUAAAAAAGCCUCAGAUUUGUCUUUUUUGCACAGCCCUCAUUUCAAUGUAUUUUUUUCUGAAAAUUUACACACAUGUGUGUUACACCUUCACUUAUCCCUGUUUUUUUUUCAGAAUUUUUUGAAAUGUAAAAAUAUGAAUUUUCAUGAAAUUUGAGUUUCAAAUUUAAAGGGCUCUAAUGAGCUCGGCCUCCAAAAGCAAUAUCCGCAAAAAAAGUGUGAACAAUAAAACUGUGAGCAUUUUUAAGCUAUUUUUACCGUGUUAAGUUUUUUUACAGAUAAUUUUAGAGCAUUUUUAGGGCAUUUUCAAUAUGGUUGUUUGGUUAGAAAGAGUUUAUUUUUUUAACUAUUUGGGCUUAGACCAAACAAACCACUUGACAUAGGCAAAAAGACGCACGAAACAUCUUCUUAUCAUUCCCCAUUCUCAAGUCUUCCUUAUCGAAGUGCUCUGCUUUGACGCCGCGUCGUGUCUACGUCCUUCGUCAACAUGGACGAAUCCUUUCCGCUGCGUCAUUCUGUCCAUCACGAUCCCUACCAGUUGUAGUCGGAGUUGAUCAAUUGUUUCCUCCAAGCAGCAUAUAUGAGAACAGGGUUUGCUUCUUGUGAAGGAAUAUAACAAUAAUAAGAGCUCCAUAGCAACAACUAAAUGGUUUGAUUUCAGUCAAUGAAUAUAGCAUUACAUCAAUAGCAAACACAUGAUGAUAUUUGUGAAAAUAAAAUAAUAAGAGCACUGCAACCGCUAGUAAAUGCAACAUUAUCCAACAUGAUAAUUUCAACCAGUACAUAGGACCACCAUCAACCAUGGUAUACUGUUAAAGAGUACAUGUCUAAUAUUUUAUGAAAGCUAGAACUGAAAGUCAUUUACAGGGAACAAUUUGUAGUUGACCCUACUGGUCUACAUUCAAUGAAUUAUGAGAUGCCAUUUUUUACCUACAUAUCUAAAAGUACCAUGAGGCGGGCCAUCCAACAGAGAAGCUACUUUUUCUGAAAUAGCACGCACGUCCUGUUUUGAGAAAAUGGAAGUUAGCACCACCAAGUAAAUCAAUCUUGAAAAGAGAAUAAAGUUUACGAGAUGAGCUUAGAUUAUCAAUUUGCACAAAUAUAUGUCAUAUAUUUUCUUAAAUAUUCAUACUGGAGAAUAAAGUUAUCCUGGAGUCAACAAAAUGUUCAAAUUACUUUAUAAAGACUAUAAUUUUUUGUUAAUAUGAAACCUUAUGAAUCAUAUUUCCUCCAAUAUGUACGUCUCCCAGUCGGGCGUCACCACGUCUCUCCCGUCCAUUUUAGAACCUUCGCCAUUCGCCACAAUACCGCUGCCGUCAAUUUGUUUGAAAACUUUGAUAGAUAGAUUAGAGAGAUAGAUAGUGCACUAAAAGAGAAUGGAUUCACAAGAAAAGUAAUGUAUUCAUAUGAUAUUCUAACUCCCAAGAAUCGAACUUCUGUGGUAAAAUAAAACUAACACAUACCAUGGCUAUCCAACAGCACAGAGUACUGACAAAUUUGAACUGGGGUCCCUUUCCUUAGGAUCUGAUAUAUACCUUCAGGCCAAUUGACUCUCCUUGGUGUUCUCUGAAGUCGGAAAGUCUGAAUGAACUCAUGUGCAACUUUUGACGAUGGUGCAAAUGGAGAAGUGUCACAAGAUUGGAUCCUUAUCCUGCUAUAUAACUAUAGUACAGUUAAAGCAAAUAAGCUAAGAAAUUGGACAGCGAGAUGAAGGUGCACCACACCAUCCAACUCUGAAAAAGUGGCUAAUGUUCUUCCUCGUUGAAUCCAUAAGGAGCAAGCUUUUCUAUCCUUGAACUAAGCUAAAACUAAAGAGAUCUAAAAUCUGAACGAAAAAACUUCAUUUCUUGGAUAGACAUAAUAAAUUCAUUUUUUGGGAUCAACUCCAAGCCAAAUACAUUGUAAAUUCAUUUGAGUGGAACUUCCAUCAUCAAGUGUGGCUAGAGGAGUCAAGUUCAGAAGAUUUAGGGUAUUACCGGUGCUGAUCCAUGCCAACACCAUCUUUGAAAAAAAUACCGCUCCAACGAAGGACUAUUCCCUCGUCUUCCUCGUGCGCUUAAGUUAUAGUAGCAUGAUUUCACUGAAAUUGGAUCCUCGCCGCUGGAGUAAAUUCACAGAACUCCGUUACCUACAUAGAUAUUAAAAUGAAGCUACAAGAUUUAGUCUGGAGUCCUACCCCGAUUCAUGGCCUUUCAUCAAUUAUAUAAGUAGUAGACACAAAGUACCAUUAGAGCUAAGAAGCACACUACAAAGUAUUCAUGUUAAACAAUAAGCAGGCAUAUGUACAUCAGCUAGAAUCUGUUGCUUCAAAGAGCCUAGCAAAUUAACAAAAAUUUCUACCAAUUCUCUGCAUGAUUCAGACCAAAUUUAUAUGUGAAGUUCUAAACCAUAAUUGCAGCAUCCAUGGAAAACUGGUUGGGAGAAACUCAAGCAUCUACGAUAUUAUGUACAUGAAGUAUUGCUGUGUAGUGAAGCAUGUCGUUUUCCGUAAAUUUGGUAGUAUUAGUAUAGAAUGGAAGAAAUGGUCCUGACCGGUCAAGCUCCACAAAUUUGGAAUCUUUUGAGUGACAAUAUGCCCACUUAUUUUUGUCAAGUGAUGAUGAAUCAAUUUCUGAUUAUAGUGAUUAUCAAUUACAAAAAGGGGAUCCCAAUCUCAAUUGUCGGAGCGCCUACUGAAUAGGUAAGAUAUAACAAUGUUAAUCUAUAGACGAAUUCAGUUGCAUUAAUUUAUCACCCAGCUGUUUGAAGCAUAUUAAAUAGACAUAAUUUCAAUAGUUAUCAGAAGAAAAAAUGAUCCCAAGUGCAUUACCCAACUGCAGGAUCAAAGACAUCAGUUAAGGAAAAAUAAUUACAGUUUUGUAGCACAGAAAAUCACAAGCUAGCAUAGGCCAAGUAAAACAGCACAAUUUAGAUUGAACGAACACGUAGAAACAGUUAAAAGACGGUGUUCCACACCAACGUACAAUAUUUGUAUACUGACACAUAUAUAUCCCAAAUAAAGACAUACAUAUUCAUAUCAUUAUAUGUCAAAACUAUACAUCAGCUAGGUCUUGGACCAUGUACAAACAACAUAAACAACGUGUAGUCCGAUACUUAAAUUUCUUAUAGGUAGAGAUGGAGACACCUUACCAUGCAAAGGUAGCAGCAGGCGCAAUUUCAUCGAGCAGCAAGAGAAGGGAAGGAGAUGACGGUUGGGAGGGCUUCACUGGGAGGAAACAACGACGACAUAUGACAGAGUAUCAUCCAGUGGAAGUAACACACAAACCAGAAGGAGCAGCAUAGAUCAUAUCUUCAGGUUGAGGGAAACAUAUGGUCUGCUGGCUUCCCAGCAAGCUUCGCGGCUUCGCUGUUUGCACGCCGCGGCGCCGGCAUGGAUACUCCCAUGGCGAGCCCCGACCUGCACCUCGGCAUGGGCGUGGCUCAUUGACGACCAAAGCUAGAUCGGGGCUAGAUCGAUCCACACCACGAUCCCUCCCUCACUGCUCGCUCCCCACGCCCAAAUCGAACUCCACCACGAUCCCUCCAGAUCGCCAAAUCAGCCCCUAAGCGGGUCCUCAUCAGAACUCUACUGAAACAAUAGAGAAAACGACAUUCAAGUGCAAAAAAAACUGAAAAAGGUUCAGCGACUAAGACAGAGCUCUACUGCUAGUUUGAAUCAAUGCAGAUGUCAAUCUUCUACAAGUUUAAGCAAGCUGCAUGGUGGUUUGGACUGACCAAUCCUCUAGCGGUACAAACCAACGAUCUGUCUCGGAAGGUUCCCUGCUACUGCGUGACAACAGCAACGCUGUCGACGGUCCCCUCCUCUUCCACACCCACCACCAACCUCAAUCUGCCAAACACGGCAUUCUGCUCUGACUAUUGGAUCGAUACCACGUACCGUGAUCGAUCCUCAAUACAACAGUUCCUCGCCAAGCUACAGCAACGCCGCGCCGCGCGUGGCGUGCUUUGUGCUCGGUAGCAUUUGAACCCCGUCAUGCAAACAAGGUUGCCAAAACUAAGGUUGGAUCCUCCCCAGAGUAACAUAGAUAGAUAGCUACUGUAUAAGGAACAAAAGAAGAGAAGUUGACUGACCGUAGUCGAGGAGGAUGGCGUUGAGCGACGCGAAGAGCGCGCAGGUGAAGACGUACCGCUCGGCGGUCUUCCGCCGGCGGCUCCCCGCCUCGGCCCUGCGCUCCCACUCCGCCUCGUCCAGCUCCUCCUCCUCCUCCGGCUCCACCCUCCGAUACUCGACGCCGCCCUUCGCCGCCACCGGCUCCAUCACCCCCGUCAUAUCUCCGAUGCUGCCACGCUCAGGGGCUAGUCUACAAUCGGCUACUGUGAUGCAGCAUGUCUUCAAUCAGAUCUAGUGCAUCGCAGGAGUCCAGUGAUGGAUCAACUCCUGCCUUCUCUUUGCUUCGGCUUUGGGUCUAUGUAGUAGGAUGUCGUCGGUGGCGCCCUUGGAGGUGAGGACGCCGACGGAAGGGGAGGCGGGCGCGGAAGCGGAGGAGGCGGCGGUCGGGGGUGUGGAAGAGCGAGCGAGUAGGCGGCGCAGCCGGGCUCGAGGAGCUUGAAGAGGGGCAGCGAGGGAGAUCUGGAGUGCGGGUUGACCCAGGACCACAGGGGCUUUUUCACAAAAUUGCCAUGACGGACGGCAGAAGUACUACGUGCUUUAUUAGUAACAGGGAUAGGGAUAGGGAUAGAUAACCCGUUUUAUUGUUUUUGCCUCCAUUUCAAAAAAAAGAAUGUGCCAUAAACUUCGUCAUUAACUAGACAACCCUUGUGUGGGGAAAAGGAGAAAAGGAGAAUAUGGAAGAUACAAGCUCGAAAGGGAUUCAUGUUUUGAUGGUAGACCAACAUCUCCCAACAAUUUGCAAUGAAGGUCUGAUUGCGUCGAAGGUAUCUUUAAAUAACAGUCUUACUCGAUAUCAUCCACCUCGCCAAGAUUGUGCUUUGUAGGAUUAGAUAAAUCCUGCCCAACAUAUCCCUAUUUCGCCAACUCCUUCUCAAACCAAUAGGAAUGAAUAAAUAACGAGGGUCACUUUCCAUCUCGCUUGUUUUAUGCUUCUGUUUAGCAGAGAUUAAGCAAAACAGGUUGGGGAGUGGAGAGCCUGAAAAUUUUCUAGUCAAAGCUCUCCUAACUCGAGCACUCCGAGAAACACUAUAGCUCAAACCUAAUAAAUAUCCGAAUUAUAUAAAAAUACAUUUUUCCAAAAAAUGCAAGUCACUAGUAUUAUUAUUUAUACUACUAAAUAUAGCAAUUGUAAAAAACAUUUAUAAUAGAACACAUGAUUGCGUUUAUAUUCUUAAUUUGUUAGAUUCCGCCAAUGCACUUGUCAAGCAAAUGAAGGGACAAUUAAGGACGUAAAAUAAACCACAUAUAUGAUGUAAAAAAUUUGAACUUUACUUGGUUAUGCUAACUAAAACGAUUCUUGCUACGGUUUUUUGUUGGAUCUCGCGCUAUUUUUGAAAUAGGAAAUUGAAAUGAUUAGUAAAAGUUGGGCCGCAAUAGUAUGCACGAUUUUAAAAGAAUGUAAUUUUUGUUUAUCCUAUGUUGUACCUUAUAUGCUAAUCUCUUGUUAAGAUGAGUCUCUACGUGUGCGCAUGAUGUGCAUGGCACAACAAUAGUUGACCAAGAAAUGGUUGAACCUUUAUUCCUUUAUUAAAAAUACAGUGGUCGGCUUACCUUCAACUCGAGGUGGUUCAGUGACUAUCCUCUAACUACUGAGUACUGAUGGUGCCUCCAUAUUACCUAGACAUGUUAAUGUUAAUAAUGGAAUCACUUCUAAAAAUAUAUGUUCCCACUUCCUGUGUCAAUAUCUUAUCAGGACAUAUAAAUAUGCAGACACUUUGAACAAUUUGGAGUGCUCUUUUGUUCCUAAGCUAUGCUGGUAUUAUCAAGCCGCAACAUGCACUAAAUGUGUUAUGAGUAUUGAAAUUUGCAUGUAAGUAUAUAUACCUUAAUUAUUUUUGUUUCCAAUAAUUUGAUAUUUGCUCGAAGAGAAGAUAUGCCCUAUACGGUCUACCCUUGCCUGUCAAUCGCUUGUUAAGACGGGUUUCUACUCCAAUGAGCGUGCAUGCUUUGCAUGGCACAACAAUUAUCUUAGUUAAGAAAACAAUAAACCCUUUAUUUCCUUAAUAUGAAAAAGCCAAAGCCAUAUUGCCUUUAACUCGGGUGGUCCAGUACUUGUCCACUAAGGCUACUUACUAGUAUCAUGCAUGUUAACUAGAUAAUUUUGAUGAUAUGUCGUAAUUAAAUUAAUAAAAAGGAUUGUUGAGUAUCAUAUUAUGAUAGUGCAUCAUAAUUAAUGACAUAGUACUAUGUAUUAUGCAUGACAAUAAAUAAGAUUAUUUGUGAUAGUUUACACUAUUAAGGUAUGUCAUACUAACAUCAUAUGCAUGAUACUAAUAUAUAAUAUCCCGUGCUACGAGUAACCAAGGGCAUCUGCAUCACGGAUCAUCAAUGGUCAUUAGCAGAUGUCUAUGGAUGACAGUUCUAUAUUCCUAUUUUCAUUGGUUGUGCCUUUUUAUUUGACUUUUUAUACUUCAGUACUUGAACUUCAUACUCGAACCUUAAUAAAUAGUUCUAUGUAUGCAUCAUAAUGAUAAAGAGGCUAGGGUUAUCCUUUUUUUUUCUAAUAAUUAUGUUUCAAGAGUAAGGGAAAACAAGGAUAUAUGAAUUCUAGAUGCCCUCCAUGCUAGUGAAUUCCUUGUUCUUUACUCCCACCCAACUCUUCGCCUCACCAGAAAAUCAACUACUAUAGCCUUUCGUUUCUUUCUUCAAAAUAAAAUGUAAAGAAAACUGUCGCCAUAAUUCGGGAUGCUGGAGACCAGAGCUUAUCCACUGUCGGGGAACCAAGUAGCACUACAACUGAUGGUGUCUUCUCUUCACCAGGUCAUCCAUCUGAUAUUUUGCGGGGACAUCUUAUCAGGAUAUCACAUAUCAUUAGCAUGAAUAAUGCAAGGAAGCACUUUUCACAUGCAUAUCAUUUCCCAAUUCCUUUCACGGCGACGUCCACGCGCGUCCAUCCCCUCCCCACUCCGCCACCCACGUGUACGCGGCGCCGACGUCUCCGACCGCGUCUGCAUCUCCGACGACCCACCCGCGGAAUUGAUAAUGCUUAUAACGCCGUCAAUGACGGGUUUCGCCGCCAGUUGCAUGCAUGGCCGACUGGCUUCUUCUUGUCGGCGGCGCUAGGCAAAACCAUGCGCAACACGUACGACUGCAAGACGAGAAGAUACUCUGCUCCCGAUUUAACUCAGGUCAACUUAACUUUCUCUACCGGCCGUAACCGUAAGUGAUGAUGAGCAGGUCGUUGGAUGACACCGGGUGCAAGAUAUAUGCGUCAUGUACAACUUUCAACUGCACACGGCACACCAUACGCGUGGCUUCAGCCUCCAGAGAUGCUACUUGUUUUUUCUUUUUUUAAGCAGCAGAGAUGCUACUAGUGUCUCCAAUCAUCUAGAAGACGAAGAAUAACAGGCUAAUUCCUGGCCUCCUGGCGACGUCAAGACAAACGCGGUGUGGAAAUAUCAAGUCAGAUGUACAUCUAUCAGGAUCUACUAUCAUGUAGACUAAUAAGUAUACUUUCAGGCGGACGUCUUAUAUUGCGGUGUGGCAGAAAAAUCCGACUACAUACUUUCAGGUGCAGAAAAAUCAAAGAUUAGUGACGGUAGAUCAUUGCGCCAUCGCUUUCAGGUGGGCGAAUUAGUGGGCGCGCGAUGCUAAUCCUAUUCAGAUAAGCACAAAACACUGGAAUAUCAAGCUCCCAAAAGUCCGAUCAAUGAAAACUAUUUCCUUCGUUCUUGAAUAUAAGUCUUUUUAGAGAUUGCACUAAGGAUCUACAUAUAUACAGAUGUAUAUAGACAUAUUUUAGAGUGCAUAUUCACUCAUUUUACUACGUGUGUAGUUUUCUAAUAAUUUUUUAAAAAAUACUUAUAUUUAAGAAUAGAGGGAGUAUAUGACCACACAGUCGAUUGGCCCGCCAACAUCUCCAGGGAGCUACUUGCUCAGCUAGGGUGAACCUUCGUUAGUAAGGCAGGAUAUUACCAAGGAGCUACAAAUUUCAGCUUCUGAAUUGGAAUUUGACAGACAACCAUAAACGCCAAAAUAACGAGACCCCCAAAUGACCACAAAGGAUGAAACAAAAUCGCAUGAUCUGUUAUAACGACGCGAGAGCUUGUUUAGCAAGAACAAAGAUGAAAAAUGCAACAGACAAGUGUUAUAACAUUAACAAGUCGAUCAUAUCGACUGGUUGGAAAUCCAAAACAAAGUUUCGAAAGUGUCAUAACGUUAACAAGUUGAUCAUAUUGAAACCACAGUCCACAGGCACUGAAUUUGUGGAGGUGGCAAUAGCACAUCUGUCAACAGACAAUCGAUUAGCUCAGCCGGUAGGGACCUUCCAGAACAUUGGAAAAAAUCUACAGGGAGUCCAUGUGGAGCGUCUAGGAAUAUUUCAUGGAUUCUUUUAAAACAAGUCGGCAACAUAAUAUACAUAAAUAUUUUUUACCAAAAAAAGUCAACAAUACCAAAAAAAACUCCCAGACGUCCACACCAUGAAAGAAUAUACCGUAAUAUAUCUAAAUAUUUCACGAAUGUUCCUGAUAACCAGGAACACUAGAAUAACAAGCUCCCCAGAAGUCCACGCCAUGAAAUAAUAUAGCCACCAUAUGUCUGUGUCGCAAGAACAAUAACUGUAAACCUAUCGUCCAAGUGGGCAAAUGCGGUUUUCUUUUUCUUAGACAACUUGGCUAUAUUCAAACCACUGGCUGACACCUAUGUACUUUCUCCGUCCGGAAAUACUUGUCCUAAAAAUGCAUAUGAUGGAUGUAUCUAUAAUUAAAAUAAGUCUAGAUACAUUCAUCUCUAGGACAAGUAUUUCCAGACCGAGGUAGUAUUAUGUUAUGUCACGAUAAUUUGAAAAUUUGAAUUCGAUUUGUCAGCACGCAAGAAAACCACAGCUCGAUCUGCCACUUUGGAUUGAAGCUUUAUUUAUUUUUCCCAAGCAGCCAUAGAGCAUCGUCAUCAAGCCACACGAAGAAACUACAAUAGUACUACUAUCCACAGCUAUACGUGACGUGUCAUGCCAUGACACGUAGACUAUCAUACAGAUGCUACAUACUACUCCCUCCGUUCCCAAAUACUGUACUAUAUGAAUUUUUAGAUAUUUCACUAUAGAUUAUAUAUAGAUGUAUAUAAACAUAUUUUAUUUUAAAGAUUCAUCCGUUUUAUUUCGUAUGUACCACAAAGAAAUCUUUAAAAAGAUUUUACAUUUUGAAAUAGAGAGAGUAUAUGUCUAUCUCGCGCCAUCCGAUCUGAGGCCCUGUUUGUUUCAUAAGUCCUAGGACUUUUUUAAGUCCCAACUUAUAAGUCAUAAGUCCCUACCUGUUUGUUUACAGGGACUUAUAAGUCCCGAGUCCCUACCUGUUUGUUUACAGNGGGCGGCCGGCGACGAUUGGGGAAGCCGGCGGCGGGCGGUGCGAGCGUCCUGGAGUCCUGAGCGAUCGGGGCAUGGCGGUGCGAGCGUAAUGGGACCAGAAUAAGUCCCAAUAAGCUCAUAUUAGAGAGUCUUAUUUCAUAAGUCCCAAUUAACCAUAAUAAGUCCCAAUAAGUCCCUAGUGUUUGGUUUAGGUGGGACUUAUAGAGACUUUUUUAAGUCCCANNNNNNNNNNNNNNNNNNNNNNNNNNNNNNNNNNNNNNNNNNNNNNNNNNNNNNNNNNNNNNNNNNNNNNNNNNNNNNNNNNNNNNNNNNNNNNNNNNNNNNNNNNNNNNNNNNNNNNNNNNNNNACUUUUUUAAGUCCCAAAACCAAUAAGUCUCUGAAAACAAACACCCUCUGAAAUCUGAUGGCUCGAAAGUCCCUUUCAACCUUGUUGGGGAAGAGAAGUUGGCAGCACAAUUAGUGUCACGAAAGCAACCUCAAAGAGGCCGACAAGCAACUCGCACUGGGUGGCUGACUCAGCGGGAGCUCACACAUAAUAAUCUUCUUGGCUGCGGUGGAGAUAAGAUCAAGCGCUAGCUGGGCGUACGAGUGGAACCACAGACCCCUCCGUCCUCACCCCCUGUCCGCUCCGGAUUCCCUAUAAAACCAUCGGCGUCUCAGCUUUCCUCGACGAGGACGGACAACAGUGCAACGAAGAAAUACUCUGCUUUUGGUCUUGGAUAAAAGAAUCAAGAAUAGUGAUCGGAGAAUCCAUGGCUGCUGCGUUUGCGUCGACGCCGGCGGUGUUGGGGUCGGCUCGACCGGGACGGGUGGCCGGGGUUCGGCGCUCUGUGGUGGUGCGGGCGUCCUCCACGGUGGCGGUGGCAAUCGGGAGAACGCACUACGAGGUGCUCGGGCUGGGCGCCGGGGCCAGCAGGGGCGAGAUCAAGGCCGCGUACCGGCGUCUUGCCAGGGAGGUGCACCCUGACGCCGUCGGAGGUGGUGGCGACGAGGGGUUCAUCCGGCUGCACGCGGCCUACGCCACCCUCGCCGAUCCCGACGAGCGCGCUCGCUACGACCGGGACGUGACCUGCCGCGCCGCCGGGAUGACGAUGCGGCGGAGGGCGGCAGCGGCCGGACCGGCGUUCCGGCGGAGGACGUGGGAGACCGACCAGUGCUGGUAGGACGGGCGGACUCGCGCGGCUGCCCUCCCGGACCAUCGGAUCAGGCACGCCGUGUCAUGGCCGGCUGCCUUGGCCGGCAUGGUCAGAAUUGGACGACCCA
rnacentral:lncRNA from 1 species